UUCUUGAUCUCUUCGGAGACUUCUUGAGUAUACUUGAUUGUUCUGGAGUUCUCUAGACGAUUGUAGAAUUUUCCAGAAACUUGGUCCGUGACACCUUCCCCCACUUAAACCCUUGACGUCCUCGUCAAGUCUUCUAUACAUAUGUUUCAAUCUUGUCACGGGGCUACUUCGUGUCUUUUCGUUUUCUCUAAAGUNUCGUUUUCUCCAAAGUAUCUCUUCGAGUAAGGCGUGCUUUUAUUUCUUGAUGUACUUUGAAUCCUAUUUCUUCUCUCAGCCUCGUAAAACCUUGAGUAACUCUUCAUGUGGGAUAUGGAUCCCUGUUCCUUCAAACGUGCCUCUCUUAUUCGAACUUCCCCUGUUGGCUUCAUAUUCUUCUUUAUUAUAUUGCUCUGGUCAUAACACAUCUUCAUAGUUGAAAAGGAUCGAGCUUCUGUCUUUCUUCUUUCCAAGGGAAUUAUAUGGAUAGUUGAUCCCUUGGUUAUACGCAGGGUGUUGUCUCUUUCGAACGACCAAGGACAUACCAUAUCCAGGAAAUCCAUUCCUAGUACCAUGUGAUAGUCGUCCAUCGGAACCACUAUCAAGUCGAUGGUCCUUUCCCAUUGUGCAAUCUUCAUGNAUCUUCAUGCGUAUUCCACAAGAAACUCCGAGGAUCGGAUUAGAUGGAGAGUUGACAACCUUCAACCGACCUAACUCCUUUGUAUAAUGAAUAUCCAACUUCUUUGCUUCUUCCUCUGCGAUGAAACUAUGUGUUGCUCCAGAAUCUAUUAGCGCCUUAGUGUUCCUUGCAUUCACUUUAAGUUCGACGAACAUGAGACUCCCUCCUUUAUUUUCUUCCUUCUUAGAAGAUUUUAUCUCAUCUUUUGAUAUUGAGUUCAGAAAACGCAUUGAGCUUAUUUGUGCUUCGUUUUCUUCUUCUUGCAAAACCAUCGCAUAGAAAGUCUUUUUCUUCGGACAGUCUCGGAUCAAGUGAGGACCAUCACACAAGUAGCACUUGAUCUCCUUUCGCUCUUCUCUUCGGUUUCUUCCUUCGAUUUCUUUUCCUUUCGUAUUUAAAGGUUGGGGUGUGUUUUGUUUUGGUUCCGGUUCCGUCAUAGUUUGUUCUCCCCCACUAUUCUUCUUAACCGUGCUUUCUUUUCGAAAUUCCAUUAGAUCUUCUGCCACGACAAUAGCUUCGUCAAUGUCUUUGACAUUUCUCCUCUUGAGCUCGUUGUAGGCCCAAGAUUGUAGUCCAUCCAUGAAAUAGAAAAGUUUGUCCUUCUCCUGCAUGUCGGGUAACUCUAGCAUCAAGCUUGUGAACUCGACUAUAUAGUCUCGGAUGGAUCCCGUAUGCUUUAGCCCACGAAGUUUCUUCAUCGCUAUAUCUUCAACAUUAUGUGGGCAAAAUUGUCUCUUGAGUUGCCUCUUGAAUUCUUCCCAUGUGUCUAUGGUAUACAAUCCUUUUUCAAUAUCAUCGUGCUUCCUUCACCACCAUAGAGUUGCACUCUCGCAUAGAUAAAGUACGGCUAUAUCUACCUUCGUCUUGUCGUCCUUCACUUGACUAGCAUUGAAAUAGCAUUCCAUCAACCAAAAGAAUUCGUCAAGUUCUUUGGGGUCGCGUUUACCUCCAUACUUCAAUGGUUUGGGUGCUUCUGUGUGCGGAAACGUUCUUGCAAUGGUCCCUCCAGUGAUUGUUGCCUUCCACAGGUUUACUUUGACUUGUAAUGCGUCUACCUUCUCACGGAACUCACUCCGCAGGGUGUUGAUAAGUCCAAGGACUUCUUCCUUGAUGACACCGAUGGUCUCCUUCAAUCCAUCGCUCGUGUCACUUAUCUCAGCAACGAAUUGAUCGACGGUAUCCUUUCAUUCAAGGAUCUCACCGACGUUAAUCUAUGUCCUUGUAAGCUUGUUUUAUAAGCUUGCCAAGGCAUCUACCGAUUGAUCCCCCUUCUUGGACUUCCUUCCUUUCUCCUCGACGACAGGGGGAAUGUUGAAUACUUCACUUGCUGCUUCCAUCGUAAUGGUCUCUUGCUUGCUCGAACCUGGCUCUGAUACCACGUGUCACGGGAUGACUCUUUUAGACUAGUCAAUACCGUGUGCCACUUAGUGCUUCUCCGACCAAGUCAGGCUAACUUCGACGAUCUAGAUGUACUAACGAACUUAGGAAGCAAGAGUUACGACAAGGGACACUUCAAUAAAGCUUUUAUUAUAUAACUCAACUUCUUUACAAGGCAACUUCUUGAUGGUUUGGACAAAUGAGUCCUCCCCUGUUUAUAGGAACCUUACACCUCCUCAAAUGGAAGUUUCUAGGUCCCGAUCAUUCAUGACUAAUCUAGAAUCUUCCUGUUAUAUACAUAGAUUUUACAAGACUCUAGAAUAUGGUAGACUUGUAUACGAUGCUCUAGAAAUCUCUAAGUCGUCCCGACAUUAUCCAAAUCAUUCUUGUAUUAUCUAGCAUGUUCUAGAUCCUUCUAAAGUCUUCCGAGUCGUUCUAGCUUCGUCUAGUGUCCUCUUGAAUAUUCCGAUUCGUUCUCCUUUGUUCCACGGACAUCUAAAAUAUUCUAGCAUCUUCCAGGGUCUCGUAGAGGAUUCCUGAUCUCUUUGGAGACUUCUCGAGUAUACUUGAUUGUUCCGGAGUUCUCUAGACGAUUGUAGAAUUUUCCAGAAACUUGGUCUGUGACAACAGAGACUUUAUACUUCUAGGACGUCCAUAAGAUCCCAAUCUGAAGUCCUUUCAGAACUUAAAGCAUAUACAUGGAANAAUUUGAGGUUUUAGGGCUUGAAACCACUAAUUUGGGACACAAAGGGGAUCUAAUGAACUAAUGAUCAAGGUAAGAACUUUUCUACCUUAAUGGAAGCUUCUCACAGUGUAGAUUUCGGAUCUACCUCCCCUCCUUGCACACUUCAACCUUCUCUUCCUUCCUCUAAGCUCCAAACCUUCUCCACAAAGCCAAAAUCACUCUCAAGAAUAAUAUGGGGGCUAGGGUUUCUCUCUACGGUUCUCUGGAAGUGUUAGGGACUAAGGAGGCCAAGUUAGAGCGUUUAAAUAGGGUGCAAAUGCCCAGAUUAGGGUUUUUGUCCAAACAGGGUCUACUCGUCGAGUCCGGGGACCGACUCGCCGAGUACAAGGUUCAAACCCCGCACCUUAUCCCGCUCCUACUUGGCAAGUUGGUCCUUCAACUCGCCGAGUCCAAGGCAAAAAUGCAUAAAAUUAAAAUAUUAAUCACAAGGAGUACUUACCAGGAACCAGGUGCNGGGGUUUGAGGCCUAUUUAAAGGGUCUUAUAGCCACCAUUUGCGGCUACCAGACCCCUGAGUGAAACCCUAGCGAUCUAGAGCGUUUGUGAGGAAGAAUAGGCCAUUUUUUAUCCUUGUGUGGGUGUUUUUGUAAGAAGAAGGUGACCAAGGCAAGAUGGAACUGAAGAGGGUGCUAUUAUGUGGAUUUCAAAGCCUAAGGACUUCAUUAUGAGGUAUAUAUUCGAUCCUUCUUCAGUUUUGGGUGUUAAUCCUUGAGAGUUAGGGUUUCUAGCCCAUUUAGAGUAUGAAUGAUGGUGCAAUUGGUCCCUUCUUGUGUUGAGGCUUCGGAUCUGGAUCCAAAGAGGUCCAGAGACCUAAGCCCCUUGAUCUUUAUGGGGUAACAUUGGGUAAUAUGAGCUUAGGGUGACAUAUUGAGACCAUUUCUUCAAAUAGAGCCCUUGGGUCUUUGCAUGGGCAUCAAGAUCCAAACUUUACGUAUUUAUAUUGCUUAAGGAGGCCAGAUCUAUGAGUUAGAGGAACGUAUUUGACCUCAGGAGAUCUAUGAGUUAGAGGAACGUAUCUGACCUCAGGAGGUCACCGAGUACCAAGAGCAGACUCGACGAGUAGGGUUAGGGUUUCCCCAUAGUUCACUCAGUGAGUACCUGCCGAGUCGGGGGAAUGACUCAGUGAGUCAUAGGGUAUUAGAGGACUGGAGUUCAAGGUGGAACUCGCCGAGUUCAUAAUGGGACUCGGCGAGUUGAGUCGGGGUGGCCCCGCGAUUCAUGUCAGGUGUAACCCAUCGAGCGGGGGAAAGACUCGACAUGUCAUGCAAGUCUAGGGGGUCUUUAGACACGCGUAGACUCGCCGAGUCGCCCAAGUGCACUCGGCGAGUCGGGUCAAAGUUUGACCGUUGACUUUGUUGACUUUGAGGGUUUGGUCAACAAUAGGUCCUUUGUGUCAAGUGAGGGGUAAGAUGGUCUUUUACCCUUCUGCGGGUGCCAAGAGAGGGUUGAGUCUAGUCUCGAGAGUUACAUUUAUGAGAGUAUUUACUUUAUGUGAUUAGGCGGAGGCUAUAUCAUAUUUCUACCGAGUCAGAGAUUUACCGAGACAGCUGAGGUGAGUCUUCUCACUAUACUUUACCUAGAGUGGUAACAGAGUUAUGUGUUAGUGUACUGUUGAGUUAUGUGCCAGUGUAUCAGUAUGCUAUUUAUGUAUUAUUGUGAUAUGUGAUAUGCAUGAUUUAGAGUUUCCAGAGAUAGGACCAGUGGGUCCAUAGAGUUAAGGCUAGAGGGCCCACAGAGAGUUGGGACUGGAGGGUCCCACUGAGACAUACUGACCAGAGGGUCAGCAGAGUUAUAGCUUUGAGUGGCUAAUAUGUGUUAGAGUGGUAUUUUGGGGAACUCACUAAGCUUCGUGCUUACAGUGUUUUGUGUUAUGUGUCUCAGGUACCUGCAAUGAACGCGGGAAGGCGCCGGCAUGAUCUGUACACACACUCGCAGAGUUUAUUAUGAUUUGACCUUGGGAUUUGUAAUGAGAUAAUGUUGAUACAAUGUUUUCUUAAAAGUAAUUAUGAAUGAAUUUGUAUGGUUUUAAAAAGCGAAAAAUUGUUUUAAAUUUUACGGUGUUACAAGUUGGUAUCAGAGCCUUGGUUUGAGGAAUUCGGAUGCAUCUUCGGGUGUAUCUGAACUCAAACUGAGGAUUUGAGGAAAUUUUUGAUAAUAAAGUAAAUUUUUAAAGAGAAAAAGAGUUUUGAGACAAACAGAGCAGAGUCGUGUGUACGAUCAGCCAGUGCCCGAACGGUGAUUUCCCAAAAUACCCUUACAAUAAGUGUUAAAAGAUAUGUUAUGCUAUGCUAUAUGAUGAAUUAUGUUAUGCAUGCUAGAGUAGACUAGGUAUUCUUAUUAGGAAUAGAGUGGCCUGAUAUAUGAUGCCUUAGUCUAGGGGUUUUGAUGCUAGAGAUGCUUGAGAGUGUUUAGAUAGCAGCGAAGAGCUUAUGAGAGAUCUACUAGUGAGUAGCACAUGAUUAGAGAGAGUAGAGUACUUGGGAUUUGGGACUCUGGGAGGAGGACUUAGGAUGAAUGCUGAUGCGGUGUGGACGGUAGUAUUGGGCCCGUACUACCGAAGGCACCGGGUCAGUGUGCAACCCAAGUAAGAAUCCUUAGAGUACUAAGGAACAAGUAGGGUGGAGUCAUCGAGUGUGGUUAUACUCGAGCGAGUCCUUAAUAUUCUUAUGUCGUAUUUCAGAGGGAGACCAUGGUUGGGACACGCCACACACCAGGGAGUAGCAGUGAUAGGGAUGAGGAGAUUUGUAUGAUCAUUCAUGAGGAGGUGGCUGCGGCCAUCAGGACAGAGAUACCAGAGAUGUUAGGGUCUAUCAAGACCACCCUGAUCGAUACAUUUGACGAGAGAUAUGCUGCUCUUUCUGAGGCUGUGGUUGCUGCGGCCACUNUGUAGCUGCGGCUAGACCGCAGGGUGGUGAUGCGUUGCUGUUUCGGGAGUUCAGCAACACAAAACCACCGGAGUUUGAGGGGACCCAGGACCCGAUUGCAGCGAUGAGGUGGAUUUCAGAUAUCGAGGGGUGUUUCUUCACUUGCUCAUCUCCAGAGCAUUUGAGAGUCCGGUUCGCGUUGAACCAGCUUCGCUUGGGAGCGAAGGACUGGUGGAAGUUUGUGACAGUGCAUUAUUCGCCUGCUGAGCUUGUUGUAGUGACCUAGGAGAGGUUCACUGCUAUGUUAUGAAAUGAGUAUGUUCCCCAGGUGGAGAUGGAGCGUUUGGCCCAGGAGUUUCUGACCCUCAAGCAGGGUAUUGAGUCUCUUACAGUGAUUACGAGGAUGUUCCAUGAGCGGGCGAUGUUCUGCCCAGAGCACGUGUCCUUCGAGCAGGCACGUAUGAGACGAUAUCUGAGCAUCUUGAGGAGGGAUAUAUGAGAGUUCGUGGCGAACUCGACGUACCGGACAUUUGCUGAGCUUCAGGAAAAUGCCCGGAAGAGGGAGAUAGAGCUGGAGACCUAGGCUAGGGAGGAGGCUGAGUCUCAGGGGAGAGAUCGGCGACCGGCGCAGUCUCAUCCGGCAGCCAAGCGAGCCAAGCCUACUUAUUCGAGAUCUGGGAGUUAGAAGGGGCGCACUUGUGGCAAGUGCGGCAAGAGCCACGAUGGGGUGUGCAGAGCAGGGUCUUGCUACAAAUGUGGCAAGGAGGGCAUAUGGCCAAGGAUUGCCCCAAGGGGUUUGUAGUAUGUUUUCACUGCAACCAGACCGGACACCGGAAGUCAGAGUGUCCACAGUUGCGAGGGACAGCUCAGGGAGCAUCUCAGGGGUCUGCCCCUGCUGCAGUGAGAGCUACAGACAGUCGGCCCGUAAAGGCCGAGGCACCGAAGGCGCGAGGGAGAGCCUUCCAGUUGACAGUAGAGGAGGUCCGCGCAGCCCCCGAUGUCGUGGCUGGUGUGUAUUCUUUCAUGUAUUUAUUUUGAUGUUUGAGAUAUUUUUUUUAUAUUAUGUUAUGCGUAGGUACUUUUCUUGUGAGUUCUAUACCUGCCUUGAUGUUAUUUGACUCGAGUGCGAGUCGGUCUUUCGUAUCUUUGGCUUUCAGUCAGCACAUCAGUAUUAGUCGAGAGGCAUUGAGUCGACCUCUGAGAGUUUCCAUAGCUGACGAGAGGGCGGUGUAUGACACCGAGGUAAUCUGAGGGUGUGUACUCGAGAUUUUCGGCGUUGAGUUUCCGAUUGAUUUAGUUCCUAUUGCGAUGGGAAAUGUCUGUGUCAUUGUGGGCAUGGACUGGUUGAUCAAAUUUGGAGCGGUUAUCGACUGCAAGAGACAACUGGUGACCAUACGAGACCCUAGUGGGGGAGUUAUUACGGUGUACGGCGAGGGUACACGUUCUGGGUCAGCAUUUUGUUCGCCCGCUAGAGCGAGACAGAGUCUACAGUAGGGCUGUAGUGGGUUUGUGGCAUAUGUGAUGGAUACGAGGGUUGAUUCAGGGAGGCUGAGGUCAGUUGAUGAGGUUCCGAUAGUGCAAGAGUUUCCGAAUGUUUUCCCGGAGGAGUUUCCGGGCGUGCCACCUGAGAGGCAAGUGGAGUUUCGUAUCGAUUUGGUUCCGGGGGCAGCACCUAUCGCCAAGGCGCCCUAUCGCCUUGCACCUCCAGAGAUGUUAUCCUCGCAGCUUCAAGAGCUGCUGGGAAGGGGUUUAUUCAGCCGAGCAGUUCGCCGUCGGGAGCGCCUAUCCUCUUUGUCAAGAAAAAGGAUGGGUCACACCGUGUAACACCCGUAUAUCCUGGCUAGUCAAUUAGAGACGAUAAGCAUCAAAAAUGACUUUUUGAUGGAAGAUUAUUUAGAAUGAUUAAUCUUAACUAAGUUGUAGUAUAUGUCACAAGGUUUUCGUGCAUAUAAAGAACGCCGAAAUCCGAGUUAUAACGAAAAAGUUAUGACUUGUCGAAAUUUCGCGACAGAACCGACACGACACAGCGCGACGUAAAUAGUGAAUUUACGUUAGAGUGAUAUUUGGCCUUAUUGAUCUAAAUGAAAGUCAUAGAAUACGUUAAACCGAGAGCGUGCAUAAAAAGAACGUCUAAAUCUGACUUCGUAUGAGGAAGUUAUGAUUUUUCGAAGUUUCGACUUAGCAAUAUGCAGCCCGAAUCCUCGAUUUGAGAUCGAGUGAUUUUUAGCGGAAACAAUCUAAAUGAGAAUCGAAGAUCUCAUCGAUAGUAGUGAAACGAUAAAAAGAUAGGCGAAAACGGACGUCAGAUGAAGAAGUUAUGAAUUUAUAACGGAGUUUUCCUGUCCCGGCUUGCUAAAAAUAAUAUAAAAGUAAUAUAUUUAUAAUAUAUUAAAAUUAAAGUCAAAAUUAGCCAACGGAGUCUAAACUAGAGUUGUAGAGCAUAAUCUCACAUUCGCGUGGAUAUAAAGAACGUCGAAAACGGAGUUUAUAUGCGAAAGUUAUUAAUUUCUGAAGUUCGGGGCGCGAAACUCCAAAACUGUCAGAGUUCAAGACGUGAAUACAGUGUUCACGACAUGAACUCAGUAUUUAUGACUUCUGGAUCCUGACAGAUGCAACUUGCGAUGACGCAUGCAGCGACGACUGAACUCACGACGUGAAUAUUUGAGAUUCACGACGUGAGACCUGAAAAUGGCCCUAUAAAUAGAAAUCGAGGUUCAGAUGAGUUUGGGUUGCUCCAGCUCCUCUCUCUCACUCCCGAUACCAUCUAUUGUCAUCCCGAAGUACCCCCGAAGCCCCGGUUUCAUCCCGAGACCCGAAUCAAGUCUCAAAGGCCGAAGAUCCCGAGAAGUGAAGAGUUUCCGAGCCGGAGCUCUGUCCGCGAGAAACCCGGUGUGUGAAGAUCUUCCAGAUCUACCGAAGAAUACUACUUCUACAAUCCUUUGUGCUGCCCGAUCAUCUUUUGAUCAGGUGAGUGUGUGGUCACUUUCUUCUAACACAUAAAUAUUAAGUAUUUGCUAUGAAAUACGUGCUAUGUGUAUAAUAUAUUGUUGCUUAUUUGAGAUGAUUGUGGAAUGGAUGAAUUAUAUAAGUUUUAAUGAGUUAAACUAUAUAUGUAUUUUGUAUCUAAAAAUAUGUUGGGUAGAACAUGAGUAGAUGAGGUUGUUGGUAUUUGAUAAAAGGUGGGUAGGACCAUGAGAUAAAAGGAUAAAGAGAUAAACUUGUUUUAGAUCCGAGAGUAUGGAUCAGAGCAGGAGGUUAGUUUUAGAUCCAAGGGUAUGGAUCAGAUCAAGAGGUUAGUUUUAGGUCCGAGAAUAUGAUUAGGUAAUGAGGCAAAUUUAAGAUCCGGGAGUACGCAUUAUGUAUUUUUGAACUACGUGUUCAUUCGAUAAGGUAUCAUGUGUAUAGUCCCUUUUAGGAACGUGAUUUUAAUAAGAGUAUUGAUUAAAGUAUGAAAUAUACAUAUGUAUGUGCAGUAUUUGUUAUUAUCCAAAAUACGUGUUAGAUAUAUUUGAUGAUAUACAAUGUGCGAAUCAGAUAUGGUUCAAUAUGUGUUAAGAUGUGUAUAUAUGAUAUUAUUACUUAAAACCUUGUGUUAAGUAUACACUAGUUGGCGUUGCCUAAACGGGGAUAGUAUCAAAAAUUGAAUAUAGGCAUUGUAGGCUUGCCUAGUGAUGGGUUAAGACUUAAAUAGGGAUGUUUAGUUCAAUUAAGAUUGGACUUUGGGUAGUCUCUUAUUAAGAGUACAUGUGGGGUGAGAUUGAUGAUCGUGGAGUACGUCCUACGUACAGAAGUACAUUUUAUGUACGAAGUCCUUUUCAAAGCUCUGUGUCUUGGGUGCUGCUUGUGCCAGGGUACUAUUAUGUUCUCGGGUACAAGACUUUCGCAUACCAGAGUACUAUAAUGUGCCGGAACUACUAUCAUUNUCGGCUACGGGAGCGUACGGGAGUACUCUAGUAGUAUUUCCCCAUACUUUUAUUUUGAGAGAGCUUUGGAGUCAGCGUUUCUUUUAUGAAGUGAUCGACCGAGCUUCAUAUGUCAGCGUUUUCUUUCACGAAGUAAUUAAGGGAACUUCGUAGACUGCCUAAUAAAGUGUGUCGGUAAUAGACCACUGCUAGGUAUGUCUGGUGUUAUAUUGCUGGAUAGGAUGCGUCUGGGGGUGAAAUACCUCAUGUAUUCAGGCCACUGCUAGGCAAAGUUCCAUGCUGGAUAGGGAGAGUCUAGAGGUAUAAUACCUCAUGAUAGUCGGACCACGCCUAGGCAUUGUUAUCUAGAUAACUACCCAUGACUUAAAAUGUCUUGUGGUUCUUUCUUUUACGAACAAAGGUUCGUGGUGAAACUUAUUCCAUUCCCCUCAUUUGAUGUCUUUAUUGAUCCUCGUUUGCUGCUAGGGAAUUUCCGAAGCAGCUUCGUCAGUUAUUGUUCAUAUCGAUUUCCUUAGGCUAGAUCUCGUAAGAUCGUUGUAUAGGGUCAGUAUGUGGGGAUCGACGGGAUGGGAUAGAUCGUUUUAGAAAUAUGGUUUAUAUGCGUUAAUAAUAUUAGUGGUUUUUCAGGAUCGAGAUAUACAUUAUUAUCAUCACUGUUUGAACUAAGAGCUUUCGUACUCUGUGUUCCUUCGAUGAUUGGGCUCACCAGGGAUAUUUGAACUAGGAGUUCAUUAGGUGUUUUUGAACUAGGUGUUCAUUAAUUAUCGGGAAUUGCGAGUUCACUAUAGGUAAUCUAAGAACCUUUGCAUCACUAAAAUUUGUGCCAAUUCCUUAGGGCAAUCCUUAGGAAUGAAUGGGAGAAGAGUAAUCGGUUCUUAGGAUAAAUAUUUAAGAAAUAAAUGGAGAUAAAGGGGGUGGGUAAUUGGAUUGAUUAUUUGAUAAUUAAAUAUAAUAAUUAUAUUAUUGUGGGUUGAAAAUCCUAUAUGCUCACCUGGCUCCCAAGCCUGACCCUCUUAGUUUUCUUUGUAUUACAGGUUAUGGCACUAGAGCAUAAGUUGGCUGACAUAACGAGAGAUUUUGGAUUACAGGCCAGUAGUUAUGAAUAAAUGUUGUAAGGUCUAUUUUGUUCUGUUUAUGCUUUUGGUAUGUAUUGAAUAUGACAUCCCAAGAUUUUGUUAUAAAAUGAAAAUACAUUUCUUUAAAGAAAUGCUUUGAUAAAUCUUUAUCAUGUUUUGGGAACAAAUUCCGCAACAGUUUUCUUUAAAAGAUUACUCUGAUUUAAAAAAAAACAAAGCAUAAACAAAUCAGUCUUUUCUGGCCAUGAAAAGACCGAUUUGAUGGAUCCCCAACCUGANAGAGGAGAUGGUUGGAUGUGGUGAAGGAUUACGAUUGUGAGAUCCUAUACCACCUGGGCAAGGCUAACGUUGUAGCCGAUGCCCUGAGUCGUAGGGCGGAGGGUGCCCGGAUACGAGAUGUUUGUAUGAGGCUGAUUGUGAUGACCCCAGUGUUUGACGCCAUUCGAGGGGCCCAGGCUGAGGCCAUGAGACCGGAGAAUCGUAAGAGAGAGCGGGUUAUCGGAAGGUAUCGGAGUUCGUCACCGAUAACCAAGGGCUUAUGACCUUUCAGGGUUGGAUUUGGGUACCGUUUGUGGGAGUAACGCGUACCAUCUUGUUGGAGGAGGCACAUAGAUCGAGGUUUUCGAUCCAUCCCGGGGCCACUAAGAUGUAUUUGGACAUGAAGAGAGAAUAUUGGUGGCCAUGUAUGAAGAGGGAUGUUGCAUGGUUUGUUGAGAGGUGUCUGACAUGUCGCGGGGUUAAGGCAGAGCACCAGAGACCGCAUGGUAAGUUGCAGCCGUUGGAGGUUCUCGAGUGGAAGUGGGAACAAAUUACCAUGGAUUUUAUCACCAAAUUGCCAAGGACUUCUAGGGGCGUCGAUGCAAUUUGGGUGAUUGUGGACCGGUUGACGAAGAGCGCUCACUUUCUUGCUAUCAGUGAGAACUCUUCCGCUAAGAGGUUGGCAGAGUUGUACGUGAAGGAGGUGGUAUCACGGCAUGGAGUGCUGAUCUCGACCGUCUCAGAUCGAGAUGUGUGUUUCACUUCCAGGUUCUGGAAGAAAUUUCAUGAGGAGUUGGGUACGAGGCUGCAUUUUAGCACUGCAUACCACCCACAGAUCGACGGGCAGAGUGAGCGAACGAUUCAGACGCUCGAGGACAUGCUUCGGACAAGUGUACUGGACUUCGGAGGGAGUUGGGACACAUAUUUGCCUUUGGCGGAGUUUUCCUAUAACAACAUCCAUCAUUCGAGCAUCGGUAUGCCACCCUUUUAGUUGUUGUAUGGGAGGAAGUGUCGGACUCCCAUUUGUUGGGGUGAGGCCGGUCAGCGUGUGAUGGGUAGUACCGAGAUUGUACUUCAGACGACUGUGCAGAUUCAACAGGUCUGGCAGAGGUUACUGACGGCUCAUAGUCGUUAGAAGAGCUACGCAGACAGGCGUCGCUCGGAGCUCGAGUUCCAAGUUGGUGACUUCAUUCUCCUGAAGGUAUCUCCUAGGAAAGGAGUAAUCCGAUUCAGGAAGAGAGGCAAGUUGGGGCCUCGGUAUAUUGGUCCUUUCAGGGUGACCGCCAGGGUGGGUAGGGUAGCGUACCGUUUGGAGCUACCUGCGAAGUUGAGUCAGAUUCACGAUACAUUCCACGUGUCUCAGUUGAGGAACUGCAUCGCUGAUGAGUCGGCGGUGGUUCCAUUAGAGGACAUUCAGGUGGAUGCGAGCUUGAACUAUGUUGAGAGGCCGAUCGCGAUUCGGGAUAGAAGGAUCAAGACUUUGAGAAACAAGGAGGUGCCAUUGGUUCAGGCCCAAAGGCAACAUCGGAAGGGUUCCGAGAUGACCUGGGAGUCGGAGUUAGAGAUGUGCAAGCAGUAUCUAGAGUUAUUUAUGGAAAGAGACUUCGAGGGCGAAGUCUGAUUCUAGUGGGGGAGAAUUUCAACAUCCGGAUUUCCAGGUACGUUAUUUAUUCAUUUAUUUUGUAGAUUUUGGAGAGACCCGGCGAGUUGAUGCUUAGACUCGCAGAGUAGAGUCGCGAAUUCCAUCCGGGUUAAUGACCGGACUCGGCGAGUCGAUUAGUGGACUCGGCGAGUCCAUGUUGUUUUAUGAAACACUAAUCCUCGGGGUUUGAGGCCUAUUUAAAGGGGCUUAUAGCCACCAUUUGCGGCUACCAGACCCCUGAGUGAAACCCUAGCGAUCUAGAACGUUUGUGAGGAGGAAGAGGCCAUUUUUGAUCCUUGUGUGGGUGUUUUUGCAAGAAGAAGGUGACCAAGGCAAGAGGGAACUGAAGAGGGUGCUAUUCUGUGGAUUUCAGAGCCUAAGGACUUCAUUAUGAGGUAUAUAUUCGAUCAUUCUUCAGUUUUGGGUGUUAAUCCUUGAGAGUUAGGGUUUCUAGCCCAUUUAGAGUAUGAAUGAUGGUGCAAUUGGUCCCUUCUUGUGUUGAGGCUUCGGAUCUGGAUCCAAAGAGGUCCAGAGACCUAAGCCCCUUGAUUUUUAUGGGGUGACAUUGGGUAAUAUGAGCUUAGGGUGACAUAUUGAGACCAUUUCUUCAAAUAGAGCCCUUGGGUCUUUGCAUGGGCAUCAAGAUCCAAACUUUACGUAUUUAUAUUGCUUAAGGAGGCCAAAUCUAUGAGUUAGAGGAACGUAUCUGACCUCAGGAGGUCAUUUGAGUUCGAGCAUGACAUGAACUCACCGAGUACCAAGAGCAGACUUGAUGAGUAGGGUUAGGGUUUCCCCAUAGUUCACUCAGUGAGUACUUGUCGAGUCGGGGGAAUGACUCAGUGAGUCAUAGGGGAUUAGAGGACUGGAGUUCAAGGCGGAACUCGUCGAGUUCAUAAUGGGACUCGGCGAGUUGAGUCGGGGUGGCCCCGCGAUUCAUGCCAGGUGUAACCCGUCGAGCGGGGGAAAGACUCGACGUGUCAUGCAAGUCUAGGGGGUCUUUGGACACGCGUAGACUCGCCGAGUCGGCCAAGUGCACUCGGCGAGUCGGGUCAAAGUUUGACCGUUGACUUUGUUGACUUUGAGGGUUUGGUCAACAAUGGGGCCUUUGUGUCGAGUGAGGGGUAAGAUGGUCUUUUACCCUUCUGAGGGUGCCAAGAGAGGGUUGAGUCUAGUCUCGAGAGUUAUAUUUAUGAGAGUAUUUAUGUUAUGUGAUUAGGUGGAGGCUAUAUCAUAUUUCUACCGAGUCAGAGAUUUACCGAGACAGCUGAGGUGAGUCUUCUCACUAUACUUUACCUAGAGUGGUAACAGAGUUAUGUGUUAGUGUACUGUUGAGUUAUGUGCCAGUGUAUCUGUAUGCUAUUUAUGUGUUAUUGUGAUAUGUGAUAUGUGAUAUGUAUGAUUUAGAGUUUCCAGAGAUAGGACCAGUGGGUCCAUAGAGUUAGGGCUAGAGGGCCCACAAAGAGUUGGGACUGGAGGGUCCCACUGAGACACUGACCAGAGGGUCAGCAGAGUUAUAGCUUUGAGUGGCUAAUAUGUGUUAGAGUGGUAUUUUGGGGAACUCACUAAGCUUCGUGCUUACAGUGUUUUGUGUUAUGUGUCUCAGGUACCAGCGAUGAUUUCGGGAAGGCGCCAACAUGAUCUGUACACACACUCGUGGAGUUUAUUAUGAUUUGACCUUGGGAUUUGUAAUGAGAUAAUGUUAAUACAAUGUUUUCUUAAAAGUAAUUAUGAAUGAAUUUGUAUGGUUUUAAAAAGCAAAAAAAUGUUUUAAAUUUUACGGUGUUACAUUAGGACUUUUCUGGAGAUUUCUCAUUUCAUUAUAAGAAAACAAUCUCAAGCUUUCUUAGUUUCAUUUGGUUGAAGGUAACAACUAACAAGUAAUAUAGUUUACUUGUGGUUCAAGGUAUACUUUUUUUUUCCUUUUUAUGUAAAAAUUUGAAUUUCACAUUUAGUCUGGGAGUUGAAUCUGAUGUUUAUCUUAUUUGAGGACAAGGGUUUUGUGUUUUAAGCAAAGUGAAGUUGAUUAUGUUGGUUUUUAACUCAAAUCCAUCAUCUCAUGUAGAUUUGGUGUUGGAAUUGCUAAAUCUCCAUAAACCUUAGAUUUUUCCAAUGAUAAUAAUGAUGUAAUAAUCUAACCCUUUAUAUGAUUCCAUGACCAUUGAAGAGCUUUGAUUGCAAGUCUUUCGUGGAAAAGCACAACUCAAAGCAAUGAGUUUAUGAACUUUGAUGGCGAUUGAUGGUGUUAUUAGGAGUGUUUUACUAAUAGAGUCAUGGAUUCUAUGUUUUGGUUUAUAUAUUGGAUGUCAAAAUGAAGAAUCCUUUUGAGACAAGAGGUCAAAAUGAAGAAUCAUCACACCCUAGUGUGGUUCUAGUGAUUGUUGAGACAAGAGGGUAAAAUGAGAAUAAAAUAGAGAAAUCGUGUUCUUGAUGUCAAUUCUAUAGUUUGGAUGGUUGAGAAACUCACCAUACCCAUUUACAAAGUAUUUGUUUACAUGUUUUAAAGUGCACCAAGGCCAACUUACUAAUGCGUUUGACAUAAAUAAUAGUAGUCUUAUAUAUUUUGGAUCGAUUCUAUAAUUUGGAUGGUUGAGAAACUUACCAUACCUCUUGAUGAUGUGGUGUUAGAAUCAAUGUGCAUGGUGGAAGUUCUUAUUAAUGUCAUUAUGUCAUUUAGCUAAUUGAGUACCCAUCCAUAAAUUGGAGCUUAAUGACCAAUUGAUGCCAAAUCAUUGGGAAAACCUUAUGGAUUAAGUCAAAUUUAUAGAUGUGGGUUAAUGAUUACAUAUUGGUAUUGAUAUUUUUGGGACAAACUGCAAAUUUGGUCCUUGUGGUUUGUAAAAAACUUUGGAUGAGGUUCAAAUGCUUUUCAGCUUGCAUAAAUAGUCUAAAAUUAGGGGUGACAAUUUAUGAAACGACACGACAAAAAUACAUGACACGAAACGAAAUUGGGACGAAACUAAAAUUUGAAUUCGUGUUCGUGUCGUGUUGGUUGUAAAAAAACACGAUGUCGUGUCGUGUUCGUGUUCAAAAUUCGACACAAAAUUGACACAAUUUAGCAAUUCUUUAUCGUGUUUUUCGUGUUUUUCGUGUCUAUCGUGUUAUAUUUGAUAAAAUAUUCAUUAAAUAAACUAGUUUUUAGUAUAUGUAUAUUUGUCGUGUUGUGUCGUGUUUGUCGUUUUUUAAUUCGUUCGUUUUCGUGUUAAUUAAAAAAAACACGACAUCAUGUCUUGUCGUGUUCGUGUUACAAAAAACUUUGUCGCGUCGUGUCGUGUCAGACAGAAACACAAAACGAUAGCACAAUUUGCCACCCCUAUCUAAAAUCAGAAACUUUCCGUGAUUUUAGUCCUAAAAAGGUUAAAAUGGUUUUUUUGCCCUUAUUAUUUCUGUUUUACAUUUUUUAUAUUUGUUUUAGUGUUGAAAUAAUCGUAAAAAAAAUCACCCUCUUUAAUAAUUAUGAAAAAAUAAAAAAUAAAAUCAACUACUGUCACAAUUAGGAAUUUGGUGUCUUGUAAACAUUGAACAAUGAUAACAAAUGUGAACCAACAAUAUGAAAGCAUGUAUGAUGCUUAUUCAAUAACAACAAAACUUCCAUCAAACACUUUAUAAGAGCGCAUCAAAUAGUCAACAAAAGGUUGGAAACCCUAAAAAUCCCGGUUUAAGUCCAUUUUGGACUAGGAUUUCUUUAUUGGGCCUAAUGGACCAAUAAGUUUCCAAUUUGAUUUUUUUUGGGUUUUAGAACUCUUAAAUGGGCUCUAAUUGGACCCCUAUACAUGAAACUUAAUAUUUUGGGCCUUACAAACCUAAAAUGAACUAAUUUAUCUUAAAUGGGCCUUAUUGGGCCAUAACAAAUCUAAUUAGCCCUAAUGGAACAUAAAAAUCAUCCUUUGAUUUAAUUGGACCAAAAAUCACCUAAUGAGUUUACAAUUUGGGCUUGAGCAUUUAAGGGCCCAAAUCCUUCUUUCCCCUCUCCUUUUCUCGGCCCAACAACCCAAAAGAGAAGGAGUUGACUUUAAGUUGCCACCUCACAUUUAACCAUUGGAAACCAAUGCAAAAAUCUCAUGUUUUCAUGCAUGUCAACUCAAAAGUCUCUCUUCCCUCCUCGAUUUUUCUCUCGGCCGAAACCAACACAAACACACACACACACACAUUUCACUCAAACACUCUCAAAGAAACUCUCUUAACUCUUCACCAAAUUUUCGAGAUUUAGGAGGCUUUCCAAGGAGAUUAUUCCACAAAUUCAUCAUCUAAGGUAAGUUAUUGCUUGGAUCUAUGAUCUUGAUUCUUUUGCUUAUCAAAAAUCUCUUCCUAAUAUAUUCAAACUCAUGAUCACCCUCUUAGAAACAUCUAAGUUCGAGAUCCUCAAAGAAGACUUGCUAGGAUCGAAACUUUCUUCAUCUCUUCCUUCAAAAACCAAAACCACAACUCAAGGUGAGCUUCAUACCCCUAUCUUUUCAGUUUUCAUAUGUUUUAUGGGGGAGAAUACAAGAAAAUGUGUAGAUCUAUGUGUAUGUGUAUGCGAUGUGUGAUUUUAUGCAUGUAUGUAUGAUUUUAUGUGUUUUUGUGAUGAACAUGUAACUAAAAAGGGGUGUUAACUCGAGAUCUAUGACAUGAGAAAGUAAACAAACAUGAUCUAAGUUAUUUUACACCAAACAAGUCAGGAAUAAUAACUUAUAAGAUUGUGUUAAACGUACUUCAACAUAAAACCCAUUUUUGGGCUUAAAUUGUCAAAUAUACAAAAAUUUGGGUUAAAAGUUGUCAAAUCACGGUUUCUUAAGGGUCAAAAGAGUCAAAACAGUUUCAAAAAUUGUUUUUAUGUAUAUUAAAAUUUUCAAAGGACCUGAAAUGUAAAUUUUUAUGUAUUUGGAAAACAUCGGGUUUUCCGAGGAAGUUCAACAUUUUCACUUGUACGAUUAAUACUAAAGUUCUUCAAUUAUACAUGUUUUGAAAUCAUCAUGCAUAUGGUACGGAUCUUCACACUUUUUUUUAAACAAUGGUCUUUUCAGAAAAUAUCGGAUUUUCUGGGUUUUACAAACUACACAAAUCAUUUUAACACAACAUACUAAUGAACUCACCAACAUUUCAUAUGUUGACCGUUUUUCAAAAUAACUUGUAUUCUCAGGUAACAGGUAAACCUAGGAAUAAGUACCAAGUAUGUUAGGGUGUUUUGCUUAUGAUAUCUAUUAAACAAUUUGUCACACCCCCGAACCAAACAGCGGAAACGUCCGAGGGCUCUUGUGACUUAAAUUGAAUAUCAUCACAAUGAAUAUACAUGAAUCAUAACAUAAAAUCAUCACCAUGUAUUAAAAUAGUACAACUGAUAUUGUUUACAUCCAGUACUUUAUUUUAAACAUUACAAAUUCAUAACAUAAUUGUCUGAUAGAUAUCAUAAACAAAACACCCUGACGUUACUUGGUACUUAUUCUUCGGUUUACCUGAUACCUGAGAAUACAAGUUAAUUUUGAAAAACGUCAACAUAUGAAAUGUUGGUGAGUUCAUAAGCAAUGUUGGGAUAAAACGAUUUGAUGUAGUUUGUAAAACCCAUAAAAUCCGAUAUUUCUGAAAAGAUAAUUGUUUAUAAAAAGUGUGAAGAUCCGUGAAUAUAUGCUUGUUGAUUUUCAAAACAUGUAUAAUUGUUGAACUUUAGUGUUAAUCGCGCUAGUGAAGAUGUUGAACUUCCUAGGAAAACCCGAUGUUUUCCCAAUACACAAAAUACAGUGAUUUCUUAAUUGUUAUACUGUCACGACGAAUGAUUUUGAUUACUCGGGUGGCGUUGGAUUAAUCAGGGUUUGUGAGUUGUUAUAAUCACGCAUUAGAAAAUGACUAGUUCAUAACUACUGAUUUCGAACGAUCCUUAAAGGCGUCGCCCGUUAUUACUCACUUAAUCCAACAACCAUGAUUACUCUUGAUUAAUGUCCUGAAUCUGUUUACCUUGGUUACUCAUAAGCCUAACAAAUGAGGAAAAGGGGAGUACAAAGUCCCGUUAUUUCCAUGAGUUAUUUUAGGCUGUCUGGAAUGCGAAAGGCACGUUGGCCCAACUCGCAUUUGAUUUCUUGACCUCACUAGCAAUACUAAUGGGCCACUAGGGCCCAAUAGCACAUUAGAGCCAUUGAAAGUCCUUUUACAUGAAAUUGGGUCAUAUGAGGCCCAAUAGCACAUAAGCAUAUUCCCUUUAGGCCCAAAGAUCAUGUUAAUGGGCUUGCAAGGCCCAACAAGCAUGAUUUGAAACUUCCAAGCCCAAAGUUUGCAAGUUUGCUCAUCAUAGUUAUCGCGUAUUUAUUUAGAUGGUUUGGUUCAACGCUUGUUGUUUUGUAUUGAUUCGAGACCGAAUCACUUUGUUUGUAACGAUAUUUGUUGUUGAAAGUGUAUUUGUUUUCCGUUUCGUCGGUAGUCGUGGAUCUUGUAUUUUUGUAUUAAUGAAUUAAUUUGUUUAUAAAAAUAACACUUGGUCCUUUGUAUAAAAGAAUUUCAUUUUUAGUCCUUAAAACAUUUUCUUGACACUUUUGUAUCAUUUAUUUGAUGAGAACACAGUUUUAAUCCAAAAUUUAUUUUGUUGACAGCUUCAGUCCUUCUUGAAUGGUGAUUCUCGGUUAGAAACCCAUUUUUCACAACUUUUAUAGUUUUGGCCCAAAAUCUAAAAACUUUACAUUUUUGGUCCUUUUUGGUUGUGAAAGCAUUUUUGACUCUUAAAAUGACUUUGUUAUGCUAAGUACCCCCUGUUUUAAAGAAAGUUUCAUUUCAGCCCCUUAAAUUUAUCAUUUUUCGCAUUUUGAGGUUUAUUGGGCCGAAAAGCCCUAAAUUAGCCCAAUAAGCUAAAAAAUUACAUUUUGAGUCCCUUGAAAAUUUUAUUAUUCAGAAAAAUGAUUAUAGAAACUGUUUUGACCCUUUUGACCCUCAAGAAAACGUGACUUGUCGAUUUGUAACCCAAGUUUUGUAUUUUUGACAAUUUAAGCCCUAAAAUGGGUUUUAUGUUAGAAUAUGUUCAUCAUAACCUUAUAAGUUAUUAUUCUUGACUUUUUUUAGUGUAAAAUAGCUUAGAUUAUGUUUGUUUCCUUUCUUAUGUCAUAGAUCUCGGGUUUACACCCCUUUUGGUAACAUAUUCAUCACAAACAUACAUGAAAUCACACACAUACAUCCAUAAAAUCACACAUAGCGUACACAUACAUAUAGAUAUACACAUUUUCUUGUAUUCUCCCCCAUAAAACACUUGAAAACCGAAAAUAGAGGGGUAUGAAGCUCACCUUGAGUUGUGGUUUCGAUUUUGAAGAAGAUUUGGAGAAGUUUGGUGUUAUUUUCGGCCCUAGCAAGUUCCUUGGAUGGAUCUCGAACUUAGUGGGUUCUAAGAUGUAAGAUCAUGAAUUUGAAUGGAUUAAGAGAUGAUUUUUGAUGAAAAGGAGUGAGUUAAAGCAUGGAUCAAACAACAACUUACCUUAGAUUUGUGAUAUUAAGAAGAGAUUUCCUUGCAGCCCUUGUGAUUCUCGAAAUUUUUGAGGGAGAGUGUAAGGAUGUUCUAGUGAGAGUUUGAGAGAAUUUGGAAGAAGGUGAAGGUGUGUGGUGUGUUCUCGGCCGAAGGAAGAAGAGAGGGGAAGAGAAAAGAUGAGAUGACUUGCUUAGAUACAUGGUAGUCCAUGCAUGGGUGCAUGGUGUGUAAUAAGGAGGUGGCACCUCCUAAACUCAACCCCUUUCUUCUUGGGUUUGAAGUUUGGGCCGAGAGAGAGAGAGAAGAAAAAAGAAGAAGUUUUGGGCUUUUUGCCCUUAAGCCCACAUUAUAGAUAAUUUAGAUAGUGCUUGGCCCAAAUAAAUCAAGGUGUAACCUUUAUGACUCAUUAGGGCUAAGUUUGGUUGGUUGUAGCCCAUUAAGGCCCAAAAUAUGAUGUUUCAUGUAUAUGAGUCCAAUUAGGGCCCAUUAGAGAGUUCUAGGUUCAAGAUAGACAAAUUGGAAAUUUAUUAGUCCAUUAGGCCCAAUAAGGAAAUCCUAGUCCAAAAUGGACUUAAACCGGGAUUUCAAAGGUUUCCAAUUCUUUGCUGACCAUUUGUAGUGCUAUAAUGAAUUAUUUGAUGAGGUUUUGUCGUUAUAUAAUAAGCAUCAUGCCUGCUUUCACAUUGUUGGUUCCCAUUUGUUAUCAUUGUUAAAUGUUAACAAGGCAUCGAAUUUCCUAGUUGUGACAUAAUUUAUGUAUAGAUAUGUAAUGUUAAAACAAUGUACUUGAUGUGAACAAUUCCAGUUGUAAUAUAUUGAUGCAUGGUGAUGUUUAUGUUAUGACUCAUGUAUAUUCAUUGUGAUGAUAUUCAAUUUAAGUCACGCGAGCCCUCAGACGUUUCCGCCGUCUGGUUCGGGGGUAUGACAACUACUCCCCCUAGCUCGUUAUCUCUUUAUCUCUCUCUCUCUCUCUCUCUCUCCCCAAACGACACUAACCAUGCAACCACCCCAUCCUAAUUUCACUUAUUCACCACCACCACCACCACACCCCUCCAUCUCCACCACCCUCAUCUUUAUAUUUUCCUGCGGCCUACCCCCACCGUCGGCAUUGCUGCCUACACCGUCCUUCCAAUCGACGCAUCGUCAGUCGUAGCUUCAGAUUAAUGAGCAUGAACUUUAUAUAGGUUCUCUAAGAUCAUCAUUUUCUUCUACCUGUAUCUUCUUCUUCCUCUAGCUGUAAAUUCGAUGACCUCUUUAUCAAAGAUGCAUCUCUAGGUAGAACAGGUCCAACGACCUUCUUAUCACUGUCGACCCUAGCAAUUAUGACAUCCAAUUUGGGGGUUUUAUGCACAAUCAAGAACAAACAUGGUUGUAGGUACAAAUUUUCUUUGGCUUAUGCAAUGCUAGUGAUGUGACAUCGACCUUCGGCGAUCCUUCUGGUCUUCGGCUGCGAUGGAUAUCUGCUAGUCACAAUCAGAGAGACGCGUUAGAGCCGUCCCAGGGACUGUGCCCCGAGAGCGGACUCUGGCGGUCAAAUUAGAUCAGCUAGAAGAUCAGCUAGAAGAUCUGAGAUGGUCCUCCAUAACUGGAGAGAACCAUCUUGGUGCUGGUGGUGGUGUACGGUGGUUGACGGCGGCGGGUGGCGGCUGAGCCACCCGGACGGAGUAUAGUGUGGCGGCUGAGCCAUGGGGAAGAGUCCUAUGGGAAAGGUCCUAGGGAAAAGGUCUAGGAGAAGCCUGAUGGAAAAGCUUUCUCUCCAUGGAGGAGAUACUAUUCAUUAUAUAAGGGCAAUUAGGUCAGGCCUUGGGCCAGCCCAAUUCAGGCCCAACUAGCAAGGAGCUGGGCGAGGCCGCCUGGAGGUGUCGGGCGGGGCUAGCGGGCGCGCACCAUGCAAGGCUGGCGAUCGUGCACCAGGAAAGGCUGGAAAGGGAGCGCCAGGCUAGGCCGACAGGAGAGUCCCCUGCAGGGCUGGAAAGGGAGAGUCAGGCCGGGCCGGCGGGAGAGUCCCCAGCAAGGCUGGCAAGGGAGUCCCCAACAAGGCUGGCAAGGGAGCGUCAGGCGAGGAUGGCGCGCCAGAGUUGUCUAGGCCAUGCUAGUGGACCAUAUAUCAUCAAGUCCCCCCAGUCUGGUGUUAUUGGUAUGUGGCCAAUGACAUCGGACUGGAACUAGUCAUAUAAACUAACAGGAGAGUCCCCAGCGAGGCUGGCAAGGGAGUACCCAGCAAGGUUGGCAGGAGCGCGCCAGGCCAGGUCGGCGCGCUAGAGCAGUCUGGGCCAUGCUAAUGGACCAUAUAUCAUCAAGUCCCCCCAGUCCGGUGUUAUUGGUACGCGGCCAAUGACAUCGGACUGGAACUAGUCAUAUGAACUGUGUGUCGUCAAGUCCCCCUAGUCUGAUGCGAUUGGGUUGCUGACAAUCGGAUCGGCCUAGAUAAAGCACCAAUACAUUAAAUAAUAGAGAGAAUGAUCGAACCUCGCCCACGAGAGUCGUGGGGCUGUGUGAUGAGCCAAACAUUGCUUAUGCAGUUUGAGUUAGCUUGGUGCUCCUUCACUGAGAGGAGCGUGAUCCGUCGGUGAGAUGCGGCAUAACUGUUGUUGGCAAUGUUAUGUGCAGCGGGGCUGCUAAAGAGUGUUGCGCGACACUGAUGUUGAUAAAAUGUCGGACCGGGGUAGCUAAGAAGCGUAACCUCGCCAUUCAGUCUUUGAGAUUGUUAUUCGAAACGAUUGUUGUUGUAGGUACGUGUAAAUGGAAUAUCACCGAUAACCAUCUACAUAGUCUGCAUUAAUAACCGCCUUAGAGGUAUUUCUUGCUUGGGCUACACCUAGCUGGAUUCCCCCCAGUCUGAUGUGGGUAGCGUAGGUAGCCGCGUCAGGCUAUGUCAUCAAACCAAUAAACCGUAAGGUUGCUGACCAUAAUAUAAGUGGGAAAGAUUCUAAGAGCUGGGAGAUUAGGUUGCUAGCGAGGGUCACGUAGUGAGACUAUUGUCGAUAGCCAGACAAUAGAAUUGUUGAGGGAUAGGCAGUGAGGCUAUAAGUUGGGGUUUCAUAGCAAGACCAUUUCCGAGAGCCAUGAAAUAGGGGUGUUAUGGGACAUGCGACUAGGCUACAGGUAAGGUUACGCAACAGGACUGUUUCCGAGAUCCAGGAAACAAAGGUUUUGUGGGAUAUGCGACGAGGCUACAAGUAGGGUUACGCAGCAGGACUGUUUCCGAGAGCCAGGAAACAGAGGUGUUGUGGGAUAUGCGACGGAUAAUAUGAGAUUCAUGUUGGAUAAGGUGUCUAAGUCCAUAACUUAUUUGGUAUAUACUUGACCCGACCCGACAUGGUCCAUUUGGGUUGCAUUUCAUCCAAACUAUUUAUGGAUAAUUUUAUGAGAGUUAUACACAUAUGUUUAUUAAUAUAUUAUAAGUUAUAAUAUAUUAAUAUGAAGUCAUGUUAUUUAAUUAGUCUUAGUCUUAAAUUAAUUAUGAAUUAAUUUAGAGAUUAAAAGGAAGACUAAUUAGAUUGUGGGCUAUUGGUUUUAUAUAGUGUGGGCUAACACUCAUUUGUUAAUGGGCUAGGCUUGUAUGGAAGUCCAUGGAUGAUCCAUGGAGCUUUUAACCCAUGGAUCCUUGGAAAAGGAAAGGUCAUGGGUUAUUAGGGUUUCACCCUAAUCAUGUACACUAUAUAAGCAUGCUUAUGUUGCAUGAAAUAGCCACUAGUGGCACUAGUUGUGUGAGACUUUGUGUGUGGCCGAUUUUAUAGUGUGUAUACACUCUCUCAAAGUUUUCCAAGAGUUUGUGGUGAUUUGUGAUUCCAUUUGAGGCAUUCACACUAUUGGUGCUUGGCCCUCAAACUCCUUAGGAAUCAAACUCAUCAUCAAAAGGUAUGUAAUCUCAUCUAAUUCUUUUAUGUUUAAAAGUACCCCAUGCCAUGUUAGAUAGGUUAUGAACCUUGGAAAAUUAUUAUUUUGCAUGUAUUUAGACAAACAUAGAUCCAAGGUUUAUUAGGGUUGCAUGCACACUUAGGAAGUGUUAGAUUGCUCAAAACCCAACAGUGGUAUCAGAGCCUAGGCUUGCUUGUUUGAUACUUGAUGCAAAAUAGUGAAAAAAGUUGAAAUUGUUGCUGUCUGGCUGAUGGACUCGCCGAGUCCAUGGGGGGACUCGCCGAGUUCAAGGCAAAAUUCAUCCUACUCGGCGAGUAGGUUCGUGCACUCGGCGAGUAGAAUGAUCAGAAUGCAGAAUUUCGACUUUUGCUGCUGGAAAUGGACUAGAAACAUUACCCUAAACUGUUUUGGUGUUUUAAAACUUGUUUUAGUUGGUGUAAUGGUUGUUCUAAUCCAUUUACAAUAGCAUAUAUCAAAAUUCCAUGAUUUUUAUGUGUUCAUAUAAUUCUUGAAAUUUUGAUGAUCAUGUUCAUGUUCUUAUGAAUUUAGAAGAUGAUAGGAAUUAUUUGCUGAAUUGUUUAGAAUUAAUUCUUGAUCAUUUAUGUGUUUUAAUGGAGUCCAUAAUUUGUCCUCAAGUUAUGGAUAUCCAAAGGUCACUUUUCUUUAACACACACUUAAACCCAUAAGUUACAUGAAAAUGAAGAGUCUUCAUUUUUAUGAACCUUUAAUUCAUAAGUUAUGAAAUGAAAAGUUUUGGAUAGUUACAAAACUUGCCCUCAAGUUUUGGAAUUUGUAAAGUUUCACACACUUUAAUAAACUUUAAUUCCAACCCUUAGAGUUUUAAUAGUUAAAAUUCAACCCUUAUACUAUUUAUAACAUUAAUGGUUAAUUAUUAUAUAUAUGUAUAAGAAUAAGUCGUUCUACCGUUAGUAGGCCUCAUUCACGAAGCCGGUCUAUAAGGUGGGUAUAAGGUUGUUGCCUAUAAAAUGGCGACUUAAUGGGUGUCCACUCUCACCCACCGCUUGCUUGAUCGGUGGAGGGUCGUUAGCCGAACGGGUAGGACAAUGACUUUAAAUUCUCAUUAAAAGUAUAAUGAUUAUUAUAAAGUAACUAAAUAUUUUUUAUUUAAUUCCCAAUCUUAGUUACUUUAGGAAAAAUGUGAAUUUGGUGCUAGCCCAUGGAAUUCACACUUUGUACCUUACCAAGUCGUUGGUGGAGCGUGUGUGGUUAACCGGCACACUAACUUGGACUAGUAAGGAUCACGAAGGGUGACUUAAUGUUUGUCAUAGAUCAAUGGAGCGUGUGUGGUUAACCGGCACAUUGAUUAGGUGAUAAUAUUAAGGGUACCAAGUGAAUUGGUAUGGUUAUUCACACCUUGUUUUGUGAUCCUCGGCAUCCCAGUCACAAAAUUUGAGAGGGCACACUCGAGAUUGAAACAUGCCAUUGAAAAGUUCAAUGAAUCUCAAAAGAUCUAGGAAUUUCAAAUCCAAUUAAAACCUAAUAAAUUAUUUCGUUUUUCAUGGUGGAAAUUGGUGAAUCGUCAUUCGCCUACCUUCAAAUAUUUUAUAGCUUGGAUUACGGCAUCCCUCUUCCAAAUUAUAAAAUAUUGUGUUGGGUCCUAGCCUUAAUAUUUCAUAUUGGGUGUUAUAUUAAGGACUUUGAAUCAACUAACUUGAUUUUCUCCCAUUAUAGAUGUCUGGUUCAGACAACUAUGAUCUUCCCAAAUCUCUUGAAGAUGGUGUCCCUCAACAUCAUGCUUCACUUCCUCCACCUCCUCCAAUUAUUCUCCCUCACCCACAAGUUCUUGAAAAGUUUAAAGUCACUCAAUCCCUAUUGGCAAGCAUAGUCUAUGUGUGCUCACAUCUUGGAGAUAAAGUCACAUAUUGACAAGCCGGGAGAGUUGGGUGUCAAAGUCUCGUGAAAGUUGGAUGUUCAAUCACUUUCUUAGUAACAUAGUGAGUCUCUUUGGGACUACUAUGAGACAGACUAUGACAUGACCCUUAAUGAUGUUAUCUAUUUGCUUGGUGUUGUGGAAUCAGCAAUGAUUUGGAACACCAGUAAAGCAAAUUUGAUUAAAAGAACAACUUCCCAAGUCUUAAAUGGACAUUGACAAUGGUAGCAUUGGAUAUCUAGAAAAGGAUUUCUCUUCCCAAUGGAAAGGGAUCGGCCAUAGUCAACUCGGUUGACCAAAUGGUAAAGAGAAAGGCUAAGUCUGAGAUAGUCUCAUGUGCCAUUACCAAAGGGUCCAUGUGUUUUGUUGCCAAAGGAAGGGGCAUUGGUUGCGAAGCUGCCCUAUUCACCUGAAAGGUCAUAAGGUUGAUCAAGUCAAGAGGUUUGACUCUACUUCGGGUAAAGUCCACUGUCUAACUCUAUUAAGUUCCUAUUUGGAGAUUCUUAUUACAUAAUGUGAAUGGGUCACAUGCUGAUGUUUUUAAGAAUCAAAGAAAAGAUAGGAAGCUUAAAGUAAGUAUAUGUUGAUUCUGAUUGCAAAGGUGGGUUUCGAUCGCAUGGUUCGGCAAUCAGAAUUUUGAGCUGUUGCUUAAGAGUUAUAAUAUAUUGCUUAUGAAUAGAUAACAACAAGGUUUUCAUGUGGAUUGUAAGGAUAAGUUUUUCCGCAAAGUUUUAAAAUAAAAGAAAAAAAGGGUUUUAAUUUUAUUUAUUUUAAAAAUAUCCUUACAAUGGCAUCUGUGGAAAAUUGUUGCUUAUAUGUUUCCAGUAAUAGCAAUAUUGGAAAGUGGAUUUGAUUCUUUCAUUUGUGGUAGUGUCUGAAUUUACCAAAUGAAGAAAGUUUUUCAUCACCCAAGUUUCAAUUGGACAGAAACUUGGAAUCAUACAAGUUGUAUUGUAUGAUGAAUGAGAAUUUUCAUCUUUGAAAAUUAAGACUAAUUCUUUGAUCACAUGUAUAUGUGAGUCAAUUGAAGGACUAAGGAAUUAGGUACACUGGGUGUGCGCUGGUCAAGGUCCACCACAAAGAUUGAUUUGUCAUGAUUUACUAAAGAUUAGUAAAUAUGAUUAUACUUAUAAGGUUAAGUAUAAUUCUGUAACAUUGGAAAGGUUACAAUGUAUGACAAAACAAAUGAGAAGAAUCAAAUUAGGCAGAAAGAUAAAAGUUUCUCAAAUCUGAAAGGAUGGGAGAGUACUUUAGUAUCGUAUUUCAUGAUCAUCUUAAUGAUUAUGAAACCAUAUCACAAAUUCAUACUCUAAGGACGUCUUAGUGCAUUGUUAUGGCUAAGAAGAGAGGUCAUGAAUUGUUGGAUUGGUUAAAAUCAAGAAGAUGAGUCAUACUUCGUUCCAAAACAAUUCUUAGAGUCAUACUCCAAGAUUGUAACUUUGAGUGACAUAAAGGAAGAUUUAUUAACACUAGUCAAAUGUAAGAGUAAAAUGUUUUCUACUCUUGUACAUUUGAGAUUGGUAAGUUGUGAUGUCUUGGAUGAGACAAAGACCAACUAAGACCAAUUGUGUGAAGUGUUAGUCUUGAUAAGAAUCCGCACUAUCCCUUGAAUAUUUGUUUUGUCAAGGAAUGGUUCUUGACUGGGGAAACUUAUAUGUCAAGGGGACAGUGGGAGCCUUAAAGAUCCUGAAAGAGUUUCAAGAUUUAAUCAAGAGUAAAACCUGUAAUUUAUCACUAGCACACGACUUAAGGUUUGCAACCUAUCGUGUUGACAUAAUUCUUAUUUCUGUACCUACUUCAAAUAAGUUGAAUUUGCAUGUGAGUUAUCAGAGUUCAACUUGUGAUUAUGGUUUUGACAAAUUCACAUGGAUAGGAUCAAAUAAGUUGAAUUUGCAUGUGAGUUAUCAGAGUUCAACUUGUGAUUAUGGUUUUGACAAAUUCACAUGGAUAGGAACUAAUCUUAUCUUGUGAUUAUGGUUUUGACAAAUUCACAUGGAUAGGAACUCAUACACUAUAAAAUCUAAGUGUCAUAAGGUUUCUCUCCGAUUCAUGAAAAUGAUGGUGAGGAAACGCUUUCACUAAGUAGAUUUUACGUAGAUAUCAAUUGUGUUAUUUGCAUUUUCAAAAGUCGUUAGUGGAGCGCGUGUGGUUAACCGGCACACUAACAUGGACUUGUGAGAAAUGGCAAAUGCCUAAGCAAUUGAGACUAUGAUUACGGCAUCCCUUUUCAUAGUUCUGAAAAUUGUUUAGACACACAUGUGAGCUAUCUAAGAAAGGGUGUAUGAAUCUAAAUUUCAGAAGUCCAGCAGAUUUCUGGAAAUAUGUCAGAGCUAGUGGGAGCAUAAGUGUUAUGCUGAUAAUCAUCAUGUUAGUGGGAGCAUGAUUAUUACGUUUAGUGUUGCAAGUUAGCAAUGUUAAUUAUAGAAAACAAAGUUUCAAUUCGUGAAGUUGCAGGGGUUGAAAAGUUGUUUUGCUAUAAUUAAGGGAGAGGAAAUUAUACUUCAUUUCAAUUCUAAAGCUUAGAUUGAGAUUUUAAUCAUCUUUAGUCAAGAAUAUAUAUAUGAAUUUUAUGUUGGAAUGGUUCAACUUGAAGAAAUUCUAUAUAUAUUGCGUUUUCAAAAUUCGAUUAUGAUUACGGCAUCCCUCUUCAUAGUUAAAUUUUGAAAACAUGGCAAAUAAAAAAUAUUGUAGCAAAAGACUGGUCUAGUAUCAUGUCUUUAUGUCAAACAUCAUGAAUCGUGUCCCAUAUGCUUCGGAUAUAGGAUCGAUUGCAUGUGCUAUAAUAUUCAUCUUUUCUAAAUUUUCCAAAUGCUUAAGGCAUUGAGAAGGGAAAAGUCUAGAACUGGAUAUGACUAAAGUGAUUAAGCAAUUGUCGAGGACAAUCUGAGGUUCGCCAAAGAUUGGUUGCUCAGGGAAAGUUGGAAGUAUGAUGUAAGUUGUCGGAAAGGACCAUAUUGACAUAUUCUGAAAAGAAGUAACUCUUGUUCGGAAGUGAUAGUCAAAAUGGGACUAUGGAAAUGUCUCCAUAGGUGGAAGUUAUUCAAUCUAUGUAAGAUUAGAAAACCUUAAUGCAAGAAGGAUGUUCAAAGCAAUGUACUUUGAAUAUGAGACUUCCGUUCCAUAGAAGUUGACCUUCUUUGGAAUACUCUGUAAUGACUGGUGACAAGGUUUUGGUGACUUUGUGCAUAAUCAUUACAAGAGGAACAUUGCAUAAAAGUUUAAAAUCUAACAGUUUUUUUGGUAAAUGAUAGGAAUCGGGGAUUCUCACAUUUACAAUAAGGAUUUGGGAUUGUGAAAUGAGUAUCAUUGGAAUCAUGUUCAAUUGAUCUACAUCACAAUGUAAGGAUCAUAGACAAACAUAGUGUGCAUACUUGGAGUAUGGCAUAACUAUUGUUUAGAAAAACAAAGUGUACAUGCUAGGAGCAUGGGACGACUGUUGUUUUUAUUCAAGUCUUAAGUUGAUUGUUUGAAACAUUAUACAAUGAAUAAUGUGUAAUCAAUAUGGUGAUAAAUAAAAGGUGGUUCUAUUUAUAUUCAAAAGGGUUCUGAGACCAUAUUGGAUUCGAUUAUUAUUGUGUUUCACUUUGCAUGUUUUGACUUCCAAAAUAGCUAGGUUAUUCUUUCCGAAUGACUAAGUUAUUUAAACACUCCACAGUCGUUCAUAUGUUGGAAGUAGGUAUGAAUCAAGACUGUCAUGAAUCGAGUUUGUAGAUGGCUAAAUGGGUUUAGUCAUAGCAAUGGUUGCUACAACAUUCAUGAGUGCUCAUAAGUUAUGAGUAUUGGAAUAAACCCACGCUCACUUGUAUCACUUCAUGGAAUUUAUCUCGAGUGAUCGUGAGACGGUAAUAUCAUAUAAAUCUUCAAACCUAGAGAUAUGAGUUGUUACCUAUGAGUUGGUUGUGCAUUGAUUGCACGUAAACGCAUCAGUAACUUGAUGUUAUAAAACGUGCCUUUGUGUACAAUUCAACAAGUAGUAGAACAAGCAUAUGAGUCGAAGUUUAUCUGUUCCUUCUAGAAAUAGAAGCGAUAUCUGGGCCCCUCGAUGAUUUUGUUGUGACCUAUGUACCGGCCGGUCAGAACUAAAUUGAUGUGUUCGAUUAAGUUCUUUGUCAAACAAAUCGAAAAUCGGGAAACAAACUGCUGGACAAUAAGUACGACGUUGUUCCAUGUAUUUGUCCGGCUGAUAUCAUGAGAACAGAGGAUUAUAUGAUCACUUAUCUAAAAUGGCGCUUCAUAGUUCAACAGAGUUUUCGAGAGCUACGAUUGCUGGUUGGUUCCUGAAGUAACAUACGCAAAUAUAGUUAUUAGACUUAUCCAAGUGGGAGUCUGUUGGAUAAGGUGUCUAAGUCCAUAACUUAUUUGGUAUAUACUUGACCCGACCCGGCAUGGUCCAUUUGGGUUGCAUUUCAUCCAAACUAUUUAUGGAUAAUUUUAUGAGAGUUAUACACAUAUGUUUAUUAAUAUAUUAUAAGUUAUAAUAUAUUAAUAUGAAGUCAUGUUAUUUAAUUAGUCUUAGUCUUAAAUUAAUUAUGAAUUAAUUUAGAGAUUAAAAGGAAGACUAAUUAGAUUGUGGGCUAUUGGUAUUAUAUAGUGUGGACUAACAUUCAUUUGUUAAUGGGCUAGGCUUAUAUGGAAGUCCAUGGAUGAUCCAUGGAGCUUUUAACCCAUGGAUCCUUGGAAAAGGAAAGGUCAUGGGUUAUUAGGGUUUCACCCUAAUCAUGUACACUAUAUAAGCAUGCUUAUGUUGCAUGAAAUAGCCACUAGUGGCACUAGUUGUGUGAGUUUUGUGUGUGGCCGAAAAUUACAAGUGUGUGUACUCUCUCAAAGUUUUCCAAGAGUUUGUGGUGAUUUGUGAUUCCAUUUGAGGCAUUCACACUAUUGGUGCUUGGCCCUCAAACUCCUUAGGAUUGAACUCAUCAUCAAAAGGUAUGUAAUCUCAUCUAAUUCUUUUAUGUUUAAAAGUACCCCCAUGCCAUGUUAGAUAGGUUAUGAACCUUGGAAAAUUAUUAUUUUGCAUGUAUUUAGACAAACAUAGAUCCAAGGUUUAUUAGGGUUGCAUGCACACUUAGGAAGUGUUAGAUUGCUCAAAACCCAACAAUUCAGAGUUUAGAUCGACUGAAUGGAUAAGGAAGAGGCAGUGAUGCUAUUGUUUCCGAUUUGGGGUAUCGAAAACGGUGUUGGUUGAUUUCUUGCUAACCUUCAUUCAUCCACACUGAUGUUCAUAGCUGAAUCCCCUCCAGACGAGUUUUGUUUAUGCUAGUGUUCUUAUUAGUGAAGAUGGGUGAGUCUUGAUUUUAGCCCUAUUGUAAAACAAUAUGAUACCCUUUGUAAGGAAUCACUCACAGGGUUAGCGGAGUACCGAUUUUGGAAGAGGAUUUAGUCGAUGAGGUAGCAUUUUCACAUGAACUGCUCAUCCUCAUACAGGUCAUCAUCAGAAAAUCUUCAUUGUGAUGAUGAGUCUUCAUUGUAGAUCGAUUUGGAGAAGCUGUCGACAAUAAAACUGGAACUCGUCCAUGGAAUCCUGCAUAAGCAUGCGACAUUUGUGAGAGAGAGAGAGAGAGAGAAGGGAUUAACAUAAAUAUACAAAAAGAAAAGGAAAGGAAAUUAAAAAGAAUCAUUGAAAGGGUAUAUCAAUCAUUUUAGGUUGUAUGUGGACCAAAUUCACAGAUAAUAGAGUUUGAGAGGACCAAAGCCACAUAAAGUUUCUGGUUUUGGACUAUCCAUGCAAUUCGAAAAGAUUUUGCACCCCAUCCAAAGUUUUUUACAAACCACAAUGAACAAAUUUCACAUUUGGUUGAAGGUAACAAGUAAUAUAGUGGUUCAAGGUAUACUUUUUUUCCCUUUUUAUGUAAAAAUCUGAAGUUAACAUUUAGUUUGGGAGUUAAAUCCGAUUUUUAUCUCAUUUGAGGACGAGGGUUUUGUGUUUUAAGAAAAGUUAAGUGGAUUAUGUUGGUUUUGAACUCAAAUUCACCAUUUCAUGUAGAUUUGAUGUUGGAAUUUCUAAAUCCCCAUAAACCCUAGAUUUUCCAAUGAUAAUGAUGAUGUGAUAAUCUAACCCUUAUAUAAUUCCAUAACCAUUGAAGAAGUUUAAUUGCAAAUCCUUCAUGGAAGAUCACAACUCAAAACAAUGAGUUUAUGAACUUUGAUGUCGAUUAAUGGUGUUAUAAGGAGUAUUUAGAUUAGAUUCACGGAUUCUAUGUUUUGGUUUAUAUAUUGGAGGUCAACAUGAAGAAUCAUCACACCCUAGUGUGGUUCUAGUGAUUGUUGAGACAAAAGGGUAAAAUGAGAAUAAAAUAGAGAAAUCAUGUUCUUGAUGUCAAUUCUAUAGUUUGGAUGGUUGAGAAACUGACCAUACCCAUUUACAAAGUAUUUGUUUACAUGUUUAAAGUGCACCAUGACCAACUUACUUAUGUGUUUGACAUAAAUAAUAAUAGUCUUAUAUAUUUUGGAUCGAUUCUAUAAUUUGGAUGGUUGAGAAACUUACCAUACAUGUUUAUGAUGUGGUAUUAGAAUCAAUGUGCAUGGUGGAAGUUCUUAUUAAUGUUAUUAAGUCAUUUAUCCAAUUGAGUACCCAUCCAUAAAUUGGAGCUUAAUGACCAAUUGAUGCCAAAUCAUUGGGAAAGCCUUAUGGAUUAAGUCAAAUUUAUAGAUGUGGGUUAAUGAUUACAUAUUGGUAUUGAUAUUUUUGGUUGAUGAGUGAUUAAGUACUUAAUGUAAUUAAUUACUGAAUGUAAUUGGAGUUGUCUUUAGGAAUGAAAUAAAAAUUGGAGGCAUGAAUCUAUCUGCACAUAAAGUGUCGUGUGGCCACUCCCUAGCGCGGUGCACUCGGCCAAACAAACUUCGUUUUGAUGUUGAUUUGUCCUUCUAUUGAGCUUAAUUCCAGUUUUAUACCUUCCUUAUGUUUUUGGUGACUUAUAAUCUAGAUUUUUGAUACUUGUACUUCUAAGUCUUAAGUUACUUUGAACAAAAUAGUAAUGUAAUUUCAAUUCCUAUAGGUAGUGAUUGAGGGUGGUUACUCGUUAAAGAAAAGUGGUGUAAGAAGUUGGGAGCUAAGGUGAGUUACCAGGAACAUACAUCCCCUAUUUGUUGUGGGUAAAAUUUUGACAUUUAUUUUAUUAUGCCCAACAUCUUGAAUUAAUGCUAACAUCCAUGGUAGCAUAAGAUCUUGGAUUUAGUUAAUAUCUUCGGGACUGUCAUCGUGUUUCUUGUUAUCUUUUAAGCUAAAAUUGAAGACUCUAUAAAAAAGAAAUAGACCAGGUUAAAAGACGCGUGGUCAAAGCAUAAUAACAUUGAAGUCAUCCUAAAGAACCGGUUCAAGCAUGGAUCAAGUAGGAUCCCUGUAAUUUAGACAUGUUUAUUAAUAUACACAUGUAUAAAAUCCUAAUUGAUCCAAUACUCACACUCGUUUUCUCUUUUGCUCUCACUUACUCUUUGAUAAAACUUAAGCUCUUUUACACUUACAUCACGAUCAGCUAGCACUUGUAAACAUUUUCUAUUAAUUUAAGUUCUAAGGCAGGUGAUUACAUCACCUCCCGUGGUUUUAUGUCGGAGAUCUUGAGUGAUCAAGGGAUUUCCUCGUAUAUUCUUGUGUUUUUGUUUUUACAUUUAGGUUUACACUGAUCUUUCUCAUUUUUCAUUGCUUUUAUACGAUUUAUUAAGCGUAUUUAUAUCUAACUGCAUCUUUGGUGUACAACAUUUAUCUUGGGAUAGUAUACAGUAUAUUGACCUUUUUGAAUGUAUGAUUAUCCUUUUCAACAUUUUCUACAUAUUUACCAUUGUUUUUAUCCCAAUUUACAAAUAUAUACAUACUCAUAUCUUCGAUUAAGUCAACAUUCUUUAACUUAUUUUCUUUAUAUAAAAAUCUUAAUAUUAUUGUCUUAUUUGUAGGAUGUUGGGCACGUCCAAUAUUUUCAACAUCCUCCAAAAUAUUAAGCACCUGACAAAUCUUCUUCUUAAAUCUUCACCUAAAACACCACACCAUCUUUUACUAAUUUGGUUGCAAAGUUAUUAGUGUAAUUUUUUUUUUACCAAAACACUACUUAGUCAUUUUUAUUUGAUAAGUUUUACUUGAUUUUCAUUGCAUGGUACUUUAUGUACCUAUUGAUUGCUAAGUGACCUAAUUAUGCAUCCAUGAAAUGUUAUUUUUGAGCUGUUUUGAUAAUUGAAGCUAAAGAGCUUGAAAUCUUGGAAAAAUAUUUUCAUUACCCUAUGUGUGCAUAUUCAUACUAGGAUGGGUGUGACUUUCAAAUGUUGGUGUAACAUUGUGAUUUUCACCUAUUUUUUAUUUUUAAAACGUCAUUUAAAAGAAUAAUACAACGGACGUAUUAUUAAAAGUUUGUUUGAAAAACAUCAUAAAUGUUACUUUGAUAUCAAAAACAACCUCUUUCAAAAGUUUUAAAAUCACCAAACAAGUUUUCAAAACCAAAAGUAGAUGAAAACCUAUCCACAAGUCCAAAAUGGUAUCAUCACUAAAGAUAUACUAAGUGUAACUACCUAAAAUCCCCCAUCCUCUCCAAUGCAUCAUAGCAUGCUAUAUGUACCAAUGCAAGGUAAAAGUAAGAAUCAAAUAAACAACUGCCAGCAUACGCUAAGCGGGUCAAUCAUAAGUAUGGUGUUAUGGAAUGUAUAUAUCCCAAAUAGUUCAAACAAAGCAUCAUAGAAACAUGCAUUCCAACACUCAUGUGGCAUGGCAUCAAAUACAUCAUAUAACCAACACAAUAUUGCUCAAAUAAUAUUUUUCUUCUUCUAAAGCCAUUACAUUUAGUUACACUUCUUUAUUCAUCUUUGUAACUAGUUAUUACUUCAUUCAUCACUAUAAUAUUACAAGAUAAUAUUAAUAUUCAUUUUCGUCAUUAAUAAUUACUCUCCUAUAGUCACCUUUAUAAUUAUUGUUAUAAUACUUCCUAUUUACAAUUUUAUAUUUAACACCUGUUUCCAGGAUAGAUCAAUUUAGGAUUUCAAGGAGUCAAAGGUUGAUUUUUUUAGAAAAUCACGUGUCAUGACGUGACCAUUGGGUGGUCAUGACAUGACAAACAAAAUACGAGAAACGUGUUUCGGACCAUUCUUACGACGUGAGGCACAAGGUGUCACAACGUGAAACCUGCUGUAGCCCAAGCCCUUGAUCUUUUUGGUUUUAUUCGUAUUUAAGCCCCUCUAAGUCAUUUUUUAGGGUGCAUUACCAGCCUCCAACACUCUUUUACCAUAGAAAAACCCUAACCCUAAUUACAUUGGUGAUUCUUGGCCUUUUGGAGCAUUUGUUGGCUUGAAGAAUAAGAGAAUAAGGUGUUCUAUUGGUGGAGCUUGCAAGGAAACAAUAACAUCAUUAUAUCAUAUUGUUUAUGGACCUAUGUAAGUGUUGAAGGCUCAAACUUUAUUACUUAAAUUGGUUAGAUCUAAGUUGUUGCCCCAUGUCUUUCAUGUUUAAGCAAGUUUGAAUGGAAGGAAUACAUAAAGUUGGCAACUUUAUGCAUUCUAAGGGUCCCUUGAGUAUGAUAAUGUUUUGAUCUAGAAGUUGGUUGAUUAUUGGAUCCAUGCAUGUGAGUUUCGAUUUAAUUUCUUCAUUUUGACCUAGAAUGGAUAGAGGAUAUGCACGAGUAUGGACCUUUGGAGUCCACUUUCGCUUCUGGAAGAUUUAGGGUGAAAGAAUUAAUGGAUUAAGGUCUUAAUUUUUUGGAUUCAUGCUUCAAACUGUAGUCACAACGUGACACAAGGUGUGUCACGACGUGACCACAAAAGAUCCCGUUUCCACUGAGUCUUUUGGGGCUCAUAACGUGAAAAAAGGAUGUUCACGUCGUGAGGUCAGCCCAAAGGAUUAUUUGUGACUGAGUUGGCUGAGUUAGAGCAAGUCGAGUUGGAAUCGGAUCGAAUGUACUCUCACGACGUGACCAAGGGCUGGUCACGACGUGAGGAUCGUUGGUUGACAUUGAUGGUUGUUGACUUUGACUUUGACCAUUGGUUUGUUGAAUUGGUUUGGCUUUUGGUCAAACUAAGGGUUUUAGUGUGUAGAUUGAGAGGUUAAUCUUUAUUGUUGUUAAGUGCCAAUUCGGAUCAGUCCUUGUUGGGUGAGAGCUAUGGUGUUAGUCGUUGCUUGCGAGGUAAGUCUUCUCACUAUACUUGCGUGUGUGGUAGUAUAUGCAUGCUGACCAACUAGGUCUUAUUUGUUGAUUGUUGUUAUGUGUGAAUUGAGUUGUUGAUAACUCCUGGACUGUUGAUAGUCCCCAGGGUUGCUAAUAACCUGUGAGGUGUGCUAUUAAUCUACAAGGUGUGCUGUUGGCCCAUUGGGACCGCUGAUAGCCCCCAAGGUUGCUGAUAAGCCAUAGUUGUUUAUAUUGUUGUGUUGUAUGUGAUGUUCAGGACUACUGAAAGACCCCAACUUUCGUAUUUAUGAAAGACCCAAACUUUCAUACUAUUCCAACAUUAUUCUUAAGUUACUUCCUCGAAACAUGCUACAUGCAUAUUUAUAAAACAAUAUUUUAUAUAGAUAAAGUGAUUACAAAGGAUUGGAUACAAACCGACUAAGUUUUAUUACAUUUCAUAUCUACCCAGGAAUCUACUAUUCAUAUACAUACAUGAACAUUAAAAUACAUAGAAAUAGUAUUAACUAUUCUAAAUCUUUCAGCAGUAUAAAACUAUAUUGGAUACUCAUCACCUGCAAUUGUUAAAUAUUGAGAGGGAUAAGCGAUAAUGCUUAGUGAAUUCAANUAUACAUACUUGAACAUUAGAAUACAGAGAAAUAGUAUUAACUAUUCUAAAUCUUUCAGCAGUAUAAAACUAAAUUGGAUACUCAUCACCUGCAAUUGUUAAACAUUGAGAGGGAUAAGCGAUAACGCUUAGUGAAUUCAAUAAAUAGAUACAAUAUAAUCUUAUGCCUUAUAUAUACCAAUAUGACAGAAGCAAAAGGGAACAAGAACAACAAUAGCAUAUGCGUAUCAUAUGUCACGCUUUCAAUAUCAACUCAAGAUUUGAUUCAAAGAUUUACGAUCAAUGAGACAUAACAAUUUCACUACUUGAUAUACAUCAAUAAAGCUUUUGGCCCAAACGGCACAGAAGAUAUACAACUUCGGAUUAACAUUUUGGUAGAUUUCAGGCUUAAAGCCCUGUCUAACCAUUUGCCAAUACCAUAGAAUAGAGUUCAUUCUCUUACGGAGUCAUGCUCUACAUGGUCAGAGGCUACAUACCAGUCCUAUCUAACCUUCUGCCAAUGCCAUAGAAUAGAAGUCAUUCUCUUACGAGACAUGUUCUACAUGGCCAGAGGCUACAUACCAGUACCACCGUGAAUCUAAGUCCUUUUACUGAUCACAUGGUCAAAGGUAUAACUUUGCUAUUAAAAAUAGCGAAUAAAAAUAACCCGGGAAAAUAACCCGGAAUAAUAACACUGAAAAGCACAUAGCACAUAUAACACAUAACAUACAAUUGUUCCUAUAUAUUGAACUCACCUUAAAAUAAUCGGGGGUUAAAAUAGUAAUUUGAGCAGCAUAUCGGCUCCAAAUAUGGCUUUAUUUGUUGAAAACCGGGAGAAUUAGCUAAAAACCGGACUCUAAAAAGGUAGAGCUUCAAAACCGAAAAGAUAAAUUUUUCGGGAUUCUCGGGAGUCUCGGGGCGUGUUUCGGGCUUUAGAAUCAGUACCGGGGCUUCGGGGGAUGUCGGGAUCGUAAAAAUAUUGAAAGAGGGGGUGAAAAUGCCAAAUUUCUAAAACUAGCCGAGAGGGCUCGCACCCCUUAUAUAGGGUUGAGCUUCGGAUCCGAAGCGAAGGGAAGGAGGCGGUGGCUGCGAGGUUCGGACCAGAUGGCAGCUUCGCAGGGCUCCAGCGAGGCUCGGAUGCGAGGAGUCAUCAGCUUCAGGCGCGUCAUCGGCUCGGUCUUCGGCUCGGACAGCAGGUGGCUCGCACGUGGGUCUCGCAUGCGAGGGUGAUCAAGGGGGUGUCUCAUGCGAAGGUGCUCCGGGCUUAGUGGUCCUCGGCUUGGUCCAAUCAGAAGGCAACACGCAAGGCUGCGGUCUAAUCAGAAGCGAACAUCUGUCCGACACGUGGAAGCCUCGCAUACGAGGGUGACGUGGCAUUUCACUAUUCAUACGAAUUUUCUCGAAAAAUGUGCAAAAACUUCUAAAAUCCAUAACUUUCGCAUACGAGCUCCGUUUUUGACGUUCUUUAUAUGCACGCGAAGCUAGAAUUAUGCUCUACAACUUUCGUUUAGACUUCGUCGGCUAAUUUUGAUUUUAAUUUUAAUAUUAUUAUUUUUAACAGACCGGGACAGGAAAAUCCGUUAAAAAUUCAUAACUUCUUCAUCCGACGUCCGUUUUCGUCAGACUUUUUACCGUUGCACUACUAAUGACGAGACCUUCAAUUCUCGUUUAGGUUGUGUCGGCUAAAAAUCACUCGAUCUAAAAUUCGAGUUUUUAGCUGUCUACUGUUAAGCUGAAACUUCGAAAAAUUAUAACUUACUCAUACGAAGUCAGAUUCAAACGGUCUUUAUAUGAAAGUUGAUUAUUUUCACGAGUUCUACAACUUUCAUUUACAUUACUAAGGCUAAAAAUUAGUUUAUCGAAAACUAAAUUUUUACGCGACAAGGUAUUUUCCGGAUUUAUCACGGAUCUUCGUUUGGUCAUAACUUCUUCGUUAUAACUCGGAAUUCGAUGAGGUUUUCGCCUAAAUGUUUCUAACGAGAUUAUCUACAACUUUCAAUAAUAAAAUUUUACUUAUUUCAAAUUUUAUAUUUUCGCUAAAUUUUCAUGAUUUGACUAUUAAUUGGAAUCUCAUAAGACUUCCAACAUUUUAUGAGUGAUUCUAAACAUAGUUUUACUUCAUUUCUAGUAAAAACUAGCUGUUAGAACUCAACACUCAAUUUUAUUCACUUUUAAUAAUAACAAUACACAAUUUCAGAACGUGUAUGUUACAACUACUAAUAAUCCCAGGGCAGCUAAUGACCCUUAGCUAAUUAUUAUAUUGUGUUGUAUGGGGUAUUUUGGGGAACUUAGUAAGCUUUGUGCUCAUAAUUGUGGAUUAACUAUUUGCAAGUACUUAUCAGGUUGCGAAGGUGGGAUUGCACACACACACACAUCAAUAGUUUUUAUGACUGGAGAUUCCGUAUUGUCUUCAUUAUAACUUUGAUUUAUGAAUAAUGGUUAAUGAACAAAUGGUUUAUCCUGAAAGUAAUUUUAUGAUGUCAUACUAUUUUAAAAAUAAAAAAUUCAGCGUGGGUUUAAGGGAUGUUUCAAAUUGGUACCAGAGCUCUGGGUUGAGGGGUUUGGAUGAACAUUUGUGGGAUUCCAUACUCAAACUAUGGAACUAAGAGUUUUACUAAGCAUUUUUGGAAAAGAUUCAUUUCAGGAGAAGAAAAUAGAAGACGUGAUGUGUACAGUCAGUUGGUUCUCGUAAAGUGAUUUCCCAAAAUAUCCAUACUUACUUUAUAUGUUAUGACCGAAUUAUUGUUAUAUGAUGUGCAUGCUAUGAGUCAGGAUAGAGUUAGGCAAGAGUGCCAGUAACAUCCAUAAAAUCAUGAAAAAAUUAAACUUUUAAAAACCACACAAAAUAUAAAUUCUUCACAAUAUAGUUUUCAAAACAUGUUCUACAUCAUAGUUUUUCCCAAAAUCAUAAGUCCAAAACAUGAGGAUGUGUACGGUCACGCCUUUACCUUCCCGCAAUCCUCUGAAGUACCUGAAACAUAACCCAAAACUAUAAGCCAAUGCUUAGUGAGCUUCCUCCAAAGUACCAACACACAAUACAUAUAACAAUAACAAACAACAUAUGCAUAUAGAGCCUUCAACAUGACUGGACCGCCUCGCAGGCCUCCAGCCUAUCUGGACCACUCAUAGGACCUUCAGCAUGACUGGAUUACCGCACUGGGCCUUCAGCCUAUAUGCACCGUCCUUCGGGCCUUCAGCCUGACUGGACCGCCUCGCAUGGCCUACAUUCUAUCUGGUCUGCUCUGGGUGUCUCGACCUUCAGCACAAAGCAGGACCGCCUCAACCCAACCAACCACAACAUGUCGACAUACACAUAAAUAAUAAACAUAUAACUAGGAAAUAGACAAACAAACAGAUUUACAGAUCAAUACCACAUGCUAACAUCCUAUUUACCAGGAUACAAAUCUAACAGAUCAUCACAAUACACGAUCAUACGAUCAACCAGGAUAACAAUCCGAAGGUGUAACACCCUGUUUAUUAAAUAAAUAAAUAUACAAAUUAACGAAUAAAUAGUAGACCUAAAAUCAAUAAUAAUAUAGCAAGGUGUUGGUCUCGAGGAGUUAAUUGUUAUAGUUUUAAAAGUUAGGGGUUAAAAGUGUAAGUUUCGGAGUGGUUGAAAAAGGUUUGUGAAGGAUGGGCCGAAAUUGGAAAAUGGAAAACAAUUUUGGUAUGGGCAUGGGUUGUGGACUCGGUGGCUUUUUCUCCCGUGUGAUGAUACACCAGCAAACCCUAAACCUAGCAAAGGACUCCAGCCGCCAUGUAUGAUGUUCAGCCUCCACCACCCCCUUCUGUUGAGAGAAAAACUUGGAGACACACUUGAACAAACGUUAGAACAAGUAUAUUGCGGAAUAGGGUUAAUCUCAAAGGAUCUAAAAGCUCAACAAUAAUAUAGUUAGAGUUAGGAAAUUAGUUGCAGAAUUUAAAGAAAUAGAAAUGACAACAAUUGUUAUAUCAAGAAUACACUUAAGCUGAUUCGUAACAAGGAAUGCAUUCACUCCAAGUUAAUAAGGAAGAUCAAACUUAGUGAUUAAGUCUUACAGACUUGCUCCGGAGAGAGAUUAUAUUCAGAUAUGUUUAAGUAGCAGUUGAGAGUAAGAAGAGUAGAAAGAUAGAGAAAUGAAGAAGAUAACUUAGAGAAAUAUAUUCAGAAUAAGUUCAUAAGUUAUCAGUAAGGAGUAAGUAGUGUUAUCGAUACAAGAGAAUGAGUCUCUAUUUAUAGAGACUCUGAACUAGAUUAAGACUAUAUAAGCAGUCGUGCAAGGCAUACGGGAUAAUAGAGUGAAUUACAUAAAAGACAAGUAAAAUUAAUCUAGUAGACUGCGGUAGCAAAAAGAACUAGUUGCGGUUAUAGUUGUAGAAUUGACUCCGGGUGCUGGAUUGGAUGCGGGAGCUGAACUGUUGCGGUAGUAAAGAGAAGGUUGCGGUAGUUGAGUUCAAGAGGGUCACUUUUUAUGAUUCAACAAUUUCACCCUAAGUGACCUCUUUAACUCCGGUUCAGUUAUCAAGUUUGAGGAACUUGAUCAAAAUCCACCAAAAUUUCCUAACAUUCUCCAGCCAUGUAAUUCUCCUUGUAAUUUCAAACUUGACUUCAGCAGUAGUGUGCUUUGAUCUUUCUACUGCGAUCUUGUAGAUGUCAAUUUGUUUCUUGGGCAGGCGGUGCACGACAUUCAUCAGAAUCAAGUAUUUGACAUUGUCUGUCUUCCGUUUGAAUAUGAUGCCAAGUUCCGGGAAGUUGGUUGCACCUAGAGAUCUUUCUUCGUAGCCUUCGGUAAGCAUUGGCACAGGUUCAAGUGGUGGAAGGUCAAAUUUCUUGAGGAUGGUGGGGUGGAUGUCCGCGUCAAUCUUCGCAAAGUCAAAGACUGUGUCCCUCAAGAAAGAGUUGACUUUUACAAGUGCUAUUUACAUCUUGGGGUUCUUUUCUGCCUUGUUCUGGAACACUCUGGAAAUGAGGAAAAAAAAUCUUCUGGAUUCAUGCAUGGGAAGUCUGUCUGGGUGCGAAUGUACUCAUGCUCUUUUCUGGUGAGAGUAUACUGGACAAAAUCAUCCUUCAUGAACUUCCGCAUUUUGUAGUUCUUGACUACGGAUGGUCUGUCGUUAGACCAUAUUUUGUCAAUGGAGGAGGAAUGUUUGGCAUAGAAACGGUUUAAUCUCUCAAACUCCAUCGACAGUCUUUUGUGGGUAGGAAGACUGCUGUCAAAUGGCUCAAACACUGCAAAGUAUUUGGCAUUUGGUGAAAUUGGAAUGUCCUAGUAACCAUCAGUGGGGGGUACAACAUAUGUUAGAUGUGGUGUAUAGUCUUCAUCCAGCAGCCUGCGGUGCGGAUUGACCCAUGAGUUAAUUAGUGACUCAUCAAUCAUGGUGUCGAAUCCGCACUCUCUCCAGAUGAGUUCAACUAACUUGGCUGCUUUCCAGUCUUGUUUUGUUUGAGUUGUGGCAGGGGAGUCUGUGGAAAUUUUCGGAUGACAUGUUCUCCUCCAAAGUUUUGAAGUAACGAGGGGUCUCAGGCUUUUUGGACGUGUCUUUAGGAGGUGAAGUGGGGGGAGUUGGAGUAUGUUGAGAUGGUUGCGGUGAAGGCCGGGGUGAUGGCAUUUUUUUAGUGGUGAUGAGGGGACUCUGAUGAAAAGAGGCAUUAGAGUGGUGGACUUCUUCAUCUUCUUCACUUCCCCCUCUUGAGGAACGCAACCCCGGUGCUUCCUCAAGCCAUUGCUUUAGUCCAUCCACCUUGGCACAAACUUCUUGGAAUUGAGCUUUAAGUGUUUCUGCCAAUUGGGAAUUAUUUGGGAUGGUAGGGUGAAAGAGCAGCUUGUGUAUGUCUUUUGUAAGCUAGAGGGUCUCAGGACCAUGGAAGUUGAAGGUAAGGGAUUUAUGCAGUAUAUUAAUUAUAGCUUGAAGAACAGAGAUAGUGGACUCAUAAGCAGUAUGAGUCUCAUCUAUCACUUUCUGAGACUGUGCAGCUUGAUUCGCGAUGGCUGCUUGAAGAUCCUUUUUAAUUGCGGUAACUUCAGAAAUGAGGCGUUCCGCUGCAGCCAUAAAGUCUUGAUGAUCGGCCAUGCGGUUGUUAUCAAGAGAUCGGAUUCCCAUUUCGACUUUGAGAGAGAUGCGAUUAGCAGCCAUACGCUCUCUUGUCUCAAGUCGUUCAACUCGCUCAACGAGGGACUGCGGUCCUGGAGUAUCUUCAGAUGGAGGUUGGGUAGGUUUAACUGCAGCCAAAAUCUGAUCAGCCUUGGCUUGGAGAUUGAGGAAUUCCUUCCUAGUGACCGCAUCCUUCUUCUUCUUCUUCUUUUCUUUGGGCUUAGAAGUGGAGUGUUGAGAGCCGCUGGAAUCUUCUUAUUCUUCGAACAUCAUAAGGUCGUCAUCGGAAGGAUUUGGUUUGUUAACCUCUUGGAUGUCUUCAUCAUCAAAACCGAAGGUUGGGGCUGAGCUGAGUUCAGUAGCCAGUUCUUCGUCUUGAGAUGGGUUGACUGCGGUAGGUGGAACAGGAGAUGAAGUAGGAGGAACCUUUGAAGUAGCUACGGCUGCGGCUGUAGCUUGAGCUUUUAACAAGGUGUCUUCCAUUAGAUCCAUCCGGGUUUGAACCUUUUGGAUUGUGGCAGCAGUAUGGGCAUUGCUGAUGGCAUUUGCCCAAUACUUGGCCACAUACAGGAUUUCUUGUUCCUUCUGUUGUUGUUGUUUGACUUGUUACUCCUUGAGGGCUUGGAAUGAUCUUUUAAAAGUGACAUAUUUCUUGAUUUUGGCAUCAGUAGUUGGCUGAUACCGACUACAAGAGUCACUUGAAUCUUCGCCGUCAAUUCAUUCUGUUCGCACCAAGGUGUCCCUUGGGUUCACGGAUCCUUGCACAUUAGUGCUCAUCGUGCCUAAACCACCUGAUAAAGAUGUGAGCAGAGUAGGAUUUCCUGGGCUUCCUUGGUCUCCUUGACCCGUGGUCAAGUCUGGCCUCGGUCCAGUUCUGGCAUGGGCGAAAGAGAUGCCCUGCGGAUGGAAUGGUGUUUGAAGUGUUUGGGAUACAUGCAAAAGGAUGGAGUCUAACUCCUCAGAAGAAAAAAUAUGCAGUCUGGAAGCCCUGGAGACCUUAGGGCGAUUUCCAGAUUUAUCUACUUGAGAUAAAACUGGGGGGUUGUCUCCACGUUCGGAUGAAGAAGAGGAUGAAACAAUCUCACAUGAUGAGGUUGAGUGGUAUUCGAGUGUAGUAUUGAAUGGAUGUGCGGCCAUCCCAAGGACUAUCGGAGCCUGUUGAGAGUCAGUCCGGUCACGCAUUUGGCCAGUGGUUUCGGUUGUCUUUCUUUUUCUUGAGGAUAGCUAUAGGUUGUCUAUCUUCCUCAGAAUCACUGCUCGAAACAGUGGUGGGUUUGGUUUUUCGUUUCUUUGAUGGUGCGAUUGGUUUUGGGGCAUUCUUCUUAGGCGUGCUAGUUUUCCUUUUAGAUGCCACAUAUUUUCUCCGUUGAGAAAUGUUAGAAAGUGUAGUGGUAGAGGGGGUUGCGGUACCCUCAGGGAGAAUGGUUGUAGAAGGAAGAGGUGGGGUAGAAGGGUAUGAGAUAAUACCCUCUGUGGCCUCUAUAUGAUCUGAGACAUCAGCAGUCUCGAGACCAAGUAAGGUGAGAAUAUGAAUGGGGAGCCUGCGGAUAGGUCCAAAUAAAGUUUGAUCAGAAGAGGGAUUGUAACUUUNCCUUUUGAGAUCCUUGGUGACAAAAAAAUUGAUGUCACUGCCCAAGUCGAGACCAGCAUCCGCAUGUAGAUCAGAAAUACAUAAAGACCAAGAUCGAGCAAAGGUGAGCUCGGUUGGGUUCUCUCUGGGUGCUCUUUGGGAAUGUAUUGGAGGAAGUCAUCCCAAAGAAUCUAGCCAUAAUUGACAUCGUGGCCUGUGAAGAUGCUCCAUACGAAUUCUAGCAGCUUUAAACCCAUGUUGUCGAUGCCUCCGGUUCUGCCGGAUAGACAGCAGAUGACAAAGUGGCAUACAAACUGCCAAACCGCAGGCAGUUGGUUCUUCUUCAACUCACCAAUCCCUCGUAUCGGUUUCUGAUAACCCAUUUGGUAGAGUGCGGCGGUGAUGCCAGAUAAGGAUGGUGUGAAGAUCUUGAUGGAGGGAUGAAUCAGAAGGUUUAUGGCAGUCAAGAACAUCUCUUUGGUCAAAAUGACAAAAGAAUCAUUGAUGAGGUUAAGAUGCACUUCUUGUGGGUUUUCCAGUGGUCUGUAUGCAGAAAGAGCACACUUGAAGAAUGUAGAGACGGGAACAACAUCAGUGAAUGCGUCAAAUGGGCCAAACAAGAUAUGGUUCUUGAGAUAGUUGAUUAUUAGUUUGGUUGGGGCAUUGUACGACUGAUGAUCUUCAAACACUGCUCGGAAGUUGCUUGAGGCGAUCAACGAAGAUGUGGAACCAGUUGGAUUCAUGGAGCCUGAAGCCUUGGAUUGCUUCUUUGAUGCACCUGAUUUCGCCAUUGAGAGAUGAGAAAUUGGAGUUCUUGAAAGCUUUUGGGAGUUUUGAGAGAAUAAUCGAUUAACAGAGAGCGUAAACGAUUUUAGAGAAGAAGAUGGGUUUAUAAAGGAGGUAAAAGAAUUUUAACCCUAGGUAAAAGAGAGAAGGGGGUAAGAAGUUGAAUGGAGUUUUUGGGGGGAAUCAAUGAUUCUGGGAUUGAAUCUCAGCCACACGAAGAUGAAGCGGGUUUUGUAGAGAUUUUUGAAAGAUCUUAAAAGGGGUUUGCAUUUAAUGGAGGAUUAGACGCAUGGUAAAACGUCAGAUAAACAUGGGGUGAUGAGAGAGAAAGUUGUAACUGGUGGGACGUGGUUGGGAGUGGAAAAGACAAGUUGACGAUGGAUUGAUUUGGGAAUCGUUCUUUUUGUCAUCAUCCCUAAAAUAGGUCUGAUCCGGGGUUUAUUCAGAAAGGGAAUGUGACAGUUUCUAAAGGUAAUAUUUGUAUUUUAUUUAAUGAAGGGAAAAACCCACCAUGGUGGUUGCCGCCCCUGCCACCGCUUUUUGCCGCCACCAGCCACCGUGAAGGGUGGUUAUUCGUGUGAUUUAUUAUAUUUAAUUGUGGGUUUGAUGGGAUUAUGUGGAAUGAUUCAUGUUUGGCCGGAUUAAUCAAGGGAAAAACCCACCACCACCACCGUGUGCCGUCGUCGACCACCACUGCCCGAGGUGGCAGUGGGUGGUGCUCGACUUAAUGAAACCCUAACUGACCUAAAAGCCUAACCGUUUGACUAAUUGCCAUGUGUUUGGGUUAGAAACCCUACUUAGGGUUUAGAAAACCCUAAUUUUAGAAAAUGUUAGUUUUGGAUUGUCGGGACCCACGUUUGGACCAAUGGACUGAAGUUAUGAUUUAUGCCGAUUCCGUUGUAUGUUGACCUAGUGGAGUAAUGGACUUAAUGGGUUACAUCCUUAAUUGGGUUAAGUGAGAACACUUUGAUGGGUUUUGAGCAUUCUAACACUUCCUAACUGUACAUGCAACCCUAAUAACAUUGGAUCUAUGUUUGUCUAAUUAUCAUGCUAAGUUGAAUUCCAAGGCUAUAUUCCUAUCUAGCAUACAUGGGGAACAAUUUUAACUUGAAUCAUAGAUAGAAUAACUUACCUUGUUGUUGCUUGUGUUCCUUGAAACCUUGUGAGCCUAGCACCCCAAGUGUGAUGCCUCAAAUGCUUCACACAACACCAAAUGCUCUUGGAAAGACUCUUGAGAUAACACACACUUCUCAAAAUCGGCCAAGCCCUCUAGUUUCUUAGUGUAGCCGAUUUUGGUGGAGAAUAUGAUUCUUAUAUAGUGUUGACACAUCUAGGGUUACACCAUGUAAACCCUAAUGUGUCAUGACUCUUCAUUUCCAUGACCCAUGGGUUUGUAACUCCCAUGGAGCAUCCAUGGAGCAUCCUAUGGGUAGAACCCAACUUGAUAAUCCAUGGAGCCUCUUAGCCCACUAUACAAGAUAUGGAUGAUUUACAUAAUCAACCCAUAUAUUUAAUUAGUUAUCCUUUGAUCACUUAAUUAAUUCCAAAUUAAUUCUUUGAUCAACUAAUCAAAUAAUAUUAUUAAUAUAUUAGAACUUAUAAUAUAUUAAUAAUCUCCAAGUGUUAUUUCUCUCAUUUAGUCUAUCCAAUUGCAUGGUGCCAUGCAACCCAAAUGGACCAUGCCGGGUCGGGUCAAGUACAAGCCCGAAAUAGUUAUGGACUUAGACACCUUAUCCAACAGUCUCCCACUUGGAUAAGUCUAAUAACUAUAUCUCUAGUACUUCAGGAACCGACCGGCAAUCGUAGCUCUUUCAAGGUCUCUCGGAACUGAGAAGAUGAUGGUACGCCAUUUAAGAUAAGUGAUCAUAUAAUCCUCCGUUCUAGAUAUCAGCCGGACAAAUACAUGGAACAUUGUCUUGCUUAUUGUCCAGCAUUUGUUUCCCGAUUUCCGAUUUGUUUGACAUAGAACUUAAUUGAACACAUCAACUUAGUUCUGACCGGGCCCGGUACAUGGGUCAAAACAAAAUCAUCGAGGGGCCCAGAUAUCAGCUUCUAAUCCAAGAAGGAACAGAUAAACUUCGACUCAUAUGUUUGUUCUACCACUCAUUGAAUUACACACAAAAGUACGUUUUAUAACAUCGAGUUACCAAUGCGGUUUCGUACAGUCAAUGCAUAACCAACUUGUAAGUAACAAAUCAUAUCUCUAGGUUUGAAGACUUAUAUGAUAUUACCGUCUCACGAUCACUCGAGAUAGAAUUCCAUGAAGUGAUUCCAGUGAGCGUGGGUUGAGUCCAAUGCUCAGAACUUAUGAGCACUCAUGAUUGUUGUAGCCUUGUCCAACACCUUAGACCUCUACAACCCAUCAUGACAGUCUUGAUUCAUACCUACUUCCGACAUAUGACCGACUGUGGAGGUUUGAAUAAUAUGUUACACCAAACAAAAUUAUUCUGGAAGUCAAAACAUGCAAAAGAAAUAUAGUAAACGAUUGACAAGAGAUAGCAACACUUUACUCAUAAAUAAAACACCUUUUAUUCAUCAUCAAAUGUCAAUUACACUUUACAAAUUUCUGGGUUAUCUAACUACUAAAACUUAUAUCAUCCUUCAGCCCUAUGCUCCGAGCAUGCUGGAGAUGCUUAACCCUACUCAGUCCCUUCGUGAGGGGAUCUGCUGGGUUCUCAUCCGAUGAUACCCUCUUUGCCACGAGGAGUCCUUCUUCGAUCCGAUGUCUAAUGAAAUGGUAUUUUCUGUCGAUGUGUCUGGAUCUCCCAUGAUCCCUUGGUUCCUUGGCUAAGGCAACAGCACUUUCACUAUCACAGAAAAUUUCCAUUGGCUCUUUAAUAGCUGGUACAACUCCAAGGUCUCCAAUGAAGUUCUUCAGCCAUAUCGCCUCCUUUGCUGCUUCGCUAGCUGCAAUAUACUCUGAUUCACAAGUAGAAUCUGCCACUGUCUCUUGCUUGGAACUCUUCCAAGAAAUUGCUCCUCCGUUUAGGGUAAAGACCCAGCCCGACUGAGAGCGGAAAUUAUCCCUAUCAGUCUGGAAGCUAGCAUCACUAUACCCUACAACUCUCAAGUCAUCACUCCCACCGAGGGUAAGGACCCAGUCCUUAGUCCUCCGUAGGUACUUGAGGAUAUUCUUUACCGCAGUCCAGUGUGCCUUGCCAGGGUUCGCCUGAUACCUGCUAACCAUGCUCAAGGCAAAAGCUACAUCGGGUCGAGUACACGUCAUAGCAUACAUGAUCGAUCCUACAGCCGAAGCGUAAGGUGUUCGACUCAUUUCUGCUAUCUCAGCCUCAGUGCUAGGGCUUUGUGUCUUACUCAAUCUGGUGUUACUCUGGAUGGGUAACUCUCCUUUCUUGGAAUCCUGCAUGCUGAAUCUCUUCAGCACCUUAUCCAAGUAGGUACUCUGACUAAGUCCAAUUAGUCUUUUACUCCGAUCUCUCAAGAUUCUUAUCCCUAGAAUAUAGGCAGCUUCACCAAGGUCCUUCAUAGCGAAACACUUCCCAAGCCAGGACUUUACUUCCUGCAGGGUUGGAAUGUCGUUUCCUAUGAGUAGUAUGUCAUCCACAUACAAUACCAAAAAGCUAACUAUACUCCCACUAGCCUUGACAUACACACAAGAUUCAUCUUCACUCCUAGAAAAGCCAAAUUCCUUGACCUUUUCAUCAAAGCAAAGAUUCCAUCUGCGAGGUGCUUGCUUCAAUCCAUAAAUGGAUUUCUCAAGCUUACACACUCUAUUAGGGUACUCGUUGCUGACAAAACCCUCUGGCUGACUCAUGUAAACAUCUUCAGCCAACUUUCCAUUAAGGAAAGCGGUUUUGACAUCCAUCUGCCAUAUUUCAUAGUCAUGAAAUGCAGCUAUGGCUAACAGAACCCGAAUAGACUUAAUCUUGGCUACCGGAGAAAAGGUCUCAUCAUAAUCCACUCCAGGAAUUUGAGAGAAGCCCUUUGCAACCAGUCUAGCCUUAUAAGUGUGUACUUUACCAUCCAUGUCGGUCUUCUUCUUGAAGACCCAUUUGCACCCUACUGUCUUACGACCUGGUACAUUUUCAACCAAGUUCCAAACUUGAUUGUCAUACAUGGAUUGUAUCUCGCUAUCCAUAGCCUCUUUCCAUUUAGCAGACUCGGGGCCUGCCAUGGCUUCCUCGUAGCUGUUAGGGUCAUCUUGACUUACUAGUGUCUCAUCACUAAUAAGUGUCUCACCUUCUGCAGUAAUAUGGAAUCCAUAGUAAUGCUCAGGUGCACUCCUAACUCUCGUGGAACGUCUCAGAGGUACAGAUUUGUCAAUUGGCUCAACAGGAGUUUCCUCCUCAAGUUGAGGGCUAGAGUUUGAAGUUCCUUCACCGCUUGAUUCUUGAAUUUCUUCAAGAUCAAUUUGCCUCCCACUGUCUCCUUGGCUUAUAAACUCUCUUUCUCGAAAGACUCCUCUUCUUGCUACAAAGACCACAUUGUCACUAGGUCUGUAGAAGAGGUAACCAAAGGAUCGCUGUGGGUAACCGAUGAAAAUACACCUCUCGCUUCGAGGUUCGAGCUUAUCAUGAGUCUCGCGUCUCACGAAAGCCUCGCAACCCCAAAUCUUGAUGUGGUCUAGUUUAGGUACUUUACCAGUCCACAUCUCGUGAGGAGUUUUGGCAACUUUCUUUGUAGGGACUAGAUUAAGAAUAUGGGCGGCAGUCUCUAAGGCAUACCCCCAGAAUGAGAUUGGUAGCGUAGCUCGACUCAUCAUGGAACGAACCAUAUCUAACAAGGUUCGAUUACGCCUCUCAGCCACACCAUUCAACUGUGGUGUCCUGGGAGGUGUCAAUUGUGAGACUAUCCCACAUUCCCUUAGAUAGUCGAGGAACUCUGAACUAAGAUACUCACCACCACGAUCGGAUCGAAGCAUCUUAAUGUUCCUGCCCAAUUGAUUCUCGACUUCCUGUUUAAAUUCCUUAAACCUCUCGAAAGUCUCUGACUUAUGCUUGAUCAAGUAGACAUAUCCAUAUCUACUAUAAUCAUCAGUAAAAGUCAAAUAAUAACGAUUAGCAUCCCUUGUGGCAUGUUUGAAUGGUCCACACACAUCCGUGUGUAUAAGGUCCAACAAACCUUCACCCCUCUCACACGAACCUGUGAAGGGUGACUUUGUCAUUUUUCCAAGUAAGCAUGAUUCGCAACUAUCAUCUGACUUUAGGUCAAACGACUCCAAGACUCCAUCCUUUUGGAGUUGGCCUAUGCGUUUCUUGCUUAUAUGUCCAAGACGACAAUGCCAUAAAGAUGCUUUAUCCAAGUUAUUAUUAGUAGAAUCAAUACACAAAACAUUAUUUCCCAAGUUAUCUACAACAGAUACAGCUUCAUACACACCAUCACAAGGUAAUGCUUUAAAAUAAAAGACAUUAUUAUAGAAAACAUCUAUAGAACCAACUUCAUUAUUAAAUGAAAAGGUAAACCCUUGUUUGUACAAAGCAUGAAAGGAAAUAAUAUUUCUUGCCAUUCCUGGCGAAUAACAACACUUAUUCAAAUCUAAACUAAACCCACUACUUAGCGAUAAAGUAUAAACUCCAAUCUUGGUAACAGGUAUAGCUUUCCUAUUCCCCAUGAUCAAGUUUAUCCUUCCUUGCUCCACAUCCUCACUUCUUCUUAGUCCCUGCAAGUCACAACAAAUGUGAAUACCACACCCGGUAUCAAGGACCCAAGAAUUAGAAUGGGGUGAGUUAUUAGAAAUGAUAGUGUAAAUACCUGCAUGGUUGGGUUUAACUUUCCCAUCCUUCACAUCUUGCUGGUAUUUUGGGCAGUUCCGCUUCCAAUGAGCUUUUUCAUGGCAAUAGAAGCAUUCAGCCUCUUUUGGGUCAGAAGAAGGAGUAAUGAAACCUUUCUUGGUUCCACUUGAAGAAGAGCCAUCAAGGGUCCGAACCUUGGUACCCUUAGAAGAGCUCUUUCUCUUCCUCCCUCGACUUUUCCCGAUUGCCAAAACCGGAGUAGAGUUUUGAGUAGGAGUGAUAGCAACCGACUUCCCCUUAAGACCUGAUUCUGCGGUCUUGAGAAGUCCCUGAAGUUUGCUGAGGGUGACUUCUUCCUUGUUCAUGUGAUAUGUCAUGCGGAAUUGAUCAUAGCACGAUGGUAAGGAAUGCAAAAUAAUAUCUAUUGCAAGAUCCUCCGGGAAGUUCACAUUAAGCUUCAGCAAACGAUCCACAUACCUUUGCAUUUUCUGCAUGUGGCUCGUGACGGAUUCCCCGUCCUUCAUCAUGGUUGUUAUCAUGGAGCAGAUGAUUUCAUACCUCUCUUGUCUUGCACUUUGAUGGUAUCUUUCCAUCAAAUCUUGGUGCAUUUCAUAAGGGUAGAAAUCCUCAUAAGACUUUUGGAGUUCCGCUGUCAUCGUGGCCAUCAUGAUGCAAGCCACUUUCGUAGCAUCCCUUUCAUGUGCCCGAAAUUCAGCGAUCUCCUGAGGAGUUGCAGUGGACUCAUCAAUCUCCUUAAGCUCCUUGUCAAGGACAUAUUCUUUGUCCUCGUAGCGGGUAAUCAUCCUGAUGUUUCUGAUCCACUCAUUGAAGUUGGAUCCAUCAAAGGUGACUUUCCCACACAAGUUCAUAAGGGUAAAGGAGCCAUUAGGAUUAGAGCCAGAAGCAUUGUUGAAAGACAUCUGAAGGAAAGAGGACAAGAUUAGUUUAGAUAUAAGAGAGUCCUUAAUAAAACACCCAAAUGUAAUAUUAAGGCUAGGAUCCAAUCACAAUAUAAUAUAACUUAGAAGAGGUAUGCCGUAAUCUAAGCUAUAUCAUAUUUGAAAGGUAGGUGAAUGACGAUUCACCAAUUUCCACCACGAAAACCGCAAUAUUUUAGUAUUAGGUUUUUGAAUGGUUCUUAGAAAUUCCUAGAUUCUUUGAGAUUCAAUGAACUUUUCAAAGGCAUGUUUCAAUCUCGAGUGUGCCCUCCAAGUUUUGUGACUGGGAUACCGAGGAUCACAAAACGAGGUGUGAAGUAACCAUGCAAAUCACUUGGUACCCUUAAAGUUUAUCACUCAAUCGAUGUGCCGGUUAACCACACACGCUCCAUCGAUACUAUAAUAAACCCUAAGUCACCCUUUACCUACCUUGUUAAGUCCAAGUUAGUGUGCCGGUUAACCACACACGCUCCACCAACGACUUAAUCAAAGUGUAAAGUGUAAUUUCAUGGAAUAGCACCUUAUUCACAUUUUUCCUAAAGUAACUAAGAUUGGGAAUUUAAUAAAACAUUUAGUUACUUUAUAAUAUUCAUCAUACUUUGAAUGAGAAUUAAUAAGUCCUUGUCUUACCCGUUCGGCUAACGACCCUCCACCGAUCAAGCAAGCGGUGGGUGAGAGUGGACACCCAUUAAGUCACCAUUUUAUAGGCAACAACCUUAUACCCACCUUAUAGACCGGCUUCGUGAAUGAGGCGUACUAGCGGUAAGACGACUUUGUUCUUAUACAUAUAUAUAUAAUUAUUAAAUCAUAAUAAUAUAAGUAUAAGGGUUGAAUUUUAACUUUUAAAAUUCUAGGGGUUGGAACUAAAGUUUUAACUUAACUUUACUUGUUCCAAAACUUGAGGGCAAGUUUUGUAAACUUUCAAAACUUUUCAUUUCUUGUAACUUAUGAGUUUAAUAGAGUAAUAAAAUGAGGACUUUUCAUUUUUCCUAACUCUUGUGUUCUUUUAAUGGUUUUUAAUCCAAGAGACUUUUGGUUUUCCAUAACUUGAGGACAAGUUAUGGACUCCAUUAAAACACAUUAUGAUCAUGAAUUAAUCUACCACAUAGGUUACAAAUAAUUCCUAUGAUCAUCUAAACAUCAUAAGAACAAGAAUAUGAAUAUGAACACUUUCAAGAAUCAAAAUCACAUUUAAUCUUUGUAAUUUUGAUAACUAGUUGUUGUAAAUGAGUUAGAAAAGACAUUACACCUUCUAAAAUAAGUUUUCAAGUACCAAAACAUUUUAGGGUAAUGAUUCUAAUCCAUUUCCAGCAACUCAAGUCGAAAUUCUGCACUCUGUCGACCCUACUCGCCGAGUGCAUAAACCUACUCGCCGAGUAGGUUGAAGAUACACAUGAACUCGACGAGUCCUCCCCAUGGACUCGCCGAGUCCAUCAGUCAGACAGCAAGAUUUUCGACUUUCUUCAACUUUUAAGCACAAAUAACAAACAAACAAGCCUAGGCUCUGAUACCACUGAUGGGUUUUGAGCAUUCUAACACUUCCUAAGUGUACAUGCAACCCUAAUAACCUUGGAUCUAUGUUUGUCUAAUUAUCAUGCUAAGUUGAAUUCCAAGGCUAUAUUCCUAUCUAGCAUACAUGGGGAACAAUUUUAACUUGAAUAAUAGAUAGAAUAACUUACCUUGUUGUUGCUCGUGUUCCUUGAAACCUUGUGAGCCUAGCACCCCAAGUGUGAUGCCUCAAAUGCUUCACACAACACCAAAUGCUCUUGGAAAGACUCUUGAGAUAAUACACACUUCUAAAAAUCGGCCAAGCCCUCUAGUUUCUUAGUGUAGCCGAUUUUGGUGGAGAAUAUGAUUCUUAUAUAGUGUUGACACAUCUAGGGUUACACCAUGUAAACCCUAAUGUGUCAUGACUCUUCAUUUUCAUGACCCAUGGGUUUGUAACUCCCAUGGAGCAUCCAUGGAGCAUCCUAUGGGUAGAACCCAACUUGAUAAUCCAUGGAGCCUCUUAGCCCACUAUACAAGAUAUGGAUGAUUUACAUAAUCAACCCAUAUAUUUAAUUAGUUUUCUUUUGACCACUUAAUUAAUUCUAAAUUAAUUAUUGAUCAAACUAAUCAAAUAAUAUUAUUAAUAUAUUAGAACUUAUAAUAUAUUAAUAAUCUCCAAGUGUUAUUUCUCUCAUUUAGUCUAUCCAAUUGCAUGGUGCCAUGCAACCCAAAUGGACCAUGCCGGGUCGGGUCAAGUACAUACCAGAAAUAGUUAUGGACUUAGACACCUUAUCCAACACACUUAACCCUAAGGCCCAUUGGAAAGGCUUUGGCCUAAUUUGGAAAAUUGGGCCAUAGUUGGGCCUUGAUGAUUAUGAGAUAUUGGACCAUCAGAGUGCCAAGUGUUGGAACAAGAAUAAAUGGUUGGGCCUUAAUGUAAGACCAUGUGAGGAUUUUGGGCCCAAUUUGGAAGAUUGGGCCAUAGUUGGGCCUUGGUUGAUUAUUUGAAAUUUUGGGCCUUUAGAGUACGAGUUUGGGCCUUAAUCUUGGACCAAGCUAGGUUAGAGGUAAAAUGGUCCUUUUACCAUAAGUGGGGAUUUUAGAGUUAUGCAUUAUAAGCCCAAAUGGUUAAUUAGGGUGUUAUUUUGAUAUUGACAGUUUGGGAAUCUAUCAUUCAGCAGCUAGAGUUUUAUCCGCAGGACUUCAGCAGUGCGAGGUGAGUCUUCUACUGUAGGAACGGGUCUAAGGCACCAAUGUCGGCCCGUUUAUGUAUGUUAGCGUAUGUCGUACUUAAGUCCAAUGUUGGGGUUAACCCAAUGUAGAUUAUAUGAUUCCGGACUUUGGUCCGAGGCCAGGGCAAGCCCGAGGAAUGUUUGUAUGCUUGAUGUAUUCAUGAUUCUAUCAUGUGUUUGUUUAUAUGUUCCGGACUUUGGUCCGAUGUCGAGGCAAGCCCGAGGAAUGCUUAGCUUAUAUGUUAUGUGUUAUGUGUUCCGGACUUCGGUCCAAUGUCGGGCGGGGCCCAAUGUAGUGGGCAAGGCCCAAUGUAUGUUUUUUAUGUGAUUAUGUGUAUGGUAUGUGGUAGUCUGGGGAGAAUCACUAAGCUUCGUGCUUACAGUUUUCAGUUUUGGUUUCAGGUACUUUUGGUAGCAAAGGGAAAAGCUCAGGAUGGCUGCAGUGCACACACCAUUUGUUUAUCCCGGGAUGUUUAUACUAUGAUAUAUUUUGAUAGAUGUUAUGAUAUUUCGAGUUACACUAUUUAUGAUUUCUAUAUGAUGUUUAAUGACUAUGGUUUUCUUAAUGAUUAAAAACGAAAUUUUUGGACUGUAUUUUUGGGAUGUUACAAAAAGGCCUGCCCUGAAGCCUUCGACCAGUAAGUACAAUGAGAAAAACCCACCUCAAUCCGCUGAUAAACAAUUGAAUGAAUCUCUAGCUGCUGGUCCAAAAAAUCCCCGCGCUAUCAUUAUAAACAUCCAAUUAAUAUUUGAAUUCCGACCCAUAACCAAGAGUCUAAGCUACAUAGCCCAAAACUAGGGUAAUUUUUUUUUACCCUUUUACUCGCUUGGCCCAGAGCCAAGCCCCAACUUAGCUACUUCCAGUGCUUAAUUCCUAAAUGAUGCUCCAAAUCCCAAUAUGGCCCAAUCUUCCUAAAUUGCCCCCCAAAACCCAUCAUGGGCCUAAAUCCAAAGGAGCCCAAAAAAUACAAACUAGAAGCCCAACAUAUAAGUCUAAUGGCCCAACAAGGCCCAACUACGAAAACCCAACAAUGACCCAUCCUCAAAAAGCCCAAACGACACAGUGGGGAGUACGCCCCACGUACUCGCCCCGAAGCAUACUGUACAAGUUCAUAAUGCACAAACUUAGCAUUACGUUGGGCGUACGCUUAAGUACGCCCAUCAUACUCAUCCAACCACCUUUUCACUCCACUAAGCCCUUAAUCGGUUAAGACAAAGUGUCAAACUCUUGAAUAUGAAUCUAUAAGAUUACUUAUCAUGUAAAGUUGGCAAAUUUACAUGCUUGCAUGGAAAAAAGGGACUCAAAAGCUCAUUAAGGACUUAACAAAGGUGUUAAUGCUUGCAUAGACCACAAUACAUCAUAAAUCCUGCAUUUUUUAUGAUCCUUGGAAUUGAAUGGAGCUAAGAUCUAACAUCCAAUGCUUUUGGAGUAGAUCAAAACCCCAUCUUUAUCACAAAGAGUCCAAAAAGCACAAAAUACUCCAUGAACUAGAUCAAACAUAUAAGAUCAUCUAGAUAAAGACUUUAUACCUCCAAAUUGUAGAUCAAGAUGCAACAAUCUUGGAUCCAAAAGCUUAAAGCCAUCCCACACUUCUCCAAGAAGCUCCUUCUUCUUCUAUGAACACUAAAAAUCUUGAAAUACCACCAAAAGCUCAAAAACCAAUCAAAAUGGGGGCUAGGGUUUCGAUUCUAGGGUUUAGAGUGACGGAGGUUGAAGAUAUUAAGGUUAGGUGAUGAGAUAAGGAUCUUAAAUAGGGUCCCAGACCCUAAAAUAGGGUUCAGGUCUGAUUGGAGUACACCCAUCGUACUCUAUAGAGUAUCCACGAUCAAACUGUUCAGUACACACAACGUACGCCAUUGUACCCCUCGUGUACUAUCCUUAGCACUAGUACGCCCCGUGUAACCGGUUUCACCCUAAAACCACUAAAACUUACGAAGGCCAUAACUUCUUCGUUCUAAGUCUGUUUCCAACGAUCCUUAUAUCCAUGAAAAGGUAACGACAAACUCUACACUUAUAUAAACUCAUACAUGCCUUAAAAGCUCUCAAACAAAAAAAUCUAAAUUCCAUAAAAGCCCGAAAUGACAUUUUAUCGAAAUACCCCUUGGCUCCAAAACACAACCGAACUUCCCGGAUCACCCCAAUUACCUUACCCACAUCCAAAUGGGUCUAAAUCUCUUUUCCACAAGGGCCCUAAGCUUGAUGAUACUCGGUCUUCGGGUCACCACCCCGUAUUAGGAAACGCUUAAGGUUUGUUUGGGGAUUAAGAGUGGGUUGGAGGUUGAUGAAAGAAGGUAGGUUGAGGACUUAAGGAUGUUUAAAUAGGGUCCAAACCCUAAAAAUUAGGGUUUGGGGAUCAUGCACGUACACCCUACGUACAAUAGGUACUCCCACCGUACGGACCUCGAGCUAAAUAUUACAAAAAUACCACUAUCGGUUAUUUUGCAACAUUUCUCAUACACAAGGGCUAAAUACAUAAAAUCUUCAUAUUUAGGAUUUAAUUUUGAAAUACUCAUCAUCGAGAUGUUACACACACACACACACACACACAUAUAUAUAUAUAUAUACACACACACACACGACUGUAUAAAACCAAUUGAUUUUGAUAAAUAAUAAAUUCUUUUCUUCUACUCUUUAAAAAAAAACCCAUAUAUUCUCUUUGUGAUCAUCAAUAAAAUAUAUUGUUUAUCAGUAUCAACUAGUUUUUCAAAAUUUCGAAUUACCAUUUGAUGUNAUAUAUAUAUAUAUGUGUGUGUGUGUGUGUGUGUGUGUGUGUGUUUUCCUUCAUUUUAAUCAUAUUAACAAUUAUUUUUAGAAUAAUUUUUUAUAUAUUUAAUAAAUAAACUAAUCGACUAAAAGAAUAAAGGUUAAAACCUAAAACUAAUUAAAGAGGCAAUAUGAAAAUAACUUUGAGAGAAUGUGGAAAAAAUGAAGGGUUAAUGCCAUAAAACCUUCAAAUUUUCAGGUUUUGUCGGUUUUACUCAAAGUUGAAAUUUAAGUGUGUUUUUACCCUCAUAUUUUUCAAAAAAUGUUUGAUUUUACCCUUUUACCGGUGAUAGGAGGCAUUUCAGGUUACCAUUAUCAACUUUGCAAAAAACCUUUAAGUUUAGAGUUUUUUUUUAUUACAUUUUUACCUUAAUUUUAUAAUUUUUUUUACGCUUUUACCAAAAGUAUUUUUUUCUUCAUAUUAUACGUAUUCAUGCCGAAAAAUCAUAUACUAAGAAUGUUUAAUUAAAUAUUAUAUUUACAUGUUUUCAAAUGCNUAUAUAUAUAUAUAUAUAUAGGCUUAGAUUAUUCUAUUCAAAGUAAUUAUUGUGUUAUUGUAUGUAUAAAUGUGGGUCAAUCAAUUUUACUUAUUUUAAGAAAGUGAUUAUUACAUAUUAUUGAAUUAAAUAUAAUCUAAAAAUACAAUUUAAUUUAACUAGAAGGGUAUUUUAGUUAAUUAAUAUAGAUUUAGUAAAGGAAAUUUGCAUAUUUUAAGGAAAAUUGCAUAUUUUAUAGAUUCUAUUAAUUUUAAAAAUCUGAUUGUAUGUAUGAUAAUUCUCCUAAUUCGGAAAUUCUGACGGAAUAUGUUAACAAUAUAUUGAAAAAUAACAAAUAUGAUUGAACCAUACAAAAAUACACAUUCUGAAAUAAUAUAUAUUUUGAUUUAAUGAACUUCUUGAAGAAUAACAAAAUUUUGGAUAAAAGUUAAAAAAAAAAUCGUUAUAUUUUUAGAAAAGAAAAAAAAUUAUAUAUUAUUCUAUGAUAAUGUUACACUUAUUAAUAACAAAGAAACACAAUAUAUAAAUCAUUCUACCAGAAUACACUACUACAUAUAUUAUUUAUUCCGUUAUAUUGUAUAUUAUUCUGCUAGAAUAUCCAUUCCAGUAGAAUGUUGUAAGGUUCAUAUGUACCCUAUUUUGCUUCGAGAUUUCUCUUUGUUUCAAUUAUCUAAAUAUAAAGAAUAAUAGACAUUAAGAGACAUUAAAAAAACAAAACUAACAAGAUAAAGAGAAAAAUGACUACAAAAUUGACAUAGCAGUAACUAGUGAUUGAACUUGAAAUUGUCCGUUGAUAUUGUUGAGAUUCAUCUGUGAAUGAAACUGACUUUUGGAUGUAGCGAUUAUAUGUUUGUUGAAAGAAAAUCUCGAAGUCCUAUGAUGAACAGAUGAUGAACGCAUGAACUGCAUUGUAUCUCAAUAUGAAUUGUUAAUCUAGAAAAAGUCAAAAUCAGAAUAGUGAUUAUAAUCGGAACAAAUGGUAAUGAAUUCGUUGUCGGUAGUGUGAUAAUAGGAGCGAAUGAAAUCGGGUUUGGAAUUUAACUGGAUUGAUCUAAGGAUAUUCGUCAUUGAAUGGUCAAACAGGAAAAUCAAAAUUGAGAUAUUGCAAACUUCUUACCUGCGAACGAUCUAAGAUUCGGAGUUGAAAAUUGUUUGUUUCAGAGUAAACCGACUCACAAUCGAAACUGCGAAUGGACUUAGAAUCAGAUUCCCUGUCGGCUUAGAGGGUGAGAGUUACAACUGAUUGUUCGUUGUUGUUAUGUUCGGAUAUUGAAAUUGUGAUAGGGUUUUCGCAGACAGAGGGGGCGUCAGAGGUGGGCGACAUUGGUGGAUGAAGGCAACGAGUGGUGGUUUUAAAAAGCCGACGAUGGAUGGAGAAAACCUAGAUAGCUGAAGUCAAUGGUUACCAUAAUUAUAGGAUGUUAUUUGUAAAAACUAAUUAUCAAAUUACCUAUUUACCCUUCUUUAUUUAUUUAUUUAUUUAUAUUUUAAAUUUUGAAUGGCCCACAUUUAUGCACACAAUAACACAAUAAUUACUUUGAAUACCUGAACCUNNNNNNNNNNNNNNNNNNNNNNNNNNNNNNNNNNNNNNNNNNNNNNNNNNNNNNNNNNNNNNNNNNNNNNNNNNNNNNNNNNNNNNNNNNNNNNNNNNNNNNNNNNNNNNNNNNNCUAUGUAGUUAAAAGUAUAUAUAUCAAUAUAAAAAUGUUUAUAUGCAAAAAAUUUGUUCAAUCAUAAAUGUGUUUAUAUAUAUAUAUAUAUAUAUGUGUGUGUGUGUGUGUGUGUGUGUGUUUUAGAAGUACAAAUAUUUAUUUUUAUGGUUUUAUAAGUAUAUACAUAGAUUUUUAAAAGUGUAAAUAUGUAUUUUUAUUUUCUUUUUAAAAGUAUAAAUAUAUUUUCAGAAGUAUAGAUACAUAUUAAUAUUUCUAAAAAAGUAAAAAUAUAUAUUUAUACUCUAAAAACUAUAUGUAUAAAACACAUAUUCAUAAUUCUAAAAAUACUUCUUUACAUUUUAAAUGUAACCACGUAAAAAAAACUCGUAUGUGUGUGUGCGUGUGCGUAUGUGUGUUUANNNNNNNNNNNNNNNNNNNNNNNNNNNNNNNNNNNNNNNNNNNNNNNNNNNNNNNNNNNNNNNNNNNNNNNNNNNNNNNNNNNNNNNNNNNNNNNNNNNNNNNNNNNNNNNNNNNNNNNNNNNNNNNNNNNNNNNNNNNNNNNNNNNNNNNNNNNNNNNNNNNNNNNNNNNNNNNNNNNNNNNNNNNNNNNNNNNNNNNNNNNNNNNNNNNNNNNNNNNNNNNNNNNNNNNNNNNNNNNNNNNNNNNNNNNNNNNNNNNNNNNNNNNNNNNNNNNNNNNNNNNNNNNNNNNNNNNNNNNNNNNNNNNNNNNNNNNNNNNNNNNNNNNNNNNNNNNNNNNNNNNNNNNNNNNNNNNNNNNNNNNNNNNNNNNNNNNNNNNNNNNNNNNNNNNNNNNNNNNNNNNNNNNNNNNNNNNNNNNNNNNNNNNNNNNNNNNNNNNNNNNNNNNNNNNNNNNNNNNNNNNNNNNNNNNNNNNNNNNNNNNNNNNNNNNNNNNNNNNNNNNNNNNNNNNNNNNNNNNNNNNNNNNNNNNNNNNNNNNNNNNNNNNNNNNNNAUGUAUUUAAUCAUACACACACACACACACACACACACACACACACACACAUAUAUAUAUAUAUAUAUAUAUAUAACAUUAAAAAAAGAACUUAAAUAUAAUGUAACUUCCCGAUUUCCUGGGAUGCAGUUCUAGGGAUUUUAUGCACUUUAGAAAGCCUACUCGACGAGUUGGUAGGCCCUAACUCGUCGUGUAUAAACUAAGAAGGUCGUGUGGAUUAUGAUUCACUUGUGGCCUCCCUCAGCGUCCCCUCAGUCCAGAGAAAAUGCUAAUCGUGCCUCUUUCCCCAAUUUGAGUGUGUUUGAGCUUAAAGAUCAUUCUUUGGUACUUUUUCUGGAAGGAGUGUGAAGUUGGUGGUGCAAAGCUAAAGGGAGAAGCUUGAGAUCUAGGAUUUUCAGUGUUGUUGCAACCAUUGGGCGGUAUAAAGUCGUUAUCUUGAUCAUCCCUUUGCUAGAUCUCUUCUUGUGAAAGUUUAUGGCCAUUAGUAGCUUAUUUUGGGACCAUUAUUGGAUUUAAGCAUGUUAUGAAGCUAUAGUUUCAGAUCUGGACAUCUCAUGGCUUCCAUGGACUUAAAGUCGCCAACUUUAUCAAGUCUUGACCCUCUUUCAUGCUCUAAGUCCCUUAAUAAGCAUGAUUUUAGUGUUUUAUCCCCUUGACGCCAUGCAUGGACGUAAAGGUUGCAACUUUACGUGGUAUCUUAACCCUAGGGGACCAAAUAUAUAGUUUGGAGGCAUUAGACUUGUUUGGUAAGAGACUAAAUGUAUGAAGACUCAGACAACUCGACGAGUUAAUCCGGGUUUUCUCGCCUUCUGGAUACUGAGUGAACUCGGCGAGUUGAUGAGAUAACUCAACGAGUUGGCUAGGGUUUUUCCUGAUUUUCUGAACACUGAAGGAACUUGACGAGUUGUUAGAUGCACUCGACGAGUUGGGUCAACUUGGACUGUUGACCUUGACUGUUGACUAUGAUCAUGGUUGAUCAAGUUUGACUUUAAAGGUAUUUUGGUAAUUCGGGAUUUUAAUGAAGUGAGUCACAUGGUGGUUGUAGGCAGUCGGGAUCGGAGCUGAGAGUUGGGAUUUGAUCUUCUUGAUUUAGCACUACUUUUGAGUUGAGUUUUCCUCACUAUACUCAAGGGUCGAAGGCACCAAGUCCAACCCUUUGGAUUGUUAUCUUGCUUUAUUAUUGUUGUGAUCCGUUAGAUCGGUAUCCUGGUAGAUAGGAUGUUCGUAUGUGGUUAUGAUCGGUUAGAUCGGUAUCCUGGUAGAUAUGUUGUUGUUAUGCUUAGUGAUCUGUAGAUCGGUUUGACUGUCUAUAGACUGUUAUGUGGUUAUCUGAUAUAUGUGCAUAUGUUUGAUUGGUUGUUGAGGCUUUUCUGCUUUAUGCAUGAGCCAACAAACUGGGGCAUUCCAACCCGAUGGUUGUGGUCUGAGAGUAUUCCAUCCCGAUGAUGAUUGGACUCAUAGUAUGUGGGUAUUCCAACCCGAUGGUUGUGGGCCAAGAGUAUUCUAUCCCAAAGAUGAUUGGACUCAUAGUAUGUGGUCAUUCCAACCUGAUGGUUGUGGGACAAUGGUAUACCACCCCGAGGAUGAUUGGACUCAUAAUAUAUUGACAUUCCAACCCGAUGGUUGAGGGCCUGGGGCAUUCCAACCCGAUGUUGUUAUUAUAUUUGUGUUAUUGUUGUGCGAGUAUUUUGGGGGAACUCACGAAGCUUCGUGCUUACAAUUGUGGAUUUUGUUUCAGGUAUAUCGGAUGAUCGCGACAAGACGAAGGCUUGAUCGUGCACCUCCUCGUUUUUUCAUGUUGUGAUUCCGGGGAAAACUCUGAUAUUGGAUUAUUUUGAAAACAAUUCGUAAACAAUGGAUGGGUUUGAAAUGUUUGAAAAUUUUAAAUUUUACAUGGAUUUUAUGGAUGUUACGUAUAGUAUUUAAUCUAAUAUUUUUUUCGUAUAUAAAUACGAUUUUUUUGGAUGAAUACUUAUAAUCUAAAAAAAUAUUUGGGUAAAAGCAUAAAAAAAAUAUAAACUUAAGGAUAAAAACGUAAAACAAAACUGUAAACUUAAAGGUUUUUUUUGCGAAAUUAAUAAAAUGGUAACUUGGAAAACAUGAUAUCACCAGUAAAAGGGUGAAAACGAACAUUUGUUGGAAAAUAUGAGGGUAAAACCUACAUAAAAUUCUACUUUAUAAAAAACCGAUAAAACCUGAAAAAUUUGAGAGUUUUUAUGCCAGCAACCCAAAACUGAAUCAAACUCAAUAACCAAUUAUUUUGCAAUAGUCGUUGAUGAAAUUUUAAUAAAAAAUUAUAUUCUAUAAAGCUAAUUACCUUAUAAAGAUUGGGAUAAAUAUUAGCACACCUUUUAUGAAAACAUCCUUUAGGAAAUGCUAUUAAAACAUCAUCCGUUCAUGUUAAGUUGGUACAAAUGCUCCAUGACAUCUUCUCGAAAAUUGAAACUCGUUUUACUGUUAUGAAUUUCACCAACUUGCGCUAAAAUUUCCGUCGUUCUGAGUACGAACUCUUUAAUUGGGAUGACAACGUCGUCUGGAUCAUACGUGCAAAUCGUUUGACCUUGAUCUUCAAUAAUUAUAUUAUGCAUGAUAAUAAAUGCUUCGACCAUUCGUUUAAUUCUAUAUUUAUCCCAGAGUCGUGUAGCAUAUUUCACUACAUGUCAUGUUUGCUUCAGGACUCUAAAUGCCCUCUCGAUAUCUUUUCUCACUGUUUCUUGCCUUUUUGUGAACAAAUUUGUCUUUUCACUUUGAGGAAUCGAGUAUGCCUUUAUAAAUGUAGAAUAAUCAGGGUAUAUCUCAUCACAAAGGUAGUAACCCUAUUUGUAAGAAUGAUCGUUCGCCGUGAAUGACAUAUCAGGUACUUUGUCGGUCCAAAUAUAGUUAAAAAGAUGAGACAUGCCAAGAACAUUAAUGUCAUUGUUAGACCCCGGAACUUCAAAAAACGAAUGUCAUAUCCACAAAUCCUAAGAUGCAACAACUUCUAGUAUUAUAGUUGGCUCACCUAUAUCACCUUGCGUAAAUUGACCACACCACGUAUUUGGACAUUUUCCCCAGGCCAGUCCUUUGAGUUUCGAUGCCCCGGGCGAACAAAGAUAAUAAUGCCCCUAUGUAUCGAUACAAUGCCAAUGCCUUACGUCAAUUCCCUAUAUUAAUUAUUUUGGCUAUUACCAACAUAUGUGUUACAAAAAUAUGACACAAAUAAAUAUAAUAAUAAUAAAACAAUAAUAAUAACUAAAAGUUGUUUCUUUAUGAGAGAGUGAAGCUUUGAGAUUGAAAAUGCACAUGUCGUGCAAAUUGCAAGCAUAAAAAUUAAGACACGUAUAAUUGUAGUUUAAGAAUGACUUUGAUUAUUGUAGUUUCCCACAUUAGAUGUCCAACUAGCAAUAAAAAUAUCUCUUACUUUAGUUCGAUCUUUCAAUAUUUGGCAUUUGGAAACAGCAGAACAUGUUAGCUUAUAUUCAAUAAAUAAUAAUAAUCGAGUUGUAGUUAGAAACAAAUCAACUUCUAAUUUUCUGCAAACUUGAUGAAUACCUUUGUGUAAUAGGUUAAUGGAAAAAUCAAUGAAAAACAACUAUGUUUCAUUUCUUAACCGGAUAUAGUUCAUGUACUAAGUCCUACCAAAAAUCUUCUUCUCAAACAUGAUCAGCAUCUACUUCACAAACAUAUCUUUAUUUCUUUAUUAUUAUGAUAAAUUGCUUUUUUAGAUAUGAUAACAGAGUCGAGGACCAUGGUUAGCCACUUUAGUUCAUGAAAUUUGCCUAAAAUUUCAUUUGGUACUUUCAUCGAACAGUUGGACUUCGUCAAGAACAAUUGGAACUCGUCAAAAAGUUAAAAACAUAAACAUUAAUAUAUGCAUCCAAACAUAACUAGAAGAUAAAAUCCGAUAAGAAAUUUAACUAAUAAAAUAACUACAAUUUCAAUAGAACCCUCCAUCAUCUCUUGUUGAGAAAAUCAUAGCAUACACUAUUCACAAUAAAACUGGAAUGAAAAAUACGCAAGUGAUGGAUACAUAAACGAUUUGGAACAAACCUGAUUCUUCAACUUUUCAACUACCAAAAAUAGAGAAACUUCCCGAUCUGAUGAAAUUUGAGUUAUACAAAACCUCAAGUACAACCGUCCAUAUAUAAUUAAUAUACAAAAAUACACAAGAAAAUGAAAAUCUCAGCACAAAUUCUUACUACAAUUCAAUGUUUUUUGGAACUUAAGAAAUGGUAGAAGGCAAGUAGAAAGUAUAUCCAAGAAUAUAGAUGAAAUCAGAUUAGGACUUUAGAAUAUUGAAUUAGACUUACGACAAAGGGAUAAUGAAAUUAUUAGAGAAACAAAGUCUCUCCAAGACAUUCAACAUUUAAGAAUUUGGAUUUAGGAGAACCACUGCACCGACAACACAAAUCAGAUUAUGAUAAUGAAUUAGGAAUUUACGAUUUAAGAAACAAUUGAGAAUAAGAAUUAUGAAAAAAUAAUACUAGGGUACAAAUAUAUGCUACGGCGGCUCUGCUCUUCAAUACUCCUCGCCCCCAUGCCCGUCUCCUCGUCUUCUCCCAUCUUGACAUUUGAUAAAUUAAUAAGGCAUGCGUUAAUUAUUUUUCUGAUUGAAUAACCUAAUUUCCCGCUUCACGAGUUGCGCAUCUUCUUCGGGAUCAUAGAACGAACAAAAAGUGAGGCCCAAUAUAACAAUAUCUACAACAUUAGGUCCAAAUAACUUGCUGCCUUGGGCUAUGGCCCAGCUCGCCCUGGGCUUGGGCCGACCCUGUUCCUAUCGGUCGUCAUUAUCGUCGUAGCUAUCACGAAUCGUCACGACACACCGGGGUUGUGUGCAUGAUCGUGGUUCGUGGCCACGUAUACCACGGACGAUCUCGUGCAAUGUAUACCGUUUGACCUUAUAUUAAGAAAUUCAAAUUUUCAAUUUAAACACUUUAAUAGAUCACACACAAAUAAAGAAUGCCACUUAACUAUCGUUGUUAAUUAGAUCAAAAUGAUUAAAUAUAUCCUGAUUACAAAUAUUUGUUAGACAAAUGUCAUUUCCUUUUAGAAAAAAAGAAAGAUGUAACGUGUAUAUCGCAUUUGAUGGAAAUAUUUGUUUAGAAAAGAAAGAAUGUGAUGCGAAAUACUUGCAUCACUAUUACUCGGUACACUUGAUUUAGAAUGGAAAGUGCCAAAGUGGGGUGAGCCUAUAGUACAAUUAUUGUUUGCGUGGGGCCUUAUUUAAUAAAUUUUUUUAACUAAUAAUAAUAACCACCGUUUUAAUUCAAACUUCUUUUAAUAAACUAAAACAAUAUUUUGUAUUUUAAUAGACAUGUACAAAAAUAAUUGAAAUGCUUACCCAGUAGAUAAGAUAUUGUGAUAAAUUAUAUGAAAUAAGUGUAAAAAAUAAAUGUAUUUCACAAGAAUAUAUUUGGAAGAAUGUUAUUUCGGUUAUCAAAGGAUAUGGAGCCACGCAAACAUGAAAGAUGAAUCGAUAUAAUCAUAACUUACAUUUUUUUUUGCCCUGUGUUUAAUUUAAAGUUAAUUAGGCUCAUUUAAAGAAGUCAUCAAACUAUUCAAAUACACAGAAAAGAUGAUUAUUCCAUUAAAAAAAUUGAUUUAUACACAUAAGAUUUAACUCUUGAAGCUAACAUACAAAUCACUCAAAUAUAUAUUUUUAUAUAUUUAUAACACCUAAAUUUUUAAAGAUAGAUUAAAUAACAAAAUAAUUGUUUCAUCAUCGCCUAAGAUCAGUUCUAACACUUAACUAAUGACUAAUCUACAACGGAAACAAUAAAAAUAAAACAAGGCCUUCAACUGAAAAGUUUCGGAUAUUACGUCUUCGCAGAACUCCUUUGUUGUCUUCUUGAUCAAUCAUUCUCCUUGUCUUUUUCACUGUGAUUUGCUAAAUAGUUUUUUGGGUUGUGUACAUUUAAAGUUUCUAAAUGGAUAAGCAUGGAGCUUAGUGAGUGUGUGUUGCACAUACGUGUCUGUUACUUAAAAAAAACAAAUAGUGUUAUCAUAUAUUUUCAAUAAUCUUACAGUAAAACAUAACCAUAGGCUCGUUUCUCUUCCCCUUGUCACAGUCCAUCCAUUGUACUCAAGUUUUUAAAUAUCCAACAAAGUGAGUAGAAUUCUCAAUUCUCAUCCCCGUCGAUCACACACAUCCGUCAUGUUCACGACUAUUAAAUAUCUCACUCGUUCCUACUAAAUAUGUCAUCCUAAUAAAUCACAUAAUAGAUAAAUAUGUCCAAAUAACAUUUGCACGCAACCAUAUUUAUCAUAAAACAUAAUGACAAUAAACAAUUAAAACCGCAUAUAAAUCGCAUAAUAAACAUUUAUGUGCGAGCAACCACAUCAAACAAAAAACUCAACUUUGCAAACUCGUCGUUAGGUCUUAUCUGAAUCUUCUCACGCUACUCGCACCCUACAUUCGACGAACAAGUUUCUUUUCUAAGGCACCAAUCCUAGAAAAAAAAACAUCCCAUCCUUUGUGUUCGUCGCUUUUAAUUCAACUACUGGUAUGUCUCAUUUGGCCAAUUAAUAUUUUAAUUAUCAAUACUUAAGAAAAGAGAAUAUGUUAAAUGAAUGAUUUUCAAUUUAUAAUAAUUAAAACGGGUAGAAAUUUGAAUAACAGAAAGCUCAGGGACUGAAAUGAAAAUAGUUGAAAUUUGAAUUAAAUAAAAAUAAAUCAGCAAGUUUCCCAGACUGCAGGGGCUAAAGCUGCAUUUAUGGUUUCAGAAAACGCGUUAUAUAGUUUCAAUUUUAGAGAAACUAGAAGUAGAAGAAGGUUACCAAAAUUAUAGGGACCAUUCCUGUAAAUUUUGCCUUGUAUUCAAAAAUAAAAUUGGUUCGAACAGACGACAGCUUGAUCUUGAACGGUUGAGCCCUUUACUUUGCUGACAAAACAACUUACCACUAGGCACUAGGUUGUCAAGAAUUAACUAGUGUCAUGUCCGUCAAAUGGACAAGUUGACAAAUAUCAUUGAAAGUGUAAACAAGACAACUUUCAUGACUAAGUGCUUAAUCUAUUAAGCAUUUGAAUGGGUUCAAAAUAUUAUUGAAAGUGUGGAUCAAGUGGACAGGUUGACAAAAUAUUAGGCCUGACAAUCGUGUCGUGUUCGGAUUGGCGUGUCGCGGGUUGGCGGGUUGGCGUGUCAAAAUAUGUCAACCCAAACACAACUCAUUUAAAUAUACAGGUCACGGGUUGGCGGGUUUGAAACAUAAACCCAUAUAUGACCCACCAACCCAUUUAUUUAAACGGGUUCACAAGUUGGCGGGUUCGUGAGUCAGAUUUGAGUUCAUGAGUCCGAAUUUUACAUAUUUAAGUCUUAAACCUCCAAAUGAAAAUUAAAAACAUUCUUAGAACAUGUUACAAACUUAGCCUUAUAGGUUACGACUUAUGACAUUAAACCAUUCACCACGAGUCAUAAUGUCAAAACAGUCAAAUGGUCUAUGAAUAAAUGGUAUAUUUUUGUAAUACUUAUUAAAUAUUAAUACUUAAUACAUAAAUACAUUAAAAAAUAAAAUAAUUUUUUUUAUUAAGAAUAUAAAUGGGUUGGCGAGUCAACCCGUUUAUUUUUUGAGAAACUCAUAUAUGACCCAUUUAAUAAACGGGUUGGCGGGUUAGCGGGUUGGUGGGUUGAAAAACUCAACCCAAACCCAUUUAUUUCGUGUCGUGUCGCGGGUCGUGUUGCGUGUCGUGUCGAAAAUUGCCAGCCCUACAAAAUAUGAUUGAAAGUGUGGACAAGACAACUUUCAUGACUAAGUGCUUAAUCUAUUAAGCAUUUGAAUGGGUUCAAAAUAUUAUUGAAAGUGUGGAUCAAACAAGAUACCACAACACGAAAACAUUUCAANAAAGGGGGGGGGGGGGGGGGGUAAAUGGUCCAAAAUAAAAAAUGAUGCAGGAGGGGUAAAAUGGUCCAUAAUCAUUAAAAUUAAUUAUGAAUUUAUUAUAAUUGUAAAAAAGUAAUACAUAAAUUUGGCUUUUUAAAGAACAUUGUUGAUUAUGGUAAUAAAAGGACGAGUUAUUAAAGAUAAAUCAAGAACUAAUAAAAUAAAAUGUACUUUUUUUGUUUGUCUGAUUAAUUUGGUAGGGGGUAUAAAUCCUCUGUUUUUAUUUUCUUAUUGCGUUUGGACGAGAAGGGUAAGAAUGAAUCAGUUAUAUAAGUACUUUUAUAAACCAAUGUAGCACAUCGGUAUUUUAAAUAAAGGUAAAACAAUUAACUAUUUAAGCAUUGUACUUUCGAAUAUAGCAUCAUAUUUUCAAAAAAAAAUUAUGUUUUUUUCUUCAUAUUUUUUUUGGCAACAGAUAAGCAUUUCAAUACAAAUGGGGGGAGGAGGGGUAAAAUCGUCCAAAUUCAUAGAUGAUGCAGAAGGGGUAAAAUGGUCCUAAAUCAUUAAAGAUCUUUAUAGUCAUAGUAUAAUCAACUAUUUAUUUAUAGACUAUGUACAAAAAAAUAAAAUAAAAUAAAAGACAAUUUGAUAUCUCACGAUCUGAAACCAAAUCAAGACCUUUCAAGAAGUUCAUAAUUAACUACUCCAUAUAACUAUAAUUGUAAUUAAUUAUACAACAUGCAAAUCAAUAGCCUCCACACAAUUACCCAAAUACAAAACACAAAUGAGUGAAUUAAGUGGAUACAAGCUCCAUUUUUUGGAAAAAAAAUUAAAAGUACAAUCUUAUAAACAAUAGUAUCAAAUGGAUUCAAAGUGUUUCCUGUUUCUUCAACUGAAAAAUAAACUCCGCUCAACCAUAUGUAUUAGAAGACAUGCAACAUAUACAUGAAAAAAAAUAUUCAAAAGCAAUACCCUCCAACAAUUCAUACCUAUUUUGGCACAUGAGCAACCUUAAAGUAAAGUAAAACUUCAGAAGCAAGCCCAUCCCUCCUUGCUAUACUAUUUGCCUAAAAUAAACAAUUUAAAAGUACAAAAUGCCUUAAUAAGUAAACAUUCUGAAAUUUAACUCUUAUUGCUGAUAAAUAAAAGUCACUUCAAAUAAAAUAUGUAUUACCAACACUAUCCAUGACAAUUGUAACACUCUAAAAAUUUCAACCAGUUUAAAAUUUUCAAAAACAACCCAAUUUUAUAAAGUUAUUACAAAAAGGUUUUCAAUACAUUUAUUAUCAGAGUAUUUCCCAGAACCACAACAUAAACACAUAAAACGUGAGGAGCGGUACGAUCAUGCAUUUGCCUUGCCACGGUCUCCUGAAGUACCUGAAACAUUUAAACCAAAACUGUAAGCCCGAAAGCUUAGUGAGAUACCCCCAAAAUACCAACCACACAAACCAUACACAUAACAUGCCAUAUCAUAACAGAACACAGAACAACCAUGCACUUCGGGUCUACUGUGUGACUGGUCCGCCGUAUCGGGCCUUCAGUCCACCUGGUCCACCCUCCGAGUCUAGCCAUAUACAUCAAGUCUACAAUGUGAUUGGUCCGCCCAUACCGGGCCUUCAAUCCACCUGGUUCACUCUCUUAGUCUACAGUAUAACUGGUCUGCCCGCACCGGGCUUUCAAUCGGCAUGGUCCACUCUUCGAGCCUCGGCACGUCUGGUCCGCCCUCUUGGGGCCUACAGCCUAUCCGGAAUGCUCGCUGGGCCUUCGCGAUAACCGGUCCGCCCUGGGUAUGUUGCCCUACAGCACAAAGCAGGGCCCGCCUUAACCCAACCCCAGUCCAACAACCAUGUGCACAUAAACAUUCAAUCAUAUAACAAUUCACAUCCAAUCAAACCGAUCUAGCAGAUCGCAUAACAUAAUAUCAUUCUAACCAGGAUACCAACCUAACCGGUCACUAACAUAUCAUCAUCCUAUAUGCUAGGAUACCGACCCUAACCAGGUCUCUAACAUAUACCAUCCUAACUACCAGGAUGCAAACAUAGCAAGCAAUAACGUAACAACGAUACCCAGAUUACAAUCCGAUAAAGGGUCGGCCUUGGUGUCGUAGACCCUGUCGAUAUAGUGAGGAUAACUCACCUGGCAACUGCUGACUGAAAAGAUAAGACCGAGCUGCUCCGACCACUGACACGAUCUCCACCACUAGCCAACACCAAACCACUGAGCUCAAAAUAAAUGACAACAAUUACCAAAAUACCCCUGGAAGUCAACUGGUCAACUCAUGGUCGAAGUCAAAGUCCUCAGUCAAAGUCAACCUUCCUGACUGACUCUACUCGUCGAGUCAACCCGCUGACUCGUCGAGUCCCUAUACUCAGAACUCCCAAUCCACAACUCCACUCACCGAGUCGCCCCAAGAAUCGCCGAGUCCAAAAAACCCUGAGUUCUUUCUCACUCAACUCACCGAGUCGUCCCUCGACUCACUGAUUCACAGCUCAACCCAAAAAUGUUAGGACCUCACGACCAGACUUGUCGAGUCCAAGAAUAGACUCGCCGAGUCCAAGGCUAUCUUCAACCAACCCGUCGAGUUGUUCUUCCAACUCGUCGAGUUGCUGCUUAUCUUCAUCAAACUCGCCAAGUACACCCGUGUGACUCGCCAAGUACCUCUAGCUCUUAACCCAUAUAGAGGCUUUCCAAGCCAUGUAGGGUCUCCAAUCCAUAGAUCUACUCUUAUACAAGCCAUCCAUCAUGUAAAGUGGCAAAAUUUACGUGAAUCCAAGGAGAUCUAAGCACAAUACACUCUAGGGCUAUGUCACACCUAGAAAUUUUUGGUGCCUUGUAACUACAACACUUAUGUCAACUACGAAUCAAAAACAUGAAAGCAUGCAUGAUGCUUACUCUAUGACAACAGAAUUUCAAUCAAACACUUCAUACAAGCACUACAAAUAGUCAACAAAUAAUUGGAAACCCUAGAAGUCCUUGUUUAAGUCCUUUUUGGACUAGGACUUCCUUAUUGGGCCCAAUGGACCAAUAAGCUUCCAAUUGGAAUAUCAUGGGUUAAAGCUCUUGAAUGGGCUCUAAUUGGACCCACUUUCAUUUAUUUUAAUAUUAUGGGCCAUAUUGAGCCUAGAAUGAAAUAAGAUAUUUAAAUGAACCUCAUUGGGCCAUAACUAACCUAAUUAGCCUAAUGAGCCAGAAAAAUCAUUACUUGAUUUAUUUUGGGCCAAUAGUUAUCUAAAUUAGCUAUGAUUUGGACUUAGGCAUUUAAGGGCCCAACUCCUUCCUUUUUCUCUCCAAAUCUCGGCCCAAGCCCAAAAGAAAGGGAAGAGUUGACUUCUUGCAUGCCACAUCAUUUUUGUAUGGGGGAUAACUAGGCAUUACACUUCAAACAUCCAUGCACUUCUCAUCUUUCCAUGCAAGCUCACUCUUUCUUCUUCUCCCUCUCUCCCUCUCAGCCGAAUCCAAACAAACACACACACACUUCACUCAAAAUUCUCUCAAGGAAACUCUCUCCAUUUCUCUACAAACUUUUGAGAUUUAAGAGACUUUCAAAGAGAUUCUUCCACAAAAUCAUCAUCUAAGGUAAGUUGAUUGUUUGAUCCAUGCUUUAACUCACUUCUUUUCAUCAAAAAUCAUCUCUUAAUCCAUUCAAACUCAUGAUCUUGCAUCUUAGAGCACAUUAAGUUCGAGAUCCUCCAAGAAAGGUUCCUAGGAUCGAAUUCUUCUUCAUCUUUUCCUUCCAAAACCGAAACCAAACCCAAGGUGAGUUUCAUACCCCUUCCUUUUCGGUUUUUAUGAGUUUUAUGGGGGAGAAUACAAGAAAAUGUGUAGAUCUAUGUGUGUGAUAUCAUGUGUUUUGUGAUGAUUUUGUUAUCAAAAAGUGUGUAAAAACCGAGAUCUAAGGCAUGAGAAAGGAAAUAAACAUAACUUAAGUUAUUAUACACUAAUCAAGUCAACAAAAAUAGUUUCUGAGGUUAGGAUGAACAUAUCCUAACAUAAAACACAUUUUAGGGCUUAAAAUGUCAAAAAUACAAAACUUAGGGUACAAACCGACAAAUUUAUAGUUUCUGGAGAGUCAAAAGGUUCCAAACAGAUUCUAUAAUAAUUUUUCUGAACAACAACAUUUUUAAGGGACAUGAAGUGUAAAUUUUGAACCUAAUGGGCUAGAUUUGGGCUUUUCGGCCCAAUAAGCCUCAAAAUGCGAGAUUUAUAAGUUUGAGGGGCUGAAAAUGCAAUUUUCUGUAAAACAGGGGGUAAUCAGCAUAAUAAAAUGUUUUUAAGGUUCAAAAAUGUUUUCCAUUAUCAAAAAGGACUAAAAAUGCAAACUUUUUAAAUUUUGGGCUAAAACUGUAAAAGUUGUGAAAAAUGAGUCCUUAACCGAGAAACACUACUCUAGAGGGGCUGAAGCUGCCACUAAACAAACUUUGGGUUAAAAAUGUGUGUUCAUCAAAUAAAGUAUACCAAAGUGUCAAUAAAGGUGUUUUAAGGACUAAAAAUGAAAUACUUUUAUAUAAAAGGACCAAAGGCGUUAUUUUUAUAAAAGGAAGGAAAUGAAAAGGACCAAACUACAUUUUCAAACAAAAUAAAUCAAUAAUACAAAAUACAAACCCACGACUAUCGACAAAACNAGUCAACAUACAAACUUUGGGCUUGAAAGUUUCAAAUCAUGCUUGUUGGGCCUUGCUAGCCCAUCAACAUGAUCUUUGGGCCCAAAGGGAAUAUGCUUACGUGAUAUUGGGCCUUCUAUGACCCAAUUCCACGUAAAAGGACUUUCAAUAGCUCUAAUGUGUUAUUGGGCCCUAAUGGCCCAUUAGUACUGCUAGCGAGGUCGAGAAGUCAAAUGCGAGUGUGACUAAGUGCUUUUGGCAUUCCUGAUAGCCUGGAAUAACUCAUGGAAGUAAAAGGGGGCUUCGUACCCUCCUUUCUUCUCGGUUGACCGACUUAUGAGAAAUCGAGUAAACAUAUUUGUGGCGUUAAUCAAGAGAAGUCAGGGUGGUUGGAUUAAGUGAGUAGUACGGGCGACGCCUUAAGGAUCGUUCGUAACCUGUGGUUAUAAACUAGUCAUUUUCAAUAAUGCGUGAUUGUAACAACUCACAAACCUUAAUUAAUCCAAUGUCACCUGGGUAAUCAAAAACAUUCGUCGCAUCGGUAUAACAAUAAACAAGUCAUGUAGUUUACGUAUUGGGAAAACAUCGGGUUUUCCCGGGGAGUUCAACAUUUUCACUUGUGUGAUGUAUACAAAGUUCAACAAUGAUACAUGUUUUAACAAUCAACAAGCAUAUUUACGGAUCUUCACACUUUUUAUAAACAAACAUUUUUUUCACAGAAAAUAUCGGAUUUUCUGGGUUUUUCAAACUUCAGCAAAUCAUUUUACCAUAACAUUACUUAUGAACUCACCAACAUUUCAUAUGUUAACGUUUUCCAAAAUAACUUGUAUUCUCAGGUAACAGGUAAGCCGAAGAAUAAGUAUCAAGAAAUGUCAUGGUGUUUUGUUUAAAUUAUCUGUCAGACAGUUUAUGUUAUGGACUUGUAAUGUCUAAAACAAUGUACUGAAUGUAAACGAUAUAAGUUGUAAUAUUCCAAUGCAUGGUGAUGAUUUGUGUUAUGAUUCAUGUAUAUUCAUUGUGAUGGUAUUCAAUUUUGAGUCACAAGAGCCCUCGGACGUUUCCGCCGUCCGGUUCGGGGUGUGACAGGCUAGGGUUUGGGACUAAAAGGCUUCAUCAACAACUCUUGAACAAGGACUUUAUGCUCUUUUGGAUCAUCACUACUCUAAAUCUGAGGUAGCAACCUGAGAUCCAACCUUCAAACUCAAGAUAGCACUAGAUAUACUCCCAAAAAUCCCACAAUUGAUAGAUCUAGAUGGAUAACAGCCCAAGCAACGAAUCAUUACCUCAAGAGAAGACUCCAACAGAAGAAUAAGCCAAAACCUUGUAAAGCCCCUUGCUCCAAGCCUCUUAAUCUUCAAAGAUAUCUUCAACAAACACUCCUUCAAGGUCCAAAUGCUCUCUAAUUUUCUCACAAACGAAUAUUAGGGUUUUUGAACUUCAAGGGAGAGUAAAGAGGCUGGGAGAGAGGGUAUUAUGUUCUUUAUAUAGUGCUCAACCCCUGGGAUUAGGGUUUUCUCCACACAGCACCAACUCGCCGAGUCCAGCCACCGACUCGCCGAGUUGGCCACUUAACACGCAAUCAGAAUCGCGACUCUACUCGCCGAGUCUACCCAUGGACUCGCCGAGUUGACCAUUCACAUUUUCACUUUGAACCAUGAACUUGGGUUCCUGAACUCGGGAUGUUACAACAAUUACAAUACAAUUGGGGGUAGAAAGGGUAAAAUGGUCCAAAACCAUAAAUGAUGCAUGAGGGGUAACCAGUAUUAAACGAAACAAAAGAUGUUGAAGAUAGUUGAUAAUGAAAGUGGGUUAGGGUUACCUUAAUUAAUGGCAAUAAAAGUAAAAUAACAUAAAAAACAAUUAACUACAAUUGAAAAACUUAUAAACAUUAAUUCAAAAAAACAAAUAACCACUAACUGCAGCAAAUCCAAAAGAACAAUACAAAAAACAAAAAAAAAAUUAACAAAGUUAAUUCUAAAUCACUCAUCAACAUCUGAUUCAUCAAAAAGUUUCGUGACUCGAUUUCGAGAUUGAAUGGAAACUUUCACUUUCUUUUUCAGUGGUAUGAAUGGUAGAUCUACACCCAAGUCUUCAUCUUCACAUAGAUCUACAACUUCUUCCCACUUCCAACAUAACAAAGCCAACUUCCUUUUUUUCUUUUCUUGCCAGCUUCUCCUCUUCUUUGGCAAUUAAAGAAACAUGAAAGAGAAAAACAAAUUUACAUGCAUAUCUAUCUGAAAACAAAACUCAUAAAAUCGUUACCUCUUCUGAAAUCACCCUCUCCAACUGGGAUUUGUAGGGACUGAAGUGAACACUAAAGUCGAUUAUUUCAACACUAUCAGAAUCAGAGUGACAUGUCGAUUUUGAUACCUCUGAAUGUGUAUUGACUUUUCCAUCAAAAUCUCCAAAUUUCUACAAAAAAAAUUACAAAGAACACAAUUGCUAAUACAUAUGAAAUCCAAAUUUGAGAAAUAAAUGAAAUUUAAAUUCAACGAAAUUGAAUAUACAAUGAAUUACAAAUCAAAUCAAUCUAUUACCUACAUAAUAAGUUCACCUUGUGUGAAGAAAUAAUAGACAAAUUGCAAACAAUAAAUACAAACCAUAGAAAUCGAUUGAAGAAUUUAAUUUUUACCUUAGGUGAGCAGAUGUCAGACGAAUUGGAAUCAUUAGGAUCAAAUGUCGAUUGUGAUACAUCUGAUAGUUGAUUGACUUUUCAAUAAACAUCUUCAAAGUUCUACAUAAAAAUUAAACAUAACACAAUUGUUAAUACAUAAGCAAUCGAAAUUUGAAACAUAGUUGAACCUUAACUUCAAAUAUACAUCGACCUUGAAAAUACAAUCAAGUAAAAAUCAAAGGAUAUGAUUACAGAGACAAAAAAGCUUACCUUAUGUGAAGAAACAAUCAACGAAUUGCAAAACAUAAAUGUAUGGAAUUAAUUACUUAUAACAAUUUAAACAAACAAAUGCAAUGAAAUACAAAGAACAGAAAUCAAUUAAACAAUUGAAUGUUUACCUCAGGUGAAGGUAUGACAGACGAAUUGGAAUCAUUAGGAUCAACUAUCGAUUUUGAUACAUCUGUCGGUGGAUUCAUUUUUAAAGCAACAACUUCAACGUUCUACAUAACAAGUAUACGAUAACACAAUUUUUAAUACAUAUGAAAUCGAAAUUUUAAACAUUAAUGGACAUUAGCCUCAAUUAUAUAUCGAAUUUGAUUAUACAAUAGACUAAAUAUCAAAGGAAUCGAGACAAUAAGUUAACCUUACGUGAAGAAAGAAUAUACGAAUUGGCAAAAACAUUAAAUCAAACGAAUCAAUUAGUUUUACCAAUUGAAACAAACAAAUGCAAUGAGAUACAAACAAUCGAAAUCGAGUAAACAAAUGAUUUUUUACCUUAAGUGAAGGUAUGUCAGACAAAUCGGAAGCCAUUGGAUCAACAGAAGCAACUAUUUAUUCCAACAAUUAUCAAUCGACAACUAUGAUUAAAACAAUUACAGUGAAAUUCAACUCUUUAUAUAGACAAGACAAUUAAUCUAAACCACCUGAUUUCUAGCAAUCAUGGAAUUGUGUGCUGCGAGGUUGAAGACGACUGUGCGCCUCCAAUAACUGAAAAAAACCUGUAAAUGGCAUGCUGGAAGGUUGAAGAAGUAGUUGGAUGAUGGCUUCUGCGGUUUAGGUUAAGCAUCGAAGAAGGACAAACGUGGGAAAUCAAGGUGAAUGAAGAUGGUUGAAGAACGUGGAGAAGAAAAGGACGAGGGAGUUGAUGGUCUUUCUUGUACUCCAAUCAAAGAAACCUUCACACACAAUCGUGUAGCCAAGAGAGAAAUAAGGGGGAGAUCAUGGGAGGAGUUACAGAGAAGCGAAACGUGGGAGGUAGGGGAGUCAUCGACAAGAAGCGAAGGGAACCGCCGGAAAACUGUAAAUGUUGAGUUAUUACGGCUGUGAUUGAAAGUUGGGGGAGUUUGAACAACUAGGAUUUGGACGACAGUUUUUCCACUCACCGUCGUCAAUAAAAUAAAUAAUGUUCUUAUCCAAAAAAAUUAGUAAUACAGAUUUGUUAUCUGAUUACCUUCUAAUUUCUAAUUUGAUGUAAACUAUUUAAUUGUUUUGUUAAAUAAGACAUACAAGUUAAUANNNNNNNNNNNNNNNNNNNNNNNNNNNNNNNNNNNNNNNNNNNNNNNNNNGUGACAAGAGCAAAAGUACUAAUAAAAUAUUUAGUUUUCUUGGUUUUUUUAUAAUUAGAAGAUUUAAUAAAUUUUUACAAUAAAAUUACACACGUUUGACGAUUUAUGACCACCUUUUUGGGGUUUGGGAGUUCACAUGUGUUGUGUACGAUUGUUCACUAAAUUUAUGUGGACUGCUCACUCCUCCAUGUGAGUUUCACAUCUUCUUUGUACUACAUCAAAUUAUACUACUAAUUAGGUUGUUAUAUUAUUUUAGGCUACUGUGGAACGUUUUGAUUUUAUGACUUAUGAUGACUUGUGAGACAUAAAUAUUUUCGUAAUGGAAGUUUUCAUCAUGUUAUAAUUUAUGUUAUACUGGACUCGAAGGCCGAAGCAUAAAAUUAGUCUUAUUAAACUCUAUGGUUACAAAAACAAAACUUAUUGAAAUUUAUGUUCCACAUAUUUAAACCAUUGAAUUAGUUGAAUAACAUGGUUAUUAUGAGACACGAUCCAAAUUCAACUUAAUAUAUAUUUGACUGUGUGAUGAUAGGUCGAAUGUUUUAACACUAUCAAAUAUACAUCUCACGAUUAGGCCAGUGGUGUGAUGUUGAAGUUUAAGUUCCGUCUAAGACAUGUGUGAAAUUAAGAGUAAUUUAAGAACAAAUUAGGUUUGCCGUUAAAAAGGUUAGUUAUUUAAAUACAAUAUUGAAAUAAAAACGAAUAAUUGGUGCUCGUGGCUUUUAAAUUUGUAAACGUUGCAUUGCUAAAAGUUUUGAAAGAUCCGCGAUAGAGGGACCUAUAAAUUAGUAGAGAGGAAACAAUAAUGACAAACUGAUAUAAAAUGAUAGGAUCUUAACAACUUAAUAGAUUUACUUUAUAACAAGAAUGACUAAUUACCAAUAAGAUAGCUAGCAGAAUUAUAGUAUAAAACUACAAAAUAGACUACAAACAAUAACUAGACACCAAGAUACCAAACACCCAAUAGCCUAACAAUAUCAUAUCCUUUUAUAACAACAAUAACUUAUUAGCAAUUAGAUAGCUAAGAAAACUAUCUACAACUACAAAAGCGACUAAAAAACAAUCAUUAGACACCAACAUACUAAAACAUCUUAUAUACUUUAUUAUUAUUAGAAAAAAAAAACUAGUAUAUAACCCCAUUGAUUUUUUAUUAAAUGUCUAUUACUCAAUUAACAUUAUUUUAUUUUAAAACUGGAGUUUCUUACAUAUAGAGAAAAAAAUCAAAUAAACAUGCUAUUAAAAAUGUUUCCCAGUUACAUCAACCUAGCAAAUAAAUAUAUUUGGCCUUAUGAGAAAGUUGGCGAUUUUCCAUUUACCAUAACUGUUUGUUACUAUGGUUACCAUAGGGUUUUUCUAAACUAUGGUUUCAGACAAAAGUGAUUAUAUAGUGGUGAUAGAAAUAGUUUUAAAAAAUGUUUGAAUGAAAUUUUAUAGUGACAAAAAUCUGUAAUAAAGUUAUUUAACAAAAAAAUUGAUUUAGCUUAUACAUAUAAAAUACUAAAAUGCUAAAAAGCUAGAAGAAGUUAAAAAAAAUUAAAUAGUGAAUACUUUUUAAAAUCUCGUUUUUUUGAAGCUAAUGAAGCUAAGAAUGAUUGGUAUGGUUCCAAACAUUCACGUUGCGAGGUAAGAAUCAAUAUCUUCUUUUAUGUACCAUUUUUUUGGGGGCAGGGGUGGGGUGGGGUGGGGUGGUGUUUCAAGUAUUCAAUGUCGUUGCGAGGCUAAGAAGAAAAAAAUAGAGGAAGGAAGAGAAAAGAACGGGGUGUUGCUCUCUGUGACAUCCUUAUUUUUGCGGUUAGAAAAUACCGAUUUGUUGAUGCUUAUUAAAUUAGAGUAUUCUUUUAAAAAGAUUAAUUGUGCAUGAUUUGUCUAAAAAACAUGAUAAUAAUAUUAUCAAAGCAUUUUCGAAAAAACAUGUUUUACUUAUAAAAUUCGGGAUGUCAUUGUCAAUACAGAAACAUAAGCAUAAACCGGAACUUACAACAUCUUAAUAUACUAACGGUUUACAUCUCAUUGAAUCUCUCAUACAUCAUUAGUCGAGUAUCUUUAUUUACUAACAUGUGAUUCAAAUAAACUGAGUGGGUCAGGUUGGGAAACCCGGUGAGUAAUAGAGUUUUCAACCCAUAAUAAUAUAGUUAAUAUAUUUAAUUAUACAAUUAACCCAAUUUUCCAUCCUCAUUAUCUUCAUUAUGUUUAAGGAUAUACCCUAAUGAUCAUCUAUGCUGACAAUAUUAGUUCAGGGAAACCUUUGUGAUACUUGUCAGUAGGUUUUCUUCUAUAUUCAUUCCUAAUGAUUUGUCCUAAGGAUCAUCUUCUUUACGGAUAAUAUUAUUUUAGGAAAUCCACCCACAUUACAUGUCAAUAGGUUUUAGAGUACAUUUUGUGAACACAUAGUUCAAAAACACUUACAGGUUACGAGCCUACUAGCGUUCCACUGGACUGCCUAUAAUAGUCUGUGAUUGUCAUCUAUACUCUGCUAGAUUACUACAUCGUUUAGUAUUGCAGUACUAGUAAGUCAAGGCCUAUUAUUGUUUUCAUCUUUCAUCACCCAUCUGUGACAUCCCCAAAAUCACGGCCAGAAAAGACCGAUUUCAUUUAUGCUUUUUAAAAUAUUUUCAGAGUAAAUCCUUUUGAUUUAAAAGUGUUGCGGAAUUUGUUCCCAAAACAAAAUAUGAUAAAAUAAUAUUUAUCAAAGCAUUUCAUCAAGAGAUGCAUUUUCAUUAUAUAAUCAAAACUCGGGAUGUCAUGUUCCGAUACAGACCAUAAAGCAUAAACGAUAGCAUUACAAGUCAUUCAACAAAUAUAUACAUAUACAGACUUGUAAACAAAACAACUCGAUGAUUCAUCCAUCUUACGCCCUUGCGCCACUUCCUGUAAUACAAAUAAAACUGAGUGGGUCAGGCUUGGGAGCCUGGUGAGCAUAUAGGGUUUUCAGCCCACAAUAAAUAAAUUAUAUUUAAUUUCACCAACCAAUCACUAUCCCGAUUACCCAUUCCCGUUAUCCUCACUUUACGUCCCUAAAAUAACAUCUAUCUCAAGGGACCUAAUCUAGGAUUUUCAUCGGGACGGACAUCACUGCGAAGGGGUUUCCUCAACAAUAGAUAUCCUAUAGGCAACCAUGAGGGGGAUAGAGUACAUCGGUGAACACAUCGUUCACAACACCUACAGGUUAUGAACCUGCUAGCGUUCCACUGGACUGUCUAGAAAGAGUCCGUGGUCGUUAUCCAUACUCCGCUGAAUAACUAGAUCAACAACAACAACAACAUCGAGGCCUCUCAUCUGUUUAUUACACACCAACUAUCUACCCAUGUUCUACCCAACAUAUUAGUAGAUAAAANNNNNNNNNNNNNNNNNNNNNNNNNNNNNNNNNNNNNNNNNNNNNNNNNNNNNNNNNNNNNNNNNNNNNNNNNNNNNNNNNNNNNNNNNNNNNNNNNNNNNNNNNNNNNNNNNNNNNNNNNNNNNNNNNNNNNNNNNNNNNNNNNNNNNNNNNNNNNNNNNNNNNNNNNNNNNNNNNNNNNNNNNNNNNNNNNNNNNNNNNNNNNNNNNNNNNNNNNNNNNNNNNNNNNNNNNNNNNNNNNNNNNNNNNNNNNNNNNNNNNNNNNNNNNNNNNNNNNNNNNNNNNNNNNNNNNNNNNNNNNNNNNNNNNNNNNNNNNNNNNNNNNNNNNNNNNNNNNNNNNNNNNNNNNNNNNNNNNNNNNNNNNNNNNNNNNNNNNNNNNNNNNNNNNNNNNNNNNNNNNNNNNNNNNNNNNNNNNNNNNNNNNNNNNNNNNNNNNNNNNNNNNNNNNNNNNNNNNNNNNNNNNNNNNNNNNNNNNNNNNNNNNNNNNNNNNNNNNNNNNNNNNNNNNNNNNNNNNNNNNNNNNNNNNNNNNNNNNNNNNNNNNNNNNNNNNNNNNNNNNNNNNNNNNNNNNNNNNNNNNNNNNNNGUACGCGGGGCGUACUGGCCUCCGAAGUCGUCACUGCAUGCGUCAUCCGAAAUGUCGACACUCUUCGGAGUACGCGGGGCGUACGUCGGAUCGGACCGCUGACUCCUCUUCGGAUAAUACCAGAAUUAAAGAUUAAAAAUAAUUACAAAUUAUUUAAUAAACUUCGGAAAUUCAUAUCUUCUUCAUACGAACUCCGUUUUCGACGUUAUUUAUAUCCACGCGAAGGUGAGACUACGCUCUACAACUUUCGUUUAGACUCCGUCGGCUAAUUUUGACUUUAUUUUUAUUAUUUAUUUUUAAUAGGCUGCGACAGAAAAACUUCGUUAUAAAUUCAUAACUUCUUCGUUUCACGUCCGUUCUCGCCUAACUUUUUAUCGCUUCGAUACCAACAACGAGACCUUCGAUCCUCGUUUAGAAUGCUUCGGCUAAAAACCGCUCGAUCUCAAAUCGAGUAUUUCAGGCUACAUACCGCUAAGUCGAAACUUCGAUAAAUCAUAACUUCCUCAUACGAAGUCAGAUUUGGGCGUUCUAUAUAUAUUCGGAAACCUCGUUUCAACUACUACAACAUUAUCCAAAGAUAUUAAGUUUAUUUUACACUUAAAUUUUGGCGCUUAUUUUUAUUCUUAAUUAAUCAGACCACAUAAUUAAGCAAUUAAGCACAAAACACAUAAUACUCAAAUAAUACAUUCUUAUUAUUUCAAAACGGGUUACAAAGGUUAACCUAGACUAUUAAAUUGCUAAAAAUGGCAAGCCCGGAAACACAGGCGUUACACCAUCUCCCUCUCUAUUCUAUUCAACCAUCGUUACCUAUUUCUACCUAAGACAUUAUAGGUAAGAAAAUACACAUAUGGUAAAUCAUAUAAAAAUCAUCUUAUAAUAUUUCAUCUAACACAAAACAUUUUUUUUUGCACAUAAGCACAUAUAACAUUUUAUUUAUUUAGAUACUUCAUAUCUCUGUGUAAGAUGAAAGUAACUAUGCACUCACCUGUCAAAAUAUCUCGUAGUUGGUGAAUCGGACAGAGCUUCGCCUUACACCUUUUUUCCAAAAGACAUAGAUGUACAUAACGCUAAGUCUUAGUCUAAUUUCAAAUUUCAUGGGACUUAUUAUCCUAAGGACUUAGAUUCCUCAACAACCCCAAAGUCUACAUCAAGAUCUAUCAAGUAAGGAUCAACCAUGUAAGACAGUCGAGAGGCAGGACCAUUUCGGCGUAUAGCUUUUCUAAAAUCUAACAACCAAGCCGACAUAACCAUUCUAUUCACUUACCCGUAAUUAGCUCAAUUGGUAUAACGACUUGGAAUCGUUGAUAAAUCUUAAUUAUAAGUUCCUAGUAACGACUUAUAACUAUAAUCAUAGAUUAUACGGGAUAAGAGUAAGUGUAGCUUACUUAAAGAGUACCAUUGAUGACAACUGGGAUCUAAGCAGGCAGAAUACUGACUCGGGAACUCCUACUCGAAGGCUACUACUCAGAUGAGUGCUCAGGGGUGUCGCAUGGCUUAGCCGGAGGCUAAAAAUGAAAGGAAAAAGGGGUUAUCGGAGGGAAUAUCGAGAGAGAGAGAGAGAGAGAGAGAGAGAGAUGCUCUAGGGGCUGAAUGUGAGAAGCUUAUACGACAUGGACUAUUUAUAGGUGAUUUUUCCAAGUGUGCAUCGUGCAUCUGGGGUGCGUUUUUGUAACGUCCUAAAAUCCAAGGCCGAAAAUUUCAUUUUUAAAUAAGUUAUUACAUAAACCAUCAGUAUAAAAAACAUUCAUAAUUAUAUCUCGUGUCAAUCCAAAGUAUCAGUAAUCAAAACAUAUUAUCAUAAAAUCAUAUCAGAGUGUGAUCCCAAGGAUCUCAUGUGCGGAAAACAUAGUGUGAUACGCUGCGAUCGAGCCGGUUCCUUUCCUUGAAAACAAAGUACCUGAAACCAAAACUGAAAAUCGUAAGCACGAAGCUUAGUGAGUUCCCAGAUACCACAUACCAUACANGAAGCUUAGUGAGUUCCCCAGAUACCACAUACCAUACAAACCAAUUGAUCCAUACAUGCCAUACAUAGCCAAGAGCCAUACAUAACCAACAUAUCCAUAAUCAAGUAAGGUUCUAUGUGCCAAACAUAGUCUUGCUAAGGUGCUAUGUGCCAAACAUAGUCUUGCGGUUGUGCCACGGGCUGCACGUGGUCUUCCUGAUCAAGCCUGGGGCCACUCCCUGGGUCUUACAGACAAGUGCCAAGGGCCACCCCCUGGUCUUUCAUGCAAGUAUCACAAAGACAACUAUACAUACUACUCUACUAGGCUACUCCGCAUAUAGUUGUUGGAUUAAUGUCUAAGUCCAUAACUAUAAUUGGUAUGUACUUGACCCGACCCGACAUGGUCCAUUUGGGUUGCACUUCAUCGACACAAUUUAUAUGGAUAGUCUUUUGAGAAUAAUAUAAGGAAAACUACAAUAAAGUCCCUACAUAUUGACCUCAUAAUCGAUUUAGUCCCUAUAUAUUUUUUUAUUCAAUUAAGUCCCAAAUACCGGUAAUCGUAUUCAAUUUAACCCUUUGACACGGUCAACAGGUCAUCCAACUUUCAAAAAUUAUAUUUUUGGCCCAGAUUUUAAAAUUUAUUACAAAUUUGGUCAAAUAUUUACACUUUUGGCCCAGAUUUUAGAUUUUUUUUACAAAUUUGGUCCAAACUUUACCUUUUUUGCCCAAAUUUUAGAAUUUUGUUAUGAAUUCAUCCUAAUUUUAGUUUUUUUUUACAACUUUUUUCUCAAAAAAUUGUUUAUAAUAUGUUUUUUCUUUAUAAAAUCAUAUUUAUACAUAAAAAUGUAUUUUCACAUAAAAAUCUUAUAUUUUCUAUAUAAAAACUUUUCUUAAAAAGUUUUUUGUAUAUGAAAUAUCUAGUUAUAAAAAUAUNUAUAUAUAUAUAUAUAUAGGGGAAUGAUCAAAUGAGAACACCUAAAAGGUUGAGAACGCGAGAACAAUUCUGGACCAAUCAAUAUAUAACGGCAUAUUAGUAAUUGUAUAUUUUAAUUAAAUUUAAAUAAAAUAAAAAUCAAUCUAAAUCCCUUAAAUUUAGGACCAGUUACCAAAAAAGAAAUAAAUAUUUGAUUUUUUAUUUUUCUUAUUAAUGGGAUAUAAAAAAAACAUUUUUACCAAAAUUUAUUUUAAAAUUGAAAAAAAUAUAUUUUUUUUUCUUAAAAAAUUCAUUUUUUUUCUCCUAUUUCACGUUUUUUGUGUUCAAAAAAAUGAAUAUAAGUCGAAUCCCAUAUUAAUACAUUUGUAUUCAUAAUUGAUUUUUAAAAAAAAAAAGAAACUUGUUUCUGAUCCAAUCACUAAUGAAUACACAUCGAUUUACAAGUAAUCAAAUUCUUUUUUUUAAUCAACUGGAAAUAAAAAUAGUGUAAAAACUAUCAUUUCUUCAUAAAAAGAAUACAUCUAAUCAUAAAUAAAUACACUCAUUAACACAUGAUUACACUGUUAUUUACAAAUGAAUAAACUGCUAUUAACAAAUGAAUACACUAUUAUUCAGCAUUGAAUACCUCUAAUCAUAAAAUAAAUACAUUCGUUCACACAUGAAUGCCCUGCUAAUCACAAAUGAAUACACUACUAUUCAUAAAUAAAUAUGCAUUCUAACAUAAAUUAAUUCAUCAAAAUAUAAUAUAACUUACAUCUAAAAAAAUACAGAACAUAAUAGCUCAAAUUCUUCAACUUUCAUCUUCUCAAACAAAUCCAAUCCCAAGGGUUUUCCCAAUUCUAUAGUUUGAUAGAGGUGGUAUUGGUAAGCUUCCAUUACCACUGGUUUCACCCAUUUUAAGAGACCCGGAGUUUCAAUACCCUCAAUCUUCAGGGUGCCUACAUAAGAAAAAGAAACGGAACAUAAAGUAACAAAAUAGAUCGAUCGUUCAUUGUUCUCACAAAUUAACAAAUAGAUCGAUUGUUUUCACUAGGAAAGAACACAUAAUUAAUCAAAAUAUAAGAAAUUGAGGAUGCAAAAUCGAUUCAUCUCUGAACAUUGGACAAGUUACGGGGGGAUAGAUGGACACGGAAAGUAAGAAAUAGAGUGAGUAUUACAUUUUUGUCUCUUUUCCUCCUCUUCACCCUCGCCGACCCCGGAGACGCUCCCCUCGCCAUCACGACUGCCGACCACAGACGUUGCCGACUGCCAACCACAGACGACGCCGAUAGCCUUCCUUGGCUCGCAAGUGGGCCCUUCAAACCCUUAUUGGUCGCUUCCAGUAGCAUUCACAGAGAUAAUUGUUGUGUGAUGAUGACGGUAGCGGUGGUGUUGUUGGCGGAUUCGACAAUCACGAUGGCAGUGGUGGUGUUUUUUGUCUUGUGUGGCGGCUAGUUUGAAGAAAACUCAAAAGAUCAGCAGUGGAGAGAUGAGAGGGAAGAGGCGUACAUUUUUUUAGGUUGGCUUCCAUCAAUUAGGGUUUAAAGGAAACGAGAGAUAGAGAGAGAGGGAGGGAGAGAGAGAGAGAGAGAGAGAUUUUAGGAGCUGAUAAAAAUAAGAUAGAACCUAAUGACUAUAGUACCCUUUUAGUUAAUUAAGAAGUUACAAAUUAAUCCUAUGACUUUCAGAAUUUAUAUAAAUGUCCUGUUAAUAUUAACCUUUGAUUUUAAAAUUUGGAGAGCCUAGAUCUGUUCUCGCGUUCUCAACCUUUUAGGUGUUCUCAUUUGAUCCUACUCCUAUAUAUANNNNNNNNNNNNNNNNNNNNNNNNNNNNNNNNNNNNNNNNNNNNNNNNNNNNNNNNNNNNNNNNNNNNNNNNNNNNNNNNNNNNNNNNNNNNNNNNNNNNNNNNNNNNNNNNNNNNNNNNNNNNNNNNNNNNNNNNNNNNNNNNNNNNNNNNNNNNNNNNNNNNNNNNNNNNNNNNNNNNNNNNNNNNNNNNNNNNNNNNNNNNNNNNNNNNNNNNNNNNNNNNNNNNNNNNNNNNNNNNNNNNNNNNNNNNNNNNNNNNNNNNNNNNNNNNNNNNNNNNNNNNNNNNNNNNNNNNNNNNNNNNNNNNNNNNNNNNNNNNNNNNNNNNNNNNNNNNNNNNNNNNNNNNNNNNNNNNNNNNNNNNNNNNNNNNNNNNNNNNNNNNNNNNNNNNNNNNNNNNNNNNNNNNNNNNNNNNNNNNNNNNNNNNNNNNNNNNNNNNNNNNNNNNNNNNNNNNNNNNNNNNNNNNNNNNNNNNNNNNNNNNNNNNNNNNNNNNNNNNNNNNNNNNNNNNNNNNNNNNNNNNNNNNNNNNNNNNNNNNNNNNNNNNNNNNNNNNNNNNNNNNNNNNNNNNNNNNNNNNNNNNNNNNNNNNNNNNNNNNNNNNNNNNNNNNNNNNNNNNNNNNNNNNNNNNNNNNNNNNNNNNNNNNNNNNNNNNNNNNNNNNNNNNNNNNNNNNNNNNNNNNNNNNNNNNNNNNNNNNNNNNNNNNNNNNNNNNNNNNNNNNNNNNNNNNNNNNNNNNNNNNNNNNNNNNNNNNNNNNNNNNNNNNNNNNNNNNNNNNNNNNNNNNNNNNNNNNNNNNNNNNNNNNNNNNNNNNNNNNNNNNNNNNNNNNNNNNNNNNNNNNNNNNNNNNNNNNNNNNNNNNNNNNNNNNNNNNNNNNNNNNNNNNNNNNNNNNNNNNNNNNNNNNNNNNNNNNNNNNNNNNNNNNNNNNNNNNNNNNNNNNNNNNNNNNNNNNNNNNNNNNNNNNNNNNNNNNNNNNNNNNNNNNNNNNNNNNNNNNNNNNNNNNNNNNNNNNNNNNNNNNNNNNNNNNNNNNNNNNNNNNNNNNNNNNNNNNUAUAAGUUCUAAUAUAUUAAUAUGGAAUCAUAUUAUUUAAUUAGUAUUGAUCAAGACUUAAUUUAGAAUUAAUUAAGUGAUCAAAAUGAACUAAUUAAAUAUGGACUCUUAUAUAUAUGGAAUGGGCCAAGUUCAUUUAGGUUGGGCUAAGCUUUCAUGGAUAGUCCAUGGAGUGUUUAACCCAUGGAUCAUAUGAAAUGAAAGGUCAUGGGUUUAACCCUAGUCUCCACACUAUAUAAAGAUGUCCUUGGUUGGUGAAAUUGGCACUAGUGUGGGUACACUAAGAGGGCUAGCCGAUUUCACUAGAGAGAACCAAAGUAUCCUUAUUCUCAAAGUCUUCCAAGGUGUUUUGGUGAUUUGUGAUUCAACUUGAGGCUUCCACACUUAUGGGGGUAAGCUCUUAAAGCUUGAAGACAUCAAGCUACACCAAAAGGUAUGUCAUCUAACUAGUCUUUGUAGUAUAGUUGCCUCAUAGUAUGCUAGUUAGGAUUAGAGCCUUGGAAAGUUCUUAUUUGCAUGUAUAAUAGAGAAAACAUAGAUCCAAGGUUUGUAAGGUUGCAUGUACACCAUCGGAGUGUUAGAAUGCUCAAAACCCAACANAAAACCCAACAGUGGUAUCAGAGCCUAGGCUUGUUUUCUUGUUAUACUUGCAAAAUUGGCUGAAAAAUCGAGUUUUUAUGCUGUCUGCCCAGCAGACUCGCCGAGUCCAAGACAAAAUGCAUCCAACUCGCCGAGUUGGUUCAUGCACUCGACGAGUUGGAACCCCAGACAUCAUAUAAUCAAUUGUUUUCGCUGGAAUUGGACUAGGAACAUUACCCUAAGUUGUUUUUGAAGUUAUAAACUUGUUUUUGAUGUGGUAAUGUUCAUGCUAAUCCAAUUUCAAAGAUAAUUGUCAAUACAUUCAUGUUUUGUAUUAGUUUAAAAGUUAUGCUAAUUACAUGAAAAAGUUUGAUGUGUAUUAUCUUUGUUCAUAUGAGUUGCUUAGAUUAAUAGAUAAGUUAAUUGAUUAUGUGUUUUCAAUCCAUUUUAAUCUAAGAGAUGAUUCUAAAAUGUGUUUGUGUAACUUGUCCUCAAGUUACAUGAAAGGUCACAUUUAAGUUUCUUAAAACUCAUAAAAGUUGGCAAAGGUUACAAAAAUGAAGAGUCUUGUCCUCAUUAAAUGGUUUUAUGACUCCAUAACUUGUCCUCAAGUUAUGGAGGUUCAAGAGUCACUUCAUUAAAUAAUUAAAAUGUGUAACCUUAAUUAGUUCCAUAAGUUACAAAGAAGAAGAGUUACAUUCUUUAAUAGUUUAAAGUCUUCCAUAACUUGUCCUCAAGUUAUGGAACUUGAAGAGUUUUUUAUUUAAAACUACUUUAAACACAUAAGUUAUGGAAUUAAUUAGUUUUGAAUAGUUUCAAAACUUGCCCUCAAGUUUUGGAAUUUGAAAAGUUUUCACUUAUGAAUACUUUAAUUCCAAGUUAGCCCUUAGAAUUUUAAAAGUUAAAAUUCAACCCUUAUACUUUAUAAUAUUAUAAGUUAAUAAUAUAUAUAUAUAUGAGAGUAAAGUCAGUCUUACCGCUAGUACGCCUCAUUCACGAAGCCGGUCUAUAAGGUGGGUAUAAGGUUGUUGCCUAUAAAAUGGCAACUUAAUGGGUGUCCACUCUCACCCACCGCUUGCUUGACUGGUGGAGGGUCGUUAGCCGAACGGGUUUGACAGGACUAGAAUUCUCCCUUCAUUAAAAGUAUUAAUGAUAAAUACUAAGUAACUAAACUCUUAAUAAUACCCAAUCUUAGUUACUUAGGAAAAAUGUGAAUAAGGUGCUAAUCCAUGAAAUUACACUUUACACUUUGUCUAAGUCGUUAGUGGAGCGUGUGUGGUUAACCGGCACACUAACUUGGACUUAACAAGGUAGGUAAAGGGUGACUUAAUAUUUAUCAUAGUAUCGAUGGAGCGUGUGUGGUUAACCGGCACAUCGAUUGAGGGGUAAUUUAUUAAGGGUACCAAGUGAUUUGCAUGGUUACUUCACACCUUGUUUUGUGAUCCUCGGCAUCCCAGUCACAAAACCUGAAGGGCACACUCGAGAUUGAAACAUGCCUUUGAAAAGUUCAAUGAAUCUCAAAGAUCUAGGAGUUUCAAAACCAAUUAAAACCUAAUAAUACAUUUCGUUUAUCUUGGUGGAAAUUGGUGAAUCGUCAUUCACCUACCUUCAAAUAUUUUAUAGCUUGGAUUACGGCAUACCUCUUCUAAGUUAUAAAAUAGUUUGUUGGGUCCUAGCCUUAAUAUUUCAUAUUGGGUGUUAUAUUAAGUACCUUAGAUCAACUAUCUUGAAUAUCUCCCAAUACAUGUCUAGUUCAGACAUCUACGAUCUUCCCAAAUCUCUUGGAACUUCACUUCCUCCACCUACUCCAAUUAUUCUCCCUAACCCACAAUUUCAAGCUCACUCAUGCCCUAUUGGCAAGCGAGGUCUAUGUGUGAUCACAUCUUGGAGAUGAAGUCACAUACUGACAAGCCGGGAGAGUUGGGUGUCAAAGUCUUGAAAAAGUUGGUGGCUCAACUACUUUCUAAGUCACAUGGUGAGUUCCUUUGGGACUCCUAUGAAACAGACUAUGACAAGACCCUUAAUGAUCUUAUCUAUUUGCUAAGAUCAACUUCCUAAAACUUUAUGGACAUUGACAAUGAUGACAUUGGAUAUCCAGUAAAGCUCUCUCUUCCCAAUGGAAAGGGAUCGACCAUAGUCAACUCGGUUCACCAAAUGGUAAAGAGAAAGGCUAAGUCUGAGAUUAUCCCAUGUACCAUUCCCAAAGGAUCCAUAUGGUUUUAUUUCCAAAAAAGGAAAGGGCAUUGUUUGCAAAGCUGCCAAAUUUACCUGAAAGAUCAUAAGGCUGGUAAAUUCAAUAAGUUUGACUCUACUUCAGGUAAAGUCCACUAUCAAACUCUAUUAAGUUUCUAUUCUGAGAUUCUUAUUACAUGAUGUGACUUGGUCACAUGUUGAUGUUUUAAAAAUCAAAGGAAAAGUGUAGGAAACUUAAAGAAAGAGUAUGUUGUAUCUGACCGCGAAGAUGGAUUUAUUGAAGAUCAGAUUCUUGAGCUACUUCUUAGGAGUUAUGAUAGAUUGAUAGGAAACAUGUAAUAACAUAGUUUUCAUUUUAUGUUGCAUUGUAAGGAAAAAGUUUUUCCGCAUUUUAAAUAUAAAUAAAAGGUUGUUUUACUUUAUUUUUAUCUCCUUACAAUGACAUUCAUGAAAACUUGAUGUUUGUGUGUUUAUAGCAAUAUUGGAAAUAUGAAUUUGAUUCUUUCAUUUGUUGUAGUGUCUAAAUUUACCAAAUAAGGAAAUAUUCUCAUCACCCAAGUUUCAAUUGGACCGAAACUUGGAAUCAUACAAGGUGUUGAGUGUGAUGUGUGAGAAUUUUCAACUUUGAAAAAUUAAGACUAGUUUCGUGUUCACAUGUAUAUGUGACUCAAGAGAAGGAGUAAGAGAUCAAGUACACUUUCUUGUGCACUUAUCAAAGUCCACCACAAAAGAUGGAUACGACUAUUCGUCAUGAUUUACUAAGGUUUAGUAAAUAUGAUUAUACUUAUAAGCUUAAGUAUAAUUCUGAAACAUUGAAAAAUUUUCAAUGUAUGACAGAAAGAAUAAGAAGAAUCAAAUUAGGCUGAAGGAUAAAAGUUUCUCAAAUCUGAAAAGAUGGGAGAGUACUUUAGUAUCAUGUUUUAGGUUCAUCUUAAUGAUUUUGAGACCUUAUCACAAUUCAUCCUCUAAGUGCAUUAUGAUAGUUAAGAAGAGGAGUUAUGAAUUGUUGAAAUGGUUAAAUCAAAAAGACGAUUCAUACUUCGUUCCAAAAACAAUUCAUAGAGUUAUACUCUAAGAUUGUAACUUGAGUGGCAUGUCUUAAAGAAGGUUUAAAACACUUGUCAAAUGUAAGAGUAAAAGUUUUCUACUCUUGUACAUUUGAAAUUGGUAAGUUGUGAUGUUUUGGAUAAAACAAAGACCAACUAAGGCUAAUUGUGUUAAGUGUCUGUCUUGAUUAGAAUCCACACUAUCUCUUGAAUAUUUGGCAAGAAAGUCUUAUAGGUCAAGGAGACAGUGGGAGUCUAAAAGAUCCUGAAAGGGUUUCAAGAAGUAAUCAAGAAUAAAACCUGUAUUUCAUCACUAGCACACAACUAGAGGUUUAUAACCUAUCGUGUUGACAUUUCUGUGCCCAUUCCAGUUAAGUUGGCUAUACAUUUGAGUUCUACAUGUUCUCAAUUGUUUGCAUAGCUACUUGGAAGCAAUGGCAGGCCCUUGAGCUGCCAGGUGGCAAGAAGUUAAGAUUGCACAAGUUCAAUCCAUAUGAGUUAGGAUUUGUCACUAACCUAGUCUUGUGAUUAUGGUUUUGACAAAUUCACAUGGAUAGGAACACUUACACCAUAAAAUCUAAGUGUCAUAAGGUUUCUCUUCGA
rnacentral:lncRNA from 1 species